UUUUCUUCUUCUUUUGGUGACACAAACAAGAAGAAUAAACAAAACCCCAAUUUAACACAUUUAUAUUAUAAAGGCAUCCAAAGAAUUAGAUGACAUUAAAUCAAAGUUUUAAAGCCACACAUUACAAGAACCCAUUCCCAUCCCCUUUUUUGAAAAUUUUCUUCCCCUCUUCUAUAAACCCUUUUUCUUUAUAUAUAUAUAUAUAUAAACUUUAUUUAUUUUUAUUUAAUUAUUUGCUUUUAAAAGAAAAAUGAAAUGAUUUUCAUUGGAUUUGGGCAAAAGAUUAUUAUUCUAAUGAUAGGGACAGAAGAGGAGUAGAAUGAAGAAGUACUACUCAGGUGUCCUUCAACAAUACAUUUCUCAUAAACCCUAUAAAUUGGAAUUUUGCAUUAAGAAACUUCUCAGACUUUUUUCUUUGCUCCUUUUCAUAAUUUUCCUUCAAAAUUAUUUGGUUGAUUAUAAUUACAUGGGAAGAACUCGUAUGCCUCUGCAAGCAAAUCCACUCUUUCUUAGGUAAAUUCAUCUUUCCCCUUUUUCAUGGUUUGAUUCCCAUAUUCUUAAAAGUCCGUUUGAAUUGACUUCCUAAUUGUUUAAACAUGUCCUUUGUUAUGUUUAAACAUGCUUGUGUUUGUAUAUGAUAUUAGUUAAAAUAGAUUCGAUCCAUAUAUAUCGUCACUAUAUUUGGUGUCCAAACAUAGAUGAGACUAUAAUAACGUACUCCAUUGACUUCUAGUUUGUGUCCCCAACGAUCUAUCAAACAUCGUCCACUGUCGUAAAGUUGUGGAAAGAAAAAGUACUCUAUGAGAAAGUGGUUGGAAAAAGAAGGUGGAUGAGAAAGUUCAACUUUUCUUCCCCUCUUUGCUGCUGCUUUUUCAAACACAGUUCAGUUUAUGAUUUCAUUUCACCAUUUCAAGAAUGAUUAGGUUAUUUUUUAUUUGACUCAUAGUGCUUUUGAGGAUUACUAAAAGGGAAUUUUUUGUUAGGAUGAAAGUUUAGUUUCCACUCAAAAUUGAUUUUAAGAGUUGAAAAUAGUGUUUUAUGAAAAAGUAUUGUGUGAGGUUUCAGCUUAUUAAGUGCUUCACAAAUAUGUAGAGGCAUUUAUCAAUUUAAAUUAAAUUAAAUUAAUUAGCAUUCAAUUAAUUUGACUAUAUGACAGGAAAAUGAAGCAAUUGAAAUGGCAAUUUCGGGGUCUUGUAAUUGAUUCCACAAGCCAACAAGCCCUAAAUAAAAAAGAUGAUGAGACAGAAACCGAGUCAUUGCCCUAUAACUCAUCGACUUGGGUGCCUCAUCCUCGCACUGGAAUUUACUUUCCUCAAGGCCAUGAGUGGGUCAUGAAAGACAUCCCUGAAAAUGCAGCUUCCUUCCCUCGACUUUGUUGGUUUCGGGAUUCUGAUGAUGUUGAUGACUUGAACCCUGAUAAGGAUACCUCUUCGACGUCUUGAUUUGCCUCUAUUUUUAGGGGUCGAGAUUGAGCCUUCUUAGGAAAGAAGGUUGUCAAUGGGCCAAUGAAGAAUGUGUUAAUGGCUUGACAGUGUAUUGCUUGUGAGCUUUUGUUGACAAGAGAGACCCAAAGUGACAUUAAAAUAAUGUAAAUUAGUUUAUACAUAUAGGUAAAAUAUCAAAUAAUGAAACGAAUAAAUAAUAAUUCGAAAGUUUAAACAUCUAUAAACCCUAAACACUAUGGACAUUUACUAAUUUUGUAAUUAAAAUUGGUGUAAAGAUAAUCAAGUUUUAUUAACAAAUCAAUACGUCAAUUUGCAUUUGUUUUUUAUUGUAAUGAUCUAUCUUACCAAAUCUACGGUUUUUUCUACCAAAUCUCCACUAAUAAAAAAUUCCCUUCCAAUUUGCAUCAUAUUCUUCCAAUCAACAAAAAAAUCUUUUCAAUCAUCAAUUUGUUUUGCUUUGGUUUCUUUACCCAAAAACAAAAAAGUUAAAAGAAAGACAACAAAAGAAAUCAUAACAAAAAUCAACCCAACCGCCCCCAGAAAAUGAAGUAGAAAAGCCAAGAUCGCUAACUGGUCUAGUCGAGAGAAAUGGCCAAGUUCGAGCCAGUGCAAGAUUAUUUAGGUCUACGUAAAUUCAUCAUGAUUCGAAGCAUCCCAUAAAUUUAGUUUUUUUUUUUUUGUUUUUUUUACCAAUGCUAUUAUGACAUUGAUAACCAUGUGUUACUAUACCGUCUUACCGAUCAAAUGACUUUAACGAAGUAGUAACACAAAACGAUUUCAACAUGGCCAAAUUGAAAAAUAAUUCAAACAUGUUUAGAACAAAGAUUAAAAACAAAGUAGGUUAAAGAAAUGGUGAGAAAACAAAUAUAAUAUUUUUUUAAAGGAAAAAUCAAAUAGUUAUCAUAUAAUAUAAAAUCUUAAAUGUGACCACAAGUUGAAGUUUAAAAAUAAAAAGAUAAUAAUAAACAAAACAAAGGGAAAACAAUAGAGUAUGUUUUGGUGAAUGACAUAUUCUUUUAGUAACCUCUAAUUAUUGUUUUUUCUUCAAACCCAUCAUUGUUGUUUACUUAUCUUUAUUUAGAACUUAGAAGAGUAUAUAUAAUGGGUUAUUGCAAAUUAUCUUUUGAAAUAUCUCACACAAUUUAGAACAUGUGGUCUAUGUGUGAUAGCUAAAUGCCACCAUGACGUGUUUGAUUGGACUUUUUUAGAGUAAUUUUUAUAUUCUCUCCAUUCAUUGCUUGUUAUAACGUUAACAUUUAAGAAUUAUGUAUAAUUUAUAAAUAAUUUAGUAACCAUGUCAAUUUAAUGAAUUAAAAGAGUUGUACUAUUUUACUUGACUUACGCUUGCUUACACAGGUGAGCAUCGGGAUCCAAAAAUCGAUCUGAAUGACCAAAACAAAACGAACUGACACUUAAUGGUUGGUUUUUAUGAAAAAACGGUCGACGGUAGGUUUAAGGAAGAGACUUUUGAAAAACCAAACCAACCGUGUAGAAUUUAUAUCAUCACUGACGAAACCAUAAUUUUAAAAUAUUAAAAAUGUAUAAAUAUAUAUAUUAUUAAAAAAAACCCUUAGCCUAGCUCAAUGGGCCCACGUUAGCUCCCGGCCCUCCACUUGAAUAAUUAUAAUAAUUUUAUUAAUAAUUUUCAAUCUCGAUUGAACUCAGCCUCGAGAUAGUCCGAGUUCUAGGCUUCUUAACUUCUCUACCUUCCAUCUUGUUCGGACAAACAUCAGGAGUAGUCCGAAAACUCAUCUUGUUUGAGAAGCACCAAGAUUAGUUCGAGAUUUCACUUCUUCUUUCAUCUCGGUCGAAAAACACCAAGAUUAACCCUGAGAUUUCACUUCUUCCUUCAUCCGGGUCGAAAAACAUCUAGAUUAGCCCUAGGAUUUCACUUCUUCCUUCAUCUUAACAGAAAAACACCCAGAUUUCACUUCUUUCUUCAUCUCGACUAGGAAAAACUUUGAACCGACUAGAGAUAUUUGUUUGUCAUAAAAUAGAAUUUCUUAAAUUUUAAUGAUAUUUUAUAGAGAAAGUACAAAAUUCCACACAAUUUCUUCUUUAAAAUAGCUAUUUUUAGUACAACAAUUAUAAUUAUAAAAAUAGAGAUCCAACAAUUCAAUUUCUAAAAAAAAAAAAGAGAGAGAGAGAGAGAAUUACAAUUAAACUAAACUAAGGUUCCAACCUAAUUUAACCCAUAAAUUCCCCCAAUACUCAAUACAACCAAAUGGACAUCACAUCUUACCUCUAAGCUCACAAAUUAUUACAAACCAAAUCAAUAAAAGACAAAAGCUAUAAAGAUAAGAACUAAUUCAUCCAUUGAGUUCUUCAUUUCCAAUCCAAUCCACGUCCACUUUUUAUUUCAAGUAACUAAGCAAAUCUCCUCUCCAUUACCUUCAACUUCCAUCCACAUUUCUUCGAAAUUUCGACUCCAUUUCUUCCCAGUUUCAAACCCUUUUCAUUUUUCCUUCAUUCGCCUUCGUUUUGAGUGAAAACAAUCCUAAACAAUCCUACAACCGGCUGAGUUUGUGCAUGACGAGCGCUUCGGAGCUGUUUUAUUGUCGGAGGUAUAGAUUUGGUCGCACUGACUCUGACUUGGGCCUUGAUUCUGAGCCUCCCGAUCGGCAUCUUCAGUAUCAACGUCGUCAUCAUGGUCACAAUGGCAAUCACCGCCGCGACUUGAACUCCUGUGGCGAUUUCCGGCGUUCCUCGUUGCAAGAACGUCGUCAAUCUCCUCGGUUUUUUAACCCUGUAAGAAGGAUUAAACAAAUUUUGCCAGAUUCUGGGUUUAUGUUAUUUGACAAUUUUUUUUACUUGGAUGAAGUAUAUAUUAACCGGUUGAGAAUAGUUGGAUUUGGAAGAACUGUUUAUAACUUGUUUUGAUUGGGAAAUUUUUAAGCGUUUCCGACUUAAAAUUUCUUCUAAACUGUAGAACCUGUUGGGAAUAUGUUGAAAAUAUCAUAUUUGCCCUAAUUUAUCAGCUUAGGUUGUUGGUAUGGUUUUACUUGGUUCAUGCCCUAAGAAUAAUUGCACUUAACUAUGGAUUGAUCCAACAAACGACUCUAUUGAUAACCGUUUAAUUUUUUGGUUUUGAAAAUUAAGCUUGUUGCUUCCAAGUUCCAAGUAUGGAUUUCUUUAUUUUGUUUAUGUUUUCAAUAUCCGGGCUUAAAGGAAUAAUUUUUAGAAGCUUGUUUUGUUUUUAAAAUUAGGCAAGAUGAAAACUAUUGGAAAGAAAUCGUUUGAAAACAGGGACAGUUUUUCAGAAACCAAAUGGUUAUUAAAUUGAUCUCUAGCUGCCAAGCUAUUGAUUUGAUUAUUGUUAUUCUUCAGUGAUCAUUCUGUUUUCCAUUGCCGUGAAAUAAUUAGAACCAGAAUAAGUCAACUUGGUACUGAGAGUGACGAUGGAUAUAACUUUUCAAGUUUUAUUAGCUUCUAAAUGCUACUUUGCUAUUAAACUAUGAUUUAAUUGGUAUGUGUUCAUGGAAACAUAAUUUGGUUACAAUUAAGAAUGCUUUUCUUUAUUAUUAUUGUUCUUUUUUUUAUCUGGGUUGUCAUCUCUGUCUGAAUUUUAACUUCAAUUAGUUUGGAGGCAUUAACACUAUGUUUUCGUUGUAGCUUUCCGUUGAUCGAUCACCUGCACAGUCUGACUCAGCUACGAGCGUUGCUUCUAGAAAUAAUAUCAAUGGAAAUACUCAGAAUAGCUUGAGGUCUGGGUUAAGUGGGGAUUCCAGAUUGCCAGGAUCUGUUUUACUUGCUAGAGAAAGGCUUCUCGAGAGAUUGAGGGGUGCCUCGUCACCGACGACCAGGUCAGUUCCUAUUGUCAUUUCCUUGUUUUUCACAUUACUAUUCAGAAAACAUUUCUGACUUCAACUAGAAUGUUCCUUGCUAUUUGUCUAGAUUUAACGGCAUAUUUGGAAGCGAUCUUACAAUUGUUAGAAACACUUUUCUUAUGUUUAUAAUCACUCUAAAACAUGUCUUUAGUCAUUCAAAGUUUAAAAAUCAAUUGAUUAUUUGAUUUCACACGUUUAAACUUGAUUUUUAUAUAAUCAAAGUUGAUUUUGAAUACUUAAAAGAAUGCUCGUAAGCAUAUGCUGUGGUAUAUGAAUCUACUUGUAUGAUUUUCUUUUGUCGAUAGGGAUUUGGUUUCUAUUGUGUACUCAUGAAAUAGGAUCCAAUUCCAACAAACUCGUAGAGUUUCUACAAACUCUGUCUAAGACUUUUAAAGAUAAAUUGUUACUAGAAUAGAUCCCAGCUCUGUCGUGUAUUGCUAACCGAAUAAGUUUAUUCAUCAGAAACGCUCUUGUUGAAGCAUCAAAUGGAAAUCCAGAAACCACGACAAGUCGAUCACAGAGGAUAUCCCUCGUCGAUGCUGACAGGAUGCGGUUAGUAGCUGUACCUAGCAAGAGGCCCCCUGGUCUUUCACAGGAUGCAAUCAACCGCUUACAACUUGAGGUUUUUAUCAAUACAGAUCAUAUCAUCAACGACGGCGUGAUGACAAUAACAUCAACAGACUGUAGUAUAUGUCUAGAGAGUUUCACAGAUGGAGACAAGCUCAUCCAUUUACCUUGUGAGCACAAAUUUCACCAUCCUUGCCUGGACCGAUGGAUUAGAACUUGUGGAGAAUGUCCAUAUUGUCGACAACAUAUCGCCAUCAACUAAUAUUUUUCUAACACGUUUCGCAACUUGGGAUUUCCUGUAUGUGUAGAAAACUCAGAGACAAUCCAUUGUUCCAAGUUGUGGUAUUAAUCUUUUAUAGUUCUAUAGUUGAUGAUGUUCGUACUUGUAUCCUUCUAAGAUCCUGUAUUGACUCCAAAUUGUGUGGCAAUUUUAAUAGCCAAAGAGGACGCUUACAUGAUUUCUCUUCUUUUUCUUCGUUUCAUGUAAUUUAUAUUUGAUUUCUUAUCAUUUUGGUUAGGGUACAAACUAUUCUAAGAUUAUAAUUACCACCACUUGCUACAAUAACUAUUAUUUAAAAGUUUUCAAUUAGUUAUACGUUUUUACUAAUUUUGCAUUCAUCAUUUUUUUAAUUCUUCGCUAUUGUAUUUUUUAUUUUCUUCUCAAAUUAAAAUAGUUUACCCCUAAACAUAUAUUAUUAUAAUCCAAAUUAUAAUAUUAAUUCUACAUCUAAAACACAAACUAUCAUAUAACUCAAUUAUAUAACCAACUCUUUUGUCCCAAAUGUCCUCUAUGAUUUCAAAAAGUAAACGUUUUGUUUUCUUAGUUGAAUCGAUGGUUUUGAAAGUAUAGCAUUUGAUCUCAUUUAGACUCACCUACUCAAAUUCAAAGGGCUAACCUAUUUCUGUUGUUGAAGCUUUGAUCAUUGGUCAAUACACAACAAUGGCCCCCUUUAUCUCCAAAAGGAUAGGUGUGAAACAACACAUCUUUACUCUAUUCAUUCACACUACUUGUUUUUCUUAGGUCAAAUCUACUUUUAAAGUCUCCAUGAAGUUAUUCAAAACUAAACUCCUUUCACAAUCAUUUUAGAUAGUUUUUGUAAUCUAUGAGUUAAAUCAAAUCUAUUUUUCCUUCUGUUUUUACACUGACUUCCACCUUAUACUAAAAAAAGUUAGAUAUCAAAUUGAAACUUAUGUCUAAUCAAAUCGUAAAUUAUGUAGAAAUUUGUUGAAUAUAUAUAGACAAAGAUCUAUUAGAGACAAAAUCUAAAAAUAUACCCAUUAUUUAGACACAAAAAUGAAAUUGUUACAUAUUUUCAUAUAUGCGUUUUUAGUGAUACGUAAUGAACUCAAAAACAUUGAAUUAUAAGCUAAGAAAUUGUUUUAAAUGUGUAAGCAACUAUAUAUAUUUAUAAACCAUUAAUUUAUAAACAUGUUUAAUUUGAAAAAAAUAUUUAUCUUACAACAUUACACUCAUUUAUAGAUUUUUUUUUAAAAAAAUAUAUAUGUAUUUAAUAUAGUUCUACCUUCUAUAAUUUAAAUUCAAAAUUUUGAUAAAGAAAAAAAAAACAUAAAAAUGUUAUUUUGAGAAAAUUUGUAUUAUUUUGACACAUAUUCUCAAAAUCAAAAUCAAUGUUUAGAAAUAAUUGUCUCUGAAGCAUAUAUUUGCUUUUGGAAACAUCAAAUAAAAUUUAAAUUCACAACUUACCAAAACACAAAAUUGAAAGUUUAAGGUUUUAUAUUAUAUAUAUAUAUAUAUAUAUCUUUUAAGUUAAGAAAACUAAUGAACUCAGUAUUUAAAGUUGAACGAAUAAAUUUGUAAUGUGAAAAGAUUUGUAAAGGUCAAACAAUAAAAUGCUAAGAAAUAUGAAAUUAAAGAAGCAUCAGAUUUGAACUUAUCUGAAAUUGUAUUAGUAAAAUGUUAAUGUGAAUAUUUUUUGCAAAGAAUAUGUUAUAAUGUUUUGUUCUUAUCAAUUGCUUGAUUUUUGGUAACUCCAAAAUUAAAAAAAGCAUUUAAUUCUCAUAUUAAGUUUCCAACUUUUUGUUUCCCUUAAUAAUCAUUGAUGAUUGUACACAAAAUCAUAACUUGGGGACUAAGCUUUUCUCUAUGAAGUUUCUCUCUCUAAAUGGACUAAGUCAAAAAUUAUAUAUAUAUAUAUAUAUAUAUAUAUAUAUAUUUUGGGAUUUAUUUGCUUGUGAAAUUAAUUAUAGUUUCCAAAAAGUUGAUGCUUAUAAGUGUAUUAAAUUAAUUAAUAUAAUAAUUAAAAGUAUAUAAUAAUAAAUCCAAUUGGGAAUUUAAUUUGAGAGAGAGAGAAAGACUAACUUUUCCACAUUCAAAAAUGCUCUGCUCAAAAUUUGGUCAAUUAAUUAUAAUUUUGUUCCAAUUUAUUUUUUAGAAACUUUAUUUCUUGUAAUUUUAAAACUUACAAUUUGAUUUUUAUGGUUAAUAAAUUUUAAUUAUAUACCAAACUAAUUAAAAUUUUAUUAAAAAACAAAUUUAGAUAUGAACCUUGAGUUAUAUUACAAAUUGAUAUAAUAUCAAAUGAGAUAUUUUUAAAAGAAAAGUUGAAUAAGACAAAAUUAGUUUAUUUGUGUGAAAUUUUAAAAAUUCAAUCAAACAUUUGAAUCCACAAAGUAUAGAAUAAAAUAAUUCAAAAAAUCGUCUCGUUUUUGUAUUAAAUGAAGAAAAAGGUCGAUUUAUUAGAUAAGUAUGAAUUUCAAAUAUACUAUAUAGAAAUUGUUCGAUAAAAUGUCAAAAUUACUUUUUUUUUUCAAAUAUAACAAAUAAAGAAUAAUUGAAUCUAUACUAUUGAAAUAGAAUAAUAUAAAAUCAUGAGAGUUUAAUUUUGAAUAUGAUUUAAGUUAAUUAAUUAAUUCAAAACUAUAUUUUGUAAAAGUGAUUAUGUUAUCAAAAUGUGUUAGGGUUAGGUUGGAAAAUUAAAUGAAUUUUGGUAUUGAUUGUGUUGAUUGGUGAAUGUUUUGAUGGGACAAAUAUGAAUGUUUCCCAUUUUUGUAUAUUAUAGGAUGGAACAAUUGACUUGACUGCACCAAAACCCACCGAAUGUAUAUUAAUAUUACUGACUACAUACAUAUAUAUAUAAAUGCUUUUAAUAACAUUCACUUUGGUCUACAUAUUAAACCAAGAGUGAAGUGAUUUUAUAGGUGAAGCUAACCCCAAAGGUAAAUGUCCAAUAACCAUUCAUUUGUGUAAAAGUCCAUGGAGAUAUCACUUAUGCAACGUUAGAGGUGGAGGGAUUUAAACUAUAAAUAUCUCAGUUCGAUAUAUGAUUUUACAUUUUCAAUACUUGUAUGGUAACGAUCAUAGAUCGUUUACGUUCAAGUUAAAAGCUAUUGUAAAAAAAAAUUAAGGUUAAAACUAACAAGGAUGAAAAGGGAAUGACAAAAGUAUUCUUUUAGUUUCUAAGUUUUGAACGGGUUUCAAUUUAGUUUUUUGGGUUUAAAAUUUUAUAUAAUAUUGAAUUUGAUUUUAAUUUAGUUUCUAAGUCUUGAAAUAUAAGCUACCUCAUAUGAAGCCAAAACGGGGUGUAGGGAUUUGAUAUAGAGCUUAUCUUUGUCCAACUAAGAUUAGGAUAUGAUUUUCCUAAUCAUAGGUUAUCUCUCAAGUUGAAUGGACAAGAGCAGCGAAUGGAGAAAAUUGACAUUGGUCUCGAUUGAGGGUCUUCCUUGAGCUAUAUAUGAAGCUUCGAGUGUGACUUUGGAUUAGGACAUACAUAAAAUGCAACUUGUUAGACAUAUGAAGGGGUUAGCCUUGGGUAUUGGCUUAGGCCAAGUCCCUUGGCAAGGGUUGUCAUCCUUGACCACUAAUCUUUAACGGUGUCUUUUGACUUGUAUCAACUUCUUAUCGGCUUUGUUAUUUCGAAAUCUCAAUUAUAUCUUUUAGAUCCAAAACGAUAUUGUGUUAUAUAGAACUAAUGUGUUUGUAUUCUAUGGAAAGAAAACUAAAACUUAGUAGUUUGUUAUUGGGUUAAAAUGAAAAAAAAAGGAUGGAAAUAGGAAAAGGAGGGAUGAAAAGUCAACAAAUGUCAUUAAAAUGAGGAAGAAGGCAAAAGGAGAAAAAAGCAAAAAGAAAAAAUGGACACUUUAUUUACGCGGAAGAGUAUGAAAAUGGUUGCCAUUUUCAGUUUUCAUUUGUUCCUUCCUUCCACUUACGCGAUACUACUUCUUCUCUUUUCCCACUUUCCCCUCUUCCCUUUAAUCCCACUCACCCUCUUCUCCUCUUUCUCUCUUCAUAACUUUCAUACCCAUUAACCUAAAAUUUCAACAAUCCCCAUCUCAAAUUCAAAACAUACCCAUCAAAGUUCAAAACCCAUAUCUUCAUUUCCUCACUUUCUGAUCAUAUUCAACUCUUUGAUUGUGUUUUUAAUUGAAACCCAUGAUGUUGAGGUCGUGUUUCCGGCCGCUCGAGCGGUUUCUUGGUCGGUGGAGUGGUGAUGGAUUGCUCUGGCACUCGGAAUUGAAGCCUCAUGCCUCUGGUGAUUACUCGAUCGCUGUUGUUCAGGCUAAUUCUUGUCUUGAGGAUCAGAGUCAGGUUUUCACGUCUCCUUCUGCUACUUAUGUUGGUGUUUAUGAUGGCCAUGGCGGGCCUGAGGCUUCUCGUUUUGUGAAUAAGCAUCUUUUUCCUUAUAUGCAUAGUGAGUCUCUGUUCCUGACUUCCUUUUGUGUUUUUUGUUUGUUUGUUUGUGUGUUUCGUUUUUUUCUUGAUUGAUUCUGUAUGAGCUGACGGGUUCUUUUGAAUUCUGGAGAUAUUUUUUUGGGAUUUGGUAGAUUUUUUGUUCUUUUGUUUUUUCUUGUUCUGUGAGUCUUAGAAUGAGUCAAAAAGUUUGUUAUCAUGAAGUGUUUUUGGUCAUUGGGAAAUUGGAACUUGAAUGGAUGAGAAAAUGGGAUUAAGAGAAACCCUGUGAAAAUUUUCAUUUGAAUUUACUUUUUAUGUUUUUUGUUUCAGAGUUUGCUUCAGAACAAGGUGGACUAUCGGAGGAUGUUAUUAAGAAGGCAUUCAAUGCUACAGAAGAAGAUUUUUUGCGUUUGGUUAAACGGGCUUUGCCUGCAAAGCCGCAGAUCGCUUCAGUCGGAUCAUGCUGUCUUGUAGGCGCGAUUUCAAAUACAAAGUUGUACGUUGCGAAUCUAGGUGAUUCGAGAGCUGUGCUUGGCCGUAGUGGUUCCGGGAGUAAAAUAACACCGGUAGUUGCAGAACGAUUGUCCACUGAUCACAAUGUUGGCGUAGAUGAAGUUAGGAAAGAAGUUAUAGCACUUCAUCCCGAUGAUGCUCAUAUAGUUGUCUACACCCGUGGAGUAUGGAGAAUAAAAGGCAUAAUUCAGGUAAAUUUGAUAGAACAAAUCUUGUUGCUUUCUUGUUGUUAGUACUCUCAUGGGUUAAUAAUCAAAACUUUGUCGAGGUCUCUUUGAAUAUGUCAAAUGUGACUCGGUAAUGAGAACUCUGCUCUUCUUUUUGUUGGAAAGAGCCGCAAUGGUAGAAACGAACAAUGCAAAUGCAGAGCCUUCUUCAUAUGCAAAAUGCUUCAUCCUUAGAAUUUAGAUCCAUUACCAAGUAUAUCAGCUUGUUUGAUUGGUUAAACAUCAAAUUCCCUGCUGGGAUGUUCUUCUCAUUCAUCAAAUUUGAUGUUUGCCUGAACUUUAUAUUAGUAGUAAUCCUUUGAAAUUCAGAUGCUAACUGGCUUUUUCGUCGAAUUUUUCUACUUAUACUUAUAGCUUGUAAUGUAAUGUGAUUACUUAUGGUUGGUGCUUAUCGAAGUUACUAAUCUCUUUUGUAUUAUUCUUCUCCUUUUGAAAGUUCAGGUUUCAAGAUCUAUUGGCGACGUUUAUUUAAAGAAACCUGAGUUCAACCGGGAUCCAAUAUUCCAACAAUUUGGGACCCCCGUUCCUUUAAAACGACCAGUAAUGACUGCAGAACCAUCGAUCCUAACACGAGAGCUUAAACCCCAAGACUUAUUCCUCAUCUUCGCAUCAGAUGGCCUAUGGGAACAACUAACCGAUGAAGCUGCAGUGGAAAUAGUUUUCAAGAACCCAAGAGCUGUAAGUUUAGAGAAACUACUCCCAUUUAUGUCAUUUACAAAAUCCUCCAAACAUAUCUUUAACCUCGUUUCCUUCUUUGACUACUUUAGGGGAUUGCAAAGAGAUUAGUAAGUGCUGCCCUCCACGAGGCAGCGAAGAAGCGGGAAAUGAGAUACUCUGACUUAAAGAAGAUCGAAAAGGGGAUUCGACGUCAUUUCCACGACGACAUCACCGUCGUCGUCGUGUAUCUCGACCACAACAGAAGCUCAAACACCAACCGAACAAAGAAUGCCAUCGCGGGGUACACUAGUGCACCUGUUGACAUAUUUUCUCUCAACUCAAACUAUGAAGCUGAGGAAGAAAUUUCAGACAAUGUUUUGAAAAAUUGAAUUGAUUUUGGGAGGCAAAUUAUUGAUACACACAGGAAAUAGGAAGCAUGUUAGGUAGGGGAUGGGACAGGGUUGUUCAUCAGUUAGAAGAAACACAAGUUUUAUUAAUGUAGAUAAAUUUAAGUCUCACUAACUUCUAUGGAAAUCUCCUGCCUUAGAUUCUUUUUUCUCCUUGGUUUCUGAUUGGUUUGUUUUUUCAUUUUUUUCCCUCCAUUGACUUGUAAGAGGUUAUAAGAUUCAAUAAUGGCAGGCAGUUUUUUCCCCCAAUUUUUACAUCAUCUCUAUAGUUCUUUCACAUGUUCUUAAAACAAGAUGAUAUCGAUUUGGAACGUUUGCUCGUGUGUGUCAGAUGCAUGUUCUUCAUGGUAUAUAGCCAAUAUCUUUAAUAAAACUUGAAAUUGGGAAUGUUGAAAGGUUCAAAACAACCUGAAUUGACCAAUUCUGUCAUGAAUUAAAAGAAAAGUAAAAGUUACAUCAAACGCGUUAUGUUUGAAAAUUCACAUAAAUGUAUGGAUUUUUUUAUAAAAAGUAUAUAUGUUUUUAAUAUUAUCUCAUUGAAUAGAACUUUAAUUCUUUUCAUGAACUACCACUUGCUAAAGGUCUAUGAGGACUUUCUUUUUCAAAACAACUGUUUGAUGUUAUUUUUUUCUCCCUUUCUUUGAUGGUAUUUUACAGUCCAUUGUUUAAGACUAAGUUUGUUGGUGAGGGGCCUGAGGGCUUCACAAUUGAGAAUUUCAAUAGUUUUUUUUCUUCUUUUUAAUAAUUAUAUUUGUGUUCGUAAUCCCAACAAAAUUUAGUACUUCACAACUUGUAUUCUUGUCAUUAUUAUUAAGAGUAAACACGAAGGUAAGUUUAUAUUCUUAAACUUUAUAAGUUAGUAUAAAUUUAAACCUUAAAUUUAUUGAUUGUAUUUUGGUUUGUUGUCCAAAUAUAAAGGGUCGGACCAUAUUAAGUGGGAAGUACUAUCUCAUCCAUUUAUUUUCUUCAAAUAAGUGAAAACUAUGAAUUUUAAACUUUCCGAAGACUUGGAAAAUUAGGAGACUUGACUAAAAGCUUUUGCUUUUGAAGACCUAAAAACUUUGAAGAUAGGUUGGAGUCAUCUAGAUUCUAGAGCAUAGGAUUAAAGUCUUAUAAUCGAAUCUUUGAUUUUCAAUAUGAUCAACAAAUUAAAGACUAAUCUAAAAACUCAAUUCUGGCUAAAUGACAUGUAAAAGAUUAACAAUCCAAAGCCAAUCAUUAAAGAAAAUCAAUAAGUUCAAGGGUACAUCUAAAGUGAUCGACAAGUCAAUGGUACUUUAGUAGAAGUUGCCAUCUUGGGCUUAAAUAAGUACACUAGAAAAAGAAUCAAAAGACCAUAAAUUGGAAACAAAAGUUAUACAAACAAAUGCAAGUUUUUUUUUAAAAAAUCUCGUAGAAAAAAAUUUUAAGCACAAAAUACACUUUUAGUCUAUGAAGUUUGCACUUAUUUGUAUUUGGUCUAUGAAAUUAGAAAAUAACCUUUCUAUUCCUUGAAAUUUGAAAAAUAGUUUUAAAAGUCUGUUAGAUUGUUAUUGACAGAAAGAUCAUAGCUACUUUUUUUUUUUUUGCUAAUUAUGGUGGGGAUUUGGCAAAGAAUUAACAAAGUUGUAUUCUUAGGGAAAUGAUUAAUUUCCUUCAACAAAAACGAACCCUUUAAUUUAAAAUUGGGUUAUAAAGAGAAGAACAGAGGAACAAUGAAAGAUCAAGAAGAAAUGGUUUAUGAAGUAAAUUGAGAGAAAGACAUUGGGAACAAAGAGAGAGAUGAACGUAGAAAUCACAAAAUGAAAACUAUAGAGAAAUAUUUUGAAAUGGAAAAAGAUAAAAUUCAAAACACUAUUUUUCCAACCUCAAAAGUUCAAAUCUCAUAGAUCAAAGAAUAUAUUUUUAAAUUUUAACCCAACAUAGUUAACUUGAUCACUAUCAAAACUCAAUUUUAUGAAAAUAUCCAUAUCUAUAAAAAAAAUUCUUAGAAAUUAAUGGAAAUUGUUAUAAUUAGUUAAUAAUUUUUUUAUUAUAAGAUGUACAUGUCUAAUACGAAAAGGAUGACCUUGAAGCAUCUAAUUCAAAAUCUUAGUAGAAACUACAAUAUUGCUUCCAAGUCAUCUUAUAUUGGAAUUGUUGAAGAUUGUUUUGUAAAUAAAAAUAUUAUGACUCGAAUGACUAACAUAUUGAUCCAUUGGUUGAUACGAUAACCUUCCUCCUCCAAAUGGAUCAUAACUUCGGUGGAAAGUCGGACUGGAAAUUGUUGUGGUCAAAUCUUGAAGAACCAUCAAAAUCUAAGAAUAAUUAAUUAUCUUGACCGUAGUUUGAAGUGUUGUGUGCAAGAUUGUUGCUUAUGUUCAAUGUUUAGUGGUAAAUUUCGAAAAAUGGGGGAGAAAUUAAGACUCCCACCAUCGAAAUAAUUAUAAAAAAUUAGUUAAACAGUAUAUUAGAAUUUAAAUCUCAUUUCUUUUUCAGUGCAUAUCUAAUAUAGACUCAUAAUCUUUUGUUGAAUUACCUGAUCAGUAGAUCUCUACAAUCCUAAAUAUAUUCAAUCUAUCAAAACAAUCAGACAAGGUAUCAUCAUAUGACAAGAAAUCAAGAGUAAUAGAGUUUCUAAAAUGCAGAGCUUGUAUGAUUUUACUUACAGAUGUAAAUGUUGAGAGUUUCUACACUUUCUUCAUAUAGAAUAUGGAUACCAAUUAUGCUAAUCCCCCAAGAUGGGCACCAAGUUCCCAAUCUGAUACAGCUUCAGGUCUUCUACAAAGCCAUAAAGGAGUAAAACUUUGUGUACCAUUUCUCAGAGUCGACCUUCCGCACAUCGAUUGGUGGUUUGGUUCUUUCAGUUGAGAAGCAGGCAUCUCCCAUGAAGCAAGUUGAUUGUUCAUUGCUAUGAGUCUAUGACCAUUUCUUGUUUAGACGCUCCAGCAACCUGCGUUCUUCAUCUUUUGUUACAGAUGGGUCCAGAUUGCGAAGGUUUGAGAUGAAACUACUUGCCUCGUCCCGACGAUUUAGUUUACAAAACCAAUCUAUUAGAGAAUUGUAUGUGUUUUGAUUGGGUUUACAUCCGUUCUUGAUCAUAUACUUUACCACGUCGAUCGCCUCAAUGAACAUCGAAUCGGAUGCAUAGCUUGCAAUGAAGGUAUUAUACGUAAUUACAUCAGGGGCGAGACCAAAAUCCUUCAUCUCUGCAAAUAUCCGUGAGGCCUCUUUCAUACGACCAUUUCGGCAGUAGGCGAAAAUAACGGUAUUAAAUGAAAUUAUAUCAGGCUUCAUUCCUUUCGCAAUAAUUUCCCUUAGGAUGUCCUCCGACUUCUCGAAGUGCUCAGUGCGACUAUACAUGUACAUUAAGCUAUUGUAUGUUGUCAAGCUCGGAGUGAACCCACUGUCCUUUAUGAAGUUCAAAAUUUCGUUUGUUUUCGAAACCAUCCUCCUCCUACCAUAAAUAGAAACCAUGGCAUUUAGUGUCGUUAUAUCAGGCGAAAAACCUUGUUCCCGUAGUUCCAAGAAAGCACGUUCGGUCUCCGUAAGAAGAUCACUUUUACUAUAAACCAAAACCAGUGUCUUCAAAAGCACAGCUUGAGGUUCAAUAAUGCCAGAAUAGAUCUCCUCAGCAAGUGCAGACAUUCGCUCGACCUCUUUGCCAUUGGCAUAAGCAUGAAGUAAAGAACAAUACGUUAACUCAUUUGGUUUACACCUACCGUCCUUCAUUUCGGCAAGUACUUUCUCUGACUGCUCCCAAAGGCCUCCUCGAGCCAAGGCUGCCAAAACAGCAUUGUAAGUAGACAGAUCGGGAGUCACCCCCGCAUCCAACAUUCUUCUAUAGAUGGCCAUUGCUUGAUCAAAAAAACCACACCUACUAUAGGCACUAAUAAGAGUGUUAAAAGUGUCCCUCUCGGGGACAAAACCUGCUCUUUUCAUCUCUUUGAACACUCCUGAAACUUCCGAAUCCAUCCCAUUUUGCCCAAACACUGCCAAAAGAGUGUUCCAAGUAACAAUAUCAGGCACGCAUUCACAUAUCUUAAUUUCUUCAAAAACUUUCAUCAUCUCCACAAAAUUACCCCUGUUACCAUGCAUCUUAAUCAGCGCAUUGAAGGUGCAUAUAUUCGGUUGGCACCCGGCAACUCUCAUCUCCUCAAACACUUUCAUUGCAUAAUCAUCCUUACCCGUCUUCUCAAAUCCAGACAACAACGUGGUGUAAGUAAAAACAUCAGGCUUAAUCCCCUUCUUCACCAUUUGUGAUUUUAGCUCCAUAGCUUCAUCUAACAAACCAUCCCGCGCAUAAGCCGAUAUCAACGAAUUGUAAGUGACGAUACUAGGUGCAAACCCACUUGCUUCCAUCUCCUUCAAAACCUCCAUGGCUUCCCUAGGCCGCCGGGACUUUCCAUAUACAUCCAACAAUGCAUUGUAAGUAACCUUAUCAGGACUAAAUCCAGCUGCUUUCAUCUCCUCAAAAACCUCUGCAGCUUCUUCAUACAAUGACCCCCGACGACAACUACUAAUAAGUGUAUUAUACGUAUACAAAUCCGGGGCAACCCCAGAACUCUUCAUACUAUCAACAAGACCAGCAAUUUUACUCCAAGGCAUUCCCAUUUUACCAUAGACAUUCAAGAUAACAUUAUAAGUAAUUAAAGUUGGCCUACAACCUUCUUCUUCCAGUUUCUUAAACACCAUCACAGCCUCUCUAUAUCUCCCAUUACUAGCAUAUGCAGUUAUCAAAGAAGUAUAAGCAUAAAUAUCAAUAUGUACCCCAUCAUUUCGAAGGUCAUGAAGCAGAGAAGCAGCAAAAGAAGCCCGACCCUCUUUACCAAGUACACUAAUAAUCACAGCAACCACAGAAUUACUCAAAAUGGAUGCAAAAUCUUCCCGAUUACGAACAAAAUAAAAAACACACAAGGCUAAUUCAUUCUUCUUGUAAAACACCAAGCCCUUGAUUAUCCCCAAAAUGUCGAAGGAAACAGAGUCGGAGGUGAAAUUAAGUCCAUCAGAACUGGUUUCAAACAAUUGAAGUAAAAUUUCAUCCAAGGAGGAGGAAUCGAAUUCUGGGUUGAGCAAAGAAUCGAGAAUUCGCUGACCUUGAGUAGAGAGACGGUGGUGUGACCAUGGCUUGCCGCGGUUAGGGUCAUGAGACCGACCGAUUCGGGUGCGGGUUCUAAAAGUGGGUUUGGGAAGAUGGGGUUGAGUGGAAGAAGAAGGGUGUUGGUGGGGAAGGAGGUCUUGGAGAAGAGGGGCUAAGGGGGAUGAGGCGGAAGAGAGGUGUGGUGUUGGAGGAAAAGUGAGUGGUGGAGGUGGCGGAGAAGAAGGUGAAAGGGGUUGGUGGUGGAAGACGGGGAAGUGGGAUUUGGAGGGUGGGGGAUUGGGUAGGAGGAGGGGAAGAGAAACCUUGUCCGCCAUUUUUGGCCAAUGUGAAGUUGAGGAUUUUGGAACGGGGGUUUAAGCAUAAAGUUGUGGUCUCUCCAGAUUUUGAAGAUGGAGAUAUUUUAGAGUUUCUCUUCAUCAAUUUCGACCUACUCGAUAUUAGGAUUCUUUACAAAUUUCAAAAAAUCUUUUCAAUAUCAUUUCUCAGUUCAUCUCAACAUAACUCGAGAUUUUGAACUUUAUUUUUAAAUUUUAAAAUAAAAUAUUCUCAAAUCACCAUUUUUUUUUAAUAAUUCAUUCUAAGUCCUAUUAUAGUUUUGUUUGAAAUAUGAGUCAAAUGUCAACGUGAGCUCACGACCUAUUUUUUCAAAGAUCUCGAAUUUGAAGCGAUCGAAAAAGUAUGUAAUUAAAAAUAGUUUUUGUAGUUGAAUAUACCGGUGAUUUGGUUGAUUGUCACGUACGGAAUGAAAGAAAUUCCAAUACACAAUGAAAAAAUAGUGACUAAAAGUCCUCAACGAGCAAGGGUGGAUCGUGCUAGGCGGGUGUCACUAAUAACUCUUUUCUUUGUAUAACCCAUGGUUGUUGUGACAUUGUUGUAACCAUGAUAAACUCAUAUUUCCUUUAGUAACAAAGUCCAAAAACAUUAAAACAAAAUGAUAUAAUUAAUAAGAAUAUAAUACCCCUAAUAAGCCUUUUUAACUUAUUUAAAAAGGAACAAAUAUUUAUUUACAAAUUUAAAUAUUUUACAACUUCUCUAAAAAACAUCCUUCUACGUAGACAUUUUACCAAUAUUUCUAUCUAACUUUUUCAUAAAAUUCAAACCACAAACAACAAGAUGUAUAACAUGUUAGGAGCCAAAAUUUACAUCUUUUAAAAGUAAUACUAAUAAAAUCUCAAUGCUUAAAUACAAUAUUUAUGUGAAUAGUGUUAAAAUCAUAUGGUUUUAUUAGCAACUAAAUCAUCAAGACCAUAGCAAAUGGAAGCACAAAAAAAAAGCAAGCAUGUAGAAUAAUACAAAAGUGAAACACUAUACCCAAAAACUAAUAACUAAACGAGAUUUCCAUAUAACAAUCUCUACAAUAAACCACCAAACAUAGUUCUUACAAAGGCUUUCUUUCUCUCUAUUCAACUACUAAUCAUAAGGUGGGCUCUCAACUGCAUGAUUCAGUGAGCAAUACCUGAGUUGAGACACUCCCACAACCAAAAAAGAAAAAAAAGGUUCAUAUUCAUGGACUGAAAAGAUGGUCCAUUAUGUCUAUCUUCCAUACUUCGAAUAAUUAUAGAAAGUGUGGACUUAUUAAACCUGCAAUCUCCAGAAAUCCAACCUCAUCUUUCCCUCCAAAUAUCUUCUUCAGUUUCUCGUCGCAAGCUAUGACUUUCUUGUUGCUUGGUUUCUGAAAGAAUAAAGAAAAUAAUUUAAAAGAAAAACAAAUUGUUUCUGUGCUUCAAAUCAAUGAUUUGUAAGACAUCAACUAUCAUAACCAAUUUAUGUUCUUUUAUGAAACACCAAGGACAAGUUUAAUGCAGUAAUGUAAGAGAACUCAUGGAACUAAAGUAGAUAUCACCAACGUAAAUGACAAAGCUAAAGGUAGGGAACAAAAAAUGGUGAGCGAGUUUUUAGACAAACAGAAUUGCAUAAGAAAGUGGGAGAGUUUACGGCGAGAGCAAAUAAGAGGAGAAUGAUAAAGCUCCCAUAGGAAUUAGGGUAAAAACUACGCAAUGAGAGCAUGUGGUGAGUACAGAAAGAGAUACUGUAAUUAGAACCUUUUACCAAUAUAAAUUUCAGAAGGUGUUUAUGUUCAUAAAAACAGCUAUUAAAUGAAUGGACUCAAUCUAUGAAACAAUGGAAAACCGAAAAACAAAAGUAUGUUUUUCUAGAACUGUUCCAUGUCUUUGAAAACAAAUGUACAAAUCAGAAAAAAGUUAACGAAACCCAGAACAGAAAAAGCUCUUCAGAAACCUUAAAGGCCUCAAACCCAGUAACAAGCAUUACUAUCCACUUGCCACAUCUAAACCCUCUUCAAAAUAAUGCAUUAAGAGUUGUUAAAAGCUUUCAUCCAAUGAUCAUCAAAGCACACUCUAACAACAACACAGCAAGAAAAUUCUAAAGACCAACAAUCCAAAACCAUUAUUUCAGAACAAGAAAUUUUCAAACCAUGCCAAUAUAUCUUACAACCUCCUCCGAACCCAACAAAUCAGAGCAACCAUCUCCCACUUUCUUAUACAAACUUCACUAAUAAGAAAAACCACAUCGAAACAAUCUUCAAAAUAAACCAUUAAGAGUCGAAAAAACAUUAUCUAAUAACCAUUAAACCGCAUUCCAGAAAGAACACAGCAAGAAAAAUUCUAAAGACCAACAUCCAAUAUCUGGUUCUGAAAUGAGGGUUUAGAAAACUAUGGAAACCCCAUAAACUUUCAACCCCACUGAAGAAAAAAAAAAAAAACACAUCAAAGAAAAGUAUUGAAAACAGCAUGGAAAGAAAAAGAAAAACAGAAAACGAAAAAGAAAGAGAGAUUCUACCUGAAGAUUAUUUUCUUUAAUGUAAGCCCAAAUGACCUUAAGAGCUUGAGUGCGGGAAAUCUCAGGAGCGCCGACAAGCGCUUGCAACUCCGGUGAAAUUUUCCUGGGCUUCGUGAUGCCACGGGGCUCCCGGCUAGGGGCAGUGGCCUGCUUGGACGCUAAAGCGAAGGUAACAGUGCGGGGGAAGCGCAAAUCAGGGAGAGGGAGUUGAUUGAGAUGCUUGAGGUUGGAGGAGGAGGUGGUGGGGGAGGGUUUGACGACGAGGAGCGACGGUUUGACGGCGAUGAAGGUGGAGAGGAAAGCCAUGGCCGGAAGGCAGUGAGUGACGAAAGGUUGUUCUCAAAAAAUGGAUAAAGCGAAGAAGGAGAAGCGGUAAGAGCGAUAACUCGAGAAGGUCGAAUUUCGGAACGCGCGCUGCCGUUAAUCCGUUCGGGUUCUUCGGAUUUUAAAUAAUGUCGUUGUUGGGCUAUGGGCUUAAUUAGAGUUAUUUUGGGCUGUGUUGAAUUGGGCCUGUUGGGCUUUGGUCAGAAUGUGAGGGAGAAGAAAAUGGGGUAUGGGGAAGUGAGGAGUGGAAGUUUAGGGUUGGUGGGUUUAUUUAUAAUUAGUAUUUUUUAUUAUUGUUGUUAUUUUAGGAAAGUAGGUUUAAAUCUUUUUGCCUCUUAAUUUUUUUUUUAAUAUACUUUAUAUUAUAUGAUAUGGAAAAGAAGGAGAGGUGGUAGGACAAAAAUAAAAUUAGACUAUUAAUUAGAUUAGUAAAAGUUUAAGUUCUUUAUAUUAUAGCAAUAGUUGAAAAUGUAAAUAUCCCGUAACGUAGUAACCUUUACGUAAAGUAAUAACAUAUAAGAUUAUUUAUGUAAUAAAUAACAAUGGUAUAGUUAAAGUUAUUUGUUUCAACUAUCAUGGGUUGACCUAGUAGUAAAAAUGUCAAAAACUAACUAAGAGGUCACAACUCCUUAGAAUCUAUAAACGAUACAUCAUAUCACCAAUGAUAUAUAUCACAAUUAUAUGUACAGUGUAUCACUGAUGAAUCAUAUUAGCUAGUAAUAAAAGUCUGUUGCAUAGUUUAUCAACGACAAAAUUUUGUCAAUAAUAGAUUUUACUAUAUUUAAAAUUCUUACAAAUGUAGCUAUACACUUUAACUAUUACGUGUUAUUGAUUGCAACUACCCAAAUUAUAAAAGAAAUGGGUGUAUGUAGAUAUAUUAUUUUAGUUGGGUUAACCAUAAGAAGAUGGUGUUUCAAAUCUAUAUAUUACGAAAAUGUCAAAAAAAUCUUAUGAUUGAGUAAGCCAUUUAAAGCCAAACCAUCCAUAUAAUGAGGAAUGGACAUCAAAAGUGUCAAAAAUCUUAUUAUUGACUAAGGCAUUUAAGCCCAAACCAUUCUUAUAAUUAUUCUUUUUUCCAUUAUAGUAUUUUUGCAAUUAUAAAAAUAAAUAAAUAAAAGAAAGAUAUUUCAGUUAUAUUUUUCAUAGGGAAAAAAACCAUUAGUUGAUGAAUGUGAUGAACAUUUUAAUCACUAUAUAUUUUCAAAACGUUUUGUCCUUAUUAAAAUCACUUUAAAAUAUAUUUUUAAUCCUUUCAAAACUAAUUUUAAUUUGAUGAUAUAAAAAUUAUAUUUAAAAAUGUAAAAUUAAGACAUAGAAAAAAUGAUUUUGUCAUAUUUUAGAACAAUUUUGAAUAUAACUUAAUUAUUCGAGGUUGAUUUAAAACCUCUUGGAAUAUUAGAGAUACGAAAUAUAUGGUAGACUAAAUCGACUAGUGUCACCCUAUUUUGCAGUCACACGUUGUAAACAUUUUCAGCAUUAUAAAUUAUACCUUUAAAUUUUUAAAUUUAAAAAUUGGACAAUCAAAUCGUAUUCAAAUGUUUAAAAUUAGACUCUCAAACUUACAUAAUUGUAUAAGUUUAAUGGUUCAAUUUUAACAUUUAUGUUUCUAACUUUUACUAUUAUUGUAAGUUCGAACGGUUCAAAUUUAACAAUUUUAGAAAUCUAUGGAUGAUUUUUUUCAAUUUUUUCAUUUAAAAAACUAAAUUCAAUUUUCUUUUAAAGAAAAAAAAACAAAAUUUAAUACCCAAACAAAUUUUCGUAUAGUAAAAUCUAAUUAAAAUGUUUUCAACCAUAAUUUUCUGAAGUUAAAUUUCACUAUUACAACGUAUAUUCUUUAAUUUAAAUAUUACAAAACGUACUUUCAAAUAUAAAUCUUCAAUUUAAAUAUAACAUUUUAUUAUAUAUAUACUGAAAAUGUAUUAUUAAAAAGGGAAAUUAUUAUUAAUAACAAAAAGAGAGAAAAAGGAUAAUAGUUUAAAAAAGAGAGAGAAAAAUCAAAAUCAAUUUUUUGACCUAAAUAAUUAAAAAGAAAAAAAGAAAAAAAGAAGAAAAAGUUGAACGUAUUUAUCUAUUUAUCUUUACUUUUAAAAAUCUCAAGUAGAAUCUAAGAAUCCUAAUUUGAUUACAAGAAGCAUAUAUUACAAUAUUUGAUUUUUCUUUUGUUUCCUUUUCCUAUUCUAAGUUUCCUAUUCCAAAUAUAAUUUAUGGAAUUGUAUAUAAAUAUAACAAUACUAAAUUUCUUUCGAUAUAAACAAAUUAAAAGUUUGGUGAUCUUCGAUCGAGCAAGAAAUUUGAAAUUUAGUUCUAUAUGCAACUUCAUUAUGUCAUCGAUGAAAGAUAAUGAUAAACCUAUGGUUUCUAAUGACGACGAUACGAACGAUAAUCAUCGCUUAUUUCCCAUUCUUCAACAACUAACAACAACACAUCUUCAUUCACUAAUUAUUCAUCCAAUUGGAAAUAAGUUUCUUCUCCAUCUUCUUCAACCUCCCCAUUGCCAUCCAACCUUCAUUAAUCAUCUUCUUCUCUCCCUAACCACUUAUUCACGAGACCACUUUCUACCAAUCUCUCUUCAUUAUCUCGGGUUAGUUCCUAUAUAUAUAUUCUUUUACUUUUUGUUUAUUAUUUUCAUUCCUAUUCAUUAAUCUUUUUGUAUGGUUAGACAUCGACUUGUGGUGGCGUUAAUCUCUCAUCUUAAAUACCCUUGUCAACAAUGGAUGAUUGUAUUACUGAUGAGACCGCAUGUCUUGACUUUGGCUAAAGACUUUCAUAGUGGUCAUCGAGUGAUAAAGAGUUGCUUCCAAAACUUUUUGCCACAAUCUAAUGAGGUAAUAAUUACUUUUAAGAAAAUAAGGUAACAAACUACUUUUAUUGUUUUUUUUUAAAUGAAAAUUAUUGAACGUAAAAAACAAUAAUACAGUCGGACCGGAUAUAUACAUUAUACAAUAUACAUAUUAUCACAUGAAUGCAGUUGAUCAUACUUAGAGUAGCACAAAAUUGCUUGGAGUUGGCGAGAGGACAGGCAAGUUGUUGUAUACUCCAAGAGUGCAUUGAAUAUUCCAAUAAUAACUUGAGACAACUUCAAGAAGUUCUAAUCUCUCCGUUGAUUCAAGAUGUCUAUGAUCUUUCAAAACAUCCUUAUGGGUAUGUACAUAAAUUUCAUUUCAUUAUCUUAUACAUGCAUAUAUAUAUAUUAUUAAUCCAAGGUUAACUAAUUAUUGAUUAUAUGUUAAUUGUUAACUGCAGCAACUAUGUUAUCCAAUUUAUGAUUCAAUUAGAUGGAACAAACAUAGGACGGAGAAUAAUCAAAGAACUUACACACAAAUUUGUAGAACUUUCCAUGGACAAGUAUGGAAGCAAUGUAGUGGAAAAAUGUCUAUCUUGUUGUGAAGGUAUCUCUAAUGACAUUAUCUUUGAAAUUUUGGAGGGUAAUGGUCGAGAUCGACUCAUCCAAAUUUGUACAAACCAAUAUGGGAAUUUUGUUGUUCAAACCGUCAUGUCUAUUGCUAAGGUUUGUGUUUAUUUUUUUCCUCAGUUAACAUACCUUUUCAUUUUAUAUAUUGAGAAAUGUCAACAUAAAAUGUACACAUUGUUGCUAUAUAAGUGGAAAGACCAAUAUUAUGUCGUUACCUUCAUAAUCAAAAUGCUUAUGAAGAAUCGUUAGUCUCUAACAGUGUUUUUUUUACGUUGUAGGGAAAAAUUCGCAAGUUGCUUGAAAAAGCCAUUAAGAGUCAUUGGCUUGUUCUUCAACAGCAUCUAUAUGGAAGAAAUGUAAUUUCAUCAAUUAGACGUGAUAAAAAAAAGGCAAAAUUAUCGAAGUAUGUUUGAAGUAGGAAUAUUAUAUAUAUAUAGACAUACUCUUACUUGGGAAAUGUUAUUUGUAUAGAAUGUGAGUAUUAUGUGACCUGUGAUUUAUUCCUUAGUUAGGGAACCAUAUCAUUGUUAAGGAAUUAAUCAUUUAUGUUAGAGCUUUUUUUUUUUCUUUUUGUUAUUAUUAUUUUUUUCAUUGUUGGAAUUACAUUGUAUUUCAUUUUUUAAUUGCUUUAAUGUCAUAUAUCUUGAUUAUAAUAUAGUACUUAAUAUUUUUAAUUUUAAUUUUAAUAAGAUUUAUAUGACAUUGAUUGACUAAUCUUAAUUAAUUAAUUAAUUAAUUAUAUUUGACACAUUCCUUUAUUAAUUAAUCAACAAAUACACUUGAAUAAAUAAUUGCAUUCAUCUAAGAAGUUUUAGAAACAUAUAUACACAUCUUCUUCAAAAAUGCAUUUUAAAUAUUUUACAAUACGCUAAUUUUCUCUCUUUAUAAAUUUAUACGAGUUGGGUUUAUUCUUAAAAAAUAAUAUUACGUAACAUAUGAUUUCAUGCACUUUCUAAUAUCUUGUGAUCAUAAUGUAUUUAAAUCAAAUAAUUGAAAGUGUAGAUGUUAGAAUUAAACAAAUUGGGAAAAGAAAAGAAAAUAGAAAGAUAAGAGGUAACAUCAUGCAUGGCAAUAUAGGUUUGAUUAGACACCCUAACUGAAAUCGCUUUUCCCAUUGCUUUCACUCUAAGUUGGCUUCCCUUUUUCCUUUUAUUAUACAACAUAUAUUUCAAGCAUUUCUUUUCUAUUUUCUUGACAUAUGUAUGGUUGUUUUAUAAAUUAUAUCAUUCUCAUCAAACUAACGUUGUUGUAUGGUCACGUGUAGUAAAGUUUAAAUAAAGUAUAUAUAGUUUGAAAUGAGAAUAGUUCAACUAACACUAGCAUAUUAUACUACGUAUUAACUUCAAAGUGUUUGAAAUUCGAUCGUGAUCAUUUCACAUAUUGUAAAUAUGUAUAUUGUCGUUUAUGUUCAUAACUUAAUUGAUGGUAUGGUAGACUAUGGUUUUAAUGUUAUGUUUUCGAUACUCUUCAUUUUUCUUUUUCUUUUUUUACACAAUUCAUAUAUGAUUUAUGUAUAAGCUCGUACUUUCGAAUUUCACGCAUGGAGGACAAAUAAUGCAUCCCUUCCACGUAUACAUUAUAUGAAGGUUAAAUUAAAUGAUUUGAAUGGAAAGUAAUCAAAUUGUGCCAAACAUUAUUAAACAUUCAACGUAUAUUCUCACGAUAUUUGUUCAACAACUAGCUACUUAACCCUUGUAAAUAUGAGUAGAGAAUAGUAAUAAGCUUAAUACAAAUCGCUCGUGUUCGACUUAUAUACUUGUACGGGCGUUACUUAAGAGAAAAAUAUUGUGACUGAACACUCAUGAUUGAGUAUGAGACUAUAAUAUUUGGGUGCAUUCCACGCUCAAAAUACUCAAUCCUAAAAAGAAGAAAUAAGAAUAAUUUUUCAAGUGGACGUCAAAUUAUAUAAUUGAAUAAUUUGGUGGGACACGUUAAUAUCAAUGCUAACUUAGGACGAUUUUUCACUCAGAUAAAAAAAAAUUGGUUCAUUUAGAUAAUUUGAUUGGUAGGUAACAGAGAGAAAAAGAAAGAAAUAUUAAAUAAUUGUACUUUGAUCAUAUGCUCUACAUUGGAAAAAAGUAUUGACUAGUUUUUUAUAUAUAUAUAUAUAUAUAUAUUUUUGCUUUUUCUAACUUUAAUAUUUGCUAUUUCUAAAGUUAGGAUUACUUUUGUUAUUUUCCAAAUAUUUUUAACCAUUUAAAAUGGUAUGAAAAAACAAUUAAAUAUUCAAAAUUGAUUUAAUUAAUCAUUUCCAAAGACCUAUAUUUUAUUUUAAAAAAAUAUGCUUCCCUACAAACAAUCUAAAAAAAAUGUUUUUUAUUAUAAAGAUUUUGGAUUUAGGUUUAUAAAAAAGAAUUUAAAAUAUCAGCUGUUGAUUUAAAAUUAAUAUAAAAUUUACAAAAAUUUUCUAAUCUAAAAAAUUAACCUAAAUUUUAGACACUACCAUCUAAAAAUCCAUCCGAAACUUAAGCAUCAACAAGUUAAACACUAAAAAAUCAUCCAAAAGUAAUUGAUAAGAAGGCAACAACCGAAACACAUAAAAGUCAUAUCUUUCGAUUUCAAUUGUGUUUCUAAAACGACAUUAAAAAAACUAUAUAAUUUUAAUUAAAUAAUUAUGGAUCUAGACAACUCAAUCUCAAUUAUAACAAUGAUUAUCAUUUAAUUUACCUCUUCAUUUUUAUUUUUUGGAAAGAAAGCUUUAGAAAAAAUAAUAAUGACCAUAAUUACAAUUAAUAAAAGUAAAAUUAGCAUUGCUAUUGUGGGGACGACGUUGUUAAUUAAUCACUAAUAUUAAUUAAUCAAAUGUGUUUUGGUUUCCGUAAACAAAGCUUUAAUUACACACUUUGACCUUCACACAUCACAGUCACCGACCUCAGCCAAUAACAGCAUGCCACGUCGCCAUAACUCACCAAACAACACUCCCUCCUAACUUUGCGUAUCAUUUCAAUUUCCCCAUAUGAAUCGCACCGUAUUGCCUCUUUCUUUCUUCCUCAUGAUAGUAAUAAUUAUUAGUUGGAUGUGGAAACUGAGAUUUGUAUUAAAAGUAAAGUUUCCUUUUAAAAUAUAGUUUAAAAUACGCUUUUUCAUCUCUCAAGUUUUAAGUUUGAUUUUAGACAAUUUAUUUUACUUUUUCUCAUAAUUUUUUUAGUAUAAGUUUCAUAACUGAAAUUUUUUUAUAAUGAUCAAAUAAUUAAUUUGCUUACGUGCAUAUUAAUGUAAGGUACUAGAGAAGGUAGAUAUAAUUAGGGAUAAGAUUAUUACACACUUGUAGAUUAAGUUAGUAAAUUAACUCCCAACGAUUUAGUUAAUUACAUUUUAUUGGAAGAAAAUUAUUUACAAAAAAUAAUGAUAAUAAUAAUUAAAGAAAGGAAACUUUUUGGUGAUAGCAAUAAUUUAACUUAAACAUGAAUUGUUCUAAUUAUGGAUCAGCACGUGGAAGGUCCCAUUCCCUUUAGACAUUAUAGAAAUGCUUUCUCUCUUUCUUUUCUUUUCUUUUCUUUUUUCCUUUUCUUUUUGUUUUUUCAAAUUAUUUAUUUUAAACAAAUUGUAAUAUAUAUAUAUAAGAAAUGGGAUGUGACUUCUGUCACUGUUCUUUGGGAAGAAGAGAUAUUAAGCAAAGAGAAGAUUAGGGGUGUUUUGGGUUAUACCUAUUUAGAUGUGACACAUCUAAUUAUUCGACUAUCGUUUACAACGUUGAAUUUUUUCUUCUUUUUAAAAAAUUUUUUAUAAAUUUUUUAAUAGUAAAAUUAGAGUACGUACUCUCUUUUUUAUUCAUAAAACUUAAUUUUUGUUGUUAGAACGGAAAAAUAUGAGAUUUUGAGCCACAAUAUGUUAAUUAAUAUUGAAACUAUACAAGAAUUGAACAUAACUAAACUGACACAGAGUAUUUAGGAUUAUUGUAAAACAUAAUUGAAAAGAAAAAACUCUUGUUCGCAAGUUGAAAGGUUUGUCACGUUAAAAAUUAAACUAUAUCCGAAUGCAUCUUGUGUUGUUUAUGUAACACAUAUUUGAUUGAAAAUAUACAAUAAUAAACGAUAUACUUAAUUGUUUGUGUUAAGGUGCAAGCUCAAUUAAUACUAUGAGUUCCAACAUAUUCUUUCUAUUAGCAAAGGGACCACUAAAUAAUCUCUUCAAAUAGUUAUUCAUCCGUCUAACUUUUCUUAUGUCAAACUCCUCAUUGGAAUACAUUUGUUGGUGACAACAAAAAAUGUCAAAUUGCUUUUGGUUUAACCUCGUAACACCUUAUGAAGAUGAUGAUAUUUUGUUCUCACUUUUGUAUACAUGAUCAACAAAUUAAUACAUAACACAUUAAUGUUAAUUAAAUUAUCUCUAGAGAAUCUCUCAUAUUCUCUGGCUAAAGUGGCUUAAAAUCAACUUUCUCUUUUAAAAACUAACUUAUUAUUUUAUUAUCAUGUGAUAAAUUAUGGACUACAUGGGAAUAUAGGCGCAGCCAAUGCUACACCCAUCAUUCUUCACGACACCCAAUGUUACAUAGUUAUCAUUAUUCAAUACAGUUGAAUGUAUAUUAAAUUGUAUCAUGUUUUGGUUUUGAUUUCACUUAAAAUGUUUUGGAGGAAUGAAUAAUUGUUCUCACUCGUAUACUUAAAGCGUACUUUGGUUGUAAGCGUUGUUGUAAUAACUUGGAAUAGAAGUUGAGACAGAUGGCAGUCCUAAAUUCUAAGUUGAUGAAAUAAACUCUCAUUAUAUGUGGAGCCCAAGGAGAGUGGGAUUCGUGAGAUAUGUUUGGUAGCGAAUAGCGGUUGGCCACAUGUGCCUCAAUGCAAUUUUUAUAAAGAAAAAUGUAUGUAAAUUACCUAAAUGCUCUCUAUCCUCUCUAUUUAUUCUCUCCCCUCUUUUGAUUUCCCUCUCAAACGCUCAUCAUCGCCAUCGUCCAACAAGAAGAAGAAGAAGAAGAAGAAAAAUGAUGGAUCCUCGAGCUUUGUUGUGUUUCACUCUCAUUUCCAUUGCCUUCCCCCUCGCCCGAGCUCAGUCUCCCUCCAGUCCUCCCACUGCCACCCCUUCUCCUCCCACCACCUCCACCCCUCCUCCUGUUUCAUCUCCCCCUCCAGCUGCUACUCCUCCUCCGGCAUCCCCACCACCGGCCUCUCCACCUCCCGCAUCCCCACCACCAGCGACUCCACCUCCGGCUUCCCCACCACCGGCAUCUCCUCCUCCGGCUUCCCCACCACCCGCAUCUCCCCCUCCGGCAACUCCUCCACCAGCAUCUCCUCCUCCUCCCGCGACUCCACCACCUGCACCAUUGGCAUCACCGCCGACGGCAGUUCCAGCUCCUGCACCAAGUAAGAAGAAGGUGAAGGCAGCAGCUCCGAGUCCGUCUCCUGUUUCGAGCCCGCCUGCGCCGUCAGUAGAGGCUCCAGGACCUGCAGGUCCUGAUCAAUCUCCUACCCCAUCUCAGAACGACAAUGUAAGUUUCUCUCCCACAUUUUUUGACAUUUUUUUCAAAGGUUAUUAUGAUAUGAACUUAAACUGACUCUAAGUUUCGGUUUUGACGUUGCAAAACUUAAGAACACACACACAUAUAUAAUUCAAUCCUCCACACCAAAAUCUACAAAUCACAUAUAUUGUUGUAGUGAUCAAAUGUAUUGUAAUUUUAGUAUGUGUUCUACAAUAAUGAGUUUAGUUUUAAUUUAGUUCUCUACCCUUAUAAUUUUAAUCUUAACAUUUAAGCCUCAUUUCUUUUUAACUUUGAUAUUUUAGUAAAUAAUCAUUUUCUUCUUUUAGUAUUAAUCUCUUUUAAAUUAAUUUUUUAGAAAAUGAUAAUUAUAAUUAAAAUUUUCCCCUUUUGUUCAAAUUAGAUUUAAGAUUUUAUUUAUUUUAAGAAAUUAAAUUGAAAAAAUAUCCGUACAAAGUUUAAUAAAUUUUAUCUUUUUAACUUUUUUUUUUGUAAAUAGUUUUUCCUAAUUUUUUUAAAAAAAUUCCUUUUAUUUAUAAUUCUUUUAAAUUAAUUAAUAGAAUUAAGACAAAAACUAAAAGUAAAUAUCGCAAAAGUAUAAAAUUUAAAACUUACGUACUAAAUUGAAAUACGACUCAAUUCUUAAUAGUGAUCUUUUGAAAUUUAGUAACCUAGAUAAAAACCCGACACCAAAAUGAAGGACUAAAAAUGUAUUUUUUUUUCCUUCUUUCUUGUAAACUUUAAAACUAAGUUUCCUUUUGUCCUACGUUUAUCUUCUUUCUAUCUAGGUUUUUAACGAGCACACUAUUUUUAUAUUUUAAAAUUCACGAAGAUACGAACUUUUAUUAGAAUGCAAAUUUAAUAUUAAAUUCAACAAAUAAGUUUUGUUGAUCUAUAUCACAUAAAACCGUACAUUUUUAAUGGAAUCAUAAUGUAUGAACUUAUAAGAGAAAGAUGUAUAGUUAUAAUGUUAUUUAAAUUUCUUUCCACGAUUGUUUUAGAUGAUAUUUUAGUUAGUGAUUAUGGAUCGAUUAAACAUUGUUAUUGUUGUUGAUAUUGCAGAGUGGAGUGGAGAAAGUUUGGAGAAAGGAGAGUAUGGUGGGGAGCAUAGUGAUUGGAAUGGGAUAUGUAUUUUUGAUGCUUUAGGGAGAAGAAAAGGGUUUCUUUUUGCUGUCUAUGUGUUGCCUCUUCUUUUCUUUUCUUUUUUCUUUCAUUAUUUCUUCUUCUUUGGAUGGCUCUAUAUUUCAUUUCAUUUUGAUUAUUAUUAUUAAUUAGCCCAUGUCUUGUUUGGGACUUUUGAUUUAUUAUUAUUAGCCUUUUGGAUCAGUACUACUCUCUCUUUAUAUAUAUAUAUAAUGACCCAUUUUGCUUGGGAUUCUUUUGAGGCAAAAAUAUCUUUGUAUCUACACCCUAUUUAGAGGGAACUUCUCUUAUAUAUGUUCUCAUUCUCAUUAUUUGUUCAUCUACUAUACCUUCUAUCUUCCUCUUCUUAAAUCAUUUGAAUCGAGUGUCUAAGAUGUUAAUGAUGUAUUGAAAAGUAUUUUAGAAGUGAUCACUUAAGAAAAUAAUUAUGAAUAUUGUAACUGCAUAUAUUUUGAUGAACUAAUCCUCCAUUAAUUCUAUUUUAGUUUCAUAAUUUGAUUCUAAUGUGCAAAAAGGAGUGAUGAUAGAAGAUUAUUAUGGGUCAAGUGUCACAAGAACUCAAAUUACACUAAUAAGGCAGGUGGCAGCCUUUGGGUUAAGCUUUGGCAACAUUUCCCUUCACUUCACACUUGUAUAAAUGUCCUUUCUCACAUAUUGUUUGUUUUUCUUUUCUUUCUUUCUUCUAUUUGUUCAUUCUUUUAAGUUCAAACUUCUGUUUAAAAACAGUAGACAGAGAUUAAUCUUCAUAAAGACAGUCCCUAUCUCAGUGAAAAUGAAAUUAAUAUGCAUAUCCAAAGACAAUAUAGUUCAAUAUUAAUCCACCUAGGUUUAACAUAUCCUACCAUGCUCUUCUUAAUUUCCCAUCCUCCAUGAAUAAUUCAAACUUAUACUUCAAAAAAUUGGACUUAAUUGUUCUUCGAAUCAUAUAUAAUUAAAUUCGUUUUUACCUACUAAUUUAUGUUUUUGGAUCAAUUCAUGAUUUAAGAUGAUAUUAAAAUCGGUGGUUUGGAGAAGUCUUGUGUUCAAGUUCUUACAUUGUUGUUUUCUCAUUUAAUUAUUGAUUUGCAUGAUAUAUAAUUAAAUUAAUUUUUACCCCUAACUUAAUUAAGAUUUUGGGUCAAUUCAUGUUUUAAUAGUAAUGUAUUGUUCUUUUCUUUUCUUUUCUUUUAAGAAGAAAGUGUACUUGACUUAUACGAUAUAUAGUAUAAAAUUGUAAUAUUGUCAAUUAUAUAAAUUAAUCGAAACCACAUUUGAAUAAGAUAGGAUUAUCCAUACAUAAAAAGAGUAGGGUUAAUAAAUGUUUAAAAGUAUCGAUGAAUUACUAUAUCUAUACCCAACAAGGGAUGUAUCUGUGGUAAGUGGUUCAAACAUACGAACUUCAAAAUUAAACGUUGUUUGGUUUGUAACAAUUUCAUACCAAGUUAUAUAAAAAUGAUGAAUCUAUAUCUUGAACCUAAGAUAUUGCAAAAUGAGGAGUCCACAUCUCAACCUUGAAAACCUAAGACAAGUGAGUGAGCCGUGAGGGUAAAACUUGCCUAAAUGACUUGUAUUGUCCGUUAUGUUUAAUUUGCAUAACAUCAUAAGAAACUUAUAAUUGUAUCGAAUAAAAAAGUUUAACUAAUGAAUCAAUUUUUUCAAUUAUCCCUUUUGUUUAUUAACCUAACAUUUACCAUUACACGUGAAAAAAUUAAUCCAUUAACUUAACAUUGUUUAAAGAUAAUCUUAAUAAAACAAUCUAAAUUGAUUCACUUACGAUAUUUCUCGAAUAAAAUCUAAAAAACGACAUUGAAAAUGGUAUAAUUUAUUGGGAAAGGAGUUAGUAUUACACAUCUAUUAUAUAAUAGAGAAAGAAUUAGAUUUUUGAGAAAAUUACAAAUUCAAAAAGCUUUUCUUUUAAUAAGUUAACGCUAUAAGAAAAGAAUAUUACCAAAGAAAAGAAAAAGGAAAUAAAGUAUAGAGUUAGGGGUACUUUAGCAAAAAUAGAAAUCAAGAAAGGGACAAAAAAAUGAAAAUAAGAGAUAGUUGGAGGGUCCCUACCGACACAACGCUUCCUUCUCUCCUCACCCACCCAAUACAGCUGUUCUCUCUGUCUUUACUUUCAUUUUUUUCUUACCCCACCCCCUCAUAUUUUAUACUUUUUCAAUUUUUAAAUUAUUAAAUUUGAUAAAAUAUUUACUAACAUAUAUCAAAAUGUUCGGAUUAUAUUGAUAAUCAAUAUUGAUAGACAUCGAUAUGCUUCUAUCGUAAUAUUAAUAGACGGUGAUAAAAAUUUAUCUAUUUUUAUUACGAUAAAAUUCAAUAUUGUACUGUAAAUUUGUAAAUAUUUUAAUUUAUUUUGCUACUAUCUUUUUAAAUAAUUAAUUAUAACAAAUAUUUAAAUAUAAUAAAAUAAAUUAAAAUAUUUCAAAAUCUAACCAAAUUUUAUUAAUAUUUUUACCCAUUUGUUAUUUCUGAUCAUUUUUCAAUAAUUAUGUAGGUUUUGAAGGGAGUAUUUUAAAAAUAGAAAAAAUGGUAAAAAUACUUAGAGUCAUAUAACAAAAUUAUUAAAAAUGUAAAUAUUUGUGAUAUGUUCUAUUUUUUACAAAUUUUUUUAAAUAAAUAAUUAAUGAGGUCAAUUUGUGUAUUUUUUUUAAGGUUAAUUAAUUGGAUUAAAAUAGGAGGACUCGAACUUCAAUAUCUUCUUUUAGAAAUAAUAAAGGUUAGGGAUGAAAGUUUGAAUUUAGGAUCUCAAAACAAAAAUUAAGAUGAUUGUUGAUGAGUAUAUAUAAUUGUAGUUGGUAUGACAUUUUAUCUUAGAGGUGAGAGAUACCACAUCUUAACAGUUCUACGGAAGAACGAUUAAUUUUUUUUGAAGAUCAUAUUUAUAAUUUAACCAAGGAGAGAAAGAGAUAUACUCACUCUGUUUGGUGUUUUAAAAGCGCUUAUUAAUUCUGCAAACUCCUACUCUGUUGAGAGAAACAAAUCUGAGAUUUCAUACAUUUCUCCCAUCUGAAAGAUCAAAGCAAUGAGAACUCACCUUUUACUUCUUGGUUUGUUCUUCUGUUUCCUUCUCUUAAGUGCUUCUUUCAUGGACACUGCCAUGGCUGAUUCAGGUACUCUCUCUCUCUCUCUCUUUCUUUCUUCUUCAACAUUCAAUCCAGUCCAUCCCAUUUUCUGUUCAACACACUUUUCAAUCACUUAAAAACAAUCCAACUUCAUGUGAUAUAUUAAUAUCGAUUUUAAACGGUGAAAACUAUCUUCAAACUGAUUUUGAAAAUAACACAAACCCCAUUUUAACCAUUCCAAUAGCAUGUCAAUACACUAUUGUGAAAACAUGGUAUGUCCAAGUAAUUAUAUAGUUCAGAUCUAGUUAACACAACUUACAUAUAACGUUGGAGCAUCCACUUGAAUCAACAUAUAUACUAUUACUAAAUCCUGGAUUAUCCACUGAAAAUUUGAUAUCAUACGCGAGUUUACUUGUUGGAAUAAGCAAAAUUGAUUAUGAGUGAUGAAAUGUGAAAUGUGGUUGGGGUUGGGGGCAGACCGGUGCACAAGACCGUGUAGGAAGAGGUGCUCGAAAGCGAAGCUGAAGCGUCGGUGCAUGAAGUAUUGUAGAAUAUGUUGCAGUAAAUGUAAAUGUGUGCCAGGGGGCUAUGGGAAGCGCCAUUGCCCUUGCUAUAGCCAUGUCCACACCAUUAGAGGCAGGGCCAAGUGCCCUUAACUUUUAAGACCAUAUGCAUUUAUUGUCUGUCCCUUAUUGUUAUUAUUAUUAUUAUUAUGAAAUCAAAUAAGCCAACCUAAAAUAGUACUAUAGAAAUGAAAUGAGACCAAAAUAAUUGUGUCUGAUUUCAAUAUUAAGUACUGCUUCAAAGUUUGAAUGUGAGGUUUGUUUGGUGUGCUUUUUUUAAUAAUAAUAAACUAUAUGUAUUUAUGAUGUGCCUUUGAUUAUUGUAUUUUAUUAUUUAAGGCCUUCUUCUAUUUUAUUAUAUUCUAAUUUAUGUACCUAAAAGAUUCAGUGGUUGAUGAAUUUUCAUUCAAUAAAUAAGGACAGUAAUGUUAUGUAUUAUGUCUAUACAAAUUCUUUUAUCUGGAAUAGCUUUAAACCUAUAGUUGCAAAUUUAGCAAUUAAAUUCAAAUUAAUUAAAUAUAUAGCACAAUUUUAAAAAAAUUGCAAAUGUAGCAAAAUUUGUGUCUAUCAGUGAUAGUUUUGCUAUAUUUGUAAUUUUUUUAAAAUGUUGUUAUAUCCUUAAUUGUUAUUGCUAAAAUAGUCCUUCAUUGUAAUUUCUCUUAAAAAUUAGAGUUAAACUUCUUAUAAACAUCACAAAGUCAUGAUUUAGUUCGUUUAAAUUACUAAUCAAAUCAAAAUUUUAAAACAUUUUUGACAGAUUUACAAGUUAUAACUUAAAAGCAAUUUUUAGUCCAACCUUACAUCUACUCAAUAUAAACGUAUUAAAUCAUUCUCUUCAAAAAAGUAUUCAUUAUAGUCAUGAUAACGUAGUCUCAUACUAAUAAUCACUAGACAUGAACUUGAGAUACUUUGAAUUGUAUAUAAAUUUAAGAAUCUUUAAAAGUUUUUCUGCGGACAUUGAGCCAACAUAGUAACGGCUUCAGAUAAAUUUUCCUUUUAUUCACCUAACCAUCGUUCCUUAAGAAAACAGAGCUAUAGAUUCUUCCAAAGAGAAACAACAAACCCUAUUCUUGAAACAUCAAAACAAAAACCUUUCUAAUCCAACUGAGUGAAUGUAAAGAAUAUGGAAGACAAAAUCUGAGAAAAAGGGCAUUCAGCAUAACAGAAAGUUGAAGGCAAUGAUAAUAUGGGGAGAAUAACUAACUAUAAAAAAUGAAUAAUGCAAGUAACACUGUAAAUAUUAAGCAAAUUAGUGAUGAUUCUAAUGUUACAGAUUUCGGAUUUUAUGACAUUAAACAAUUGUCAUAAACACGUUUCUUUGACAAAUUUUGCAUCUUAAAAUCAUCUAUAAUAAAGUCUAGGGAAAGCUUCAAACACGGACACAUCCAUCAACCAUUUUUACCCUCUAAGAACCAGAUUUCAUUACCUUUAUCAAGCUUCAUUCUAUGCCAAUCUCUUGACGAUGAAUACUUUUCCUAAUCUGGAUGUAAGGCCCCUUAAAGUAAGAGAUCCUUUCAUUGAGGGCCACCAAUCACGUUCAUUGCAUCAGUGGUUAGAAGCAAUAACCUUCCUUCACAAAGCAUCUUCCCCCCCCAUGAAACGCCAACCUUAUUUGGCAAGGAGAGCACGGUUCCACGAAGAUAGAUUCCCAGUGCCCAUUCCACCCAUAGAAGUCGGGACAGUGGUCUUCUCUGUAAUGUAUUGCCUCCAAUAUCUUGAUUAUGAUAUCGAUGAAAAUGCCCUGAGACAGUACAAACACUAAGUCGAUUCAAGAGGGCUGGCUCUCUCCCCUUUCUCAGAGUAAAAGCAUGAAAAUACGAUUAUCCAAACAAAAAGUAUAUAUACUGAGCACGCUCACUCCGAUACAGAAUAUUAUGUCAUGUCACGUGUGAUCCCACCCUUUCGUACAAACUCCCCUUUUCACCGUUUCGUGAAUAUUUUAGAAGUAUUGGAAGCCUAACAGUUUCCUCAUCCACUCUGCUGCCUUUCCAAAAUAAAUCUCUAAUCAUUCUUUCCAAAGAGCUUUGGAUUUAGGAUUUCCUCCAAGGGGUAUUCCCAGUCGCAGAUAACCAAGAGGAAUUUUCAAUUGUCAACGAACAAAUAAUGAACAUGUUGAGCAUCAAUAAAGCUCCGUAGGGGUAAAAAGAUUGCUAAAUAAACGCAUCCUAUACCUUGUGAAGUUUUUUCUAUGGGAUAACUAGUUUCAUUUGCUUCUCAAGCUCAUUCAAGGUAGUGUAUAAUAAAUCAACAUAAGGAUGUGAUUUGGUUGCCGAAAAAAAUUCGUGUACAGUUCCAUCUAUACUGAUCCAACUCUGGCCUGGCUGCUUAUGAACACCCUUUUCUCUCAUAAACCAUCUCAAAGCCGAGACAUCAUCCCAUUGAAGAUCCGUAGCAAAUGAAUUGGCCUGCAUUACGUAGCCAGCAGAGUUUUCAGGAUCCACUUCAACAAGCUUCUUUGAAACAUAUUGUGCCAACUCAAACCUCGAAUGGAGUAGACAGCCUCUCAGAAGAGAACUCCAAACAAAAUUAUUGGGUUCAAAAGGCAUGGUUGAAAUAACUUCAAGAGCAUCGUCAAAGUGGCCUGCCCGAGCAAGGAGAUCAAUGUAACAAGCAUAGUGUUCUAAACUAGGUGAUACUAAAUAGUGCGUAGUCAUUUCAAUAAAGAUUUGACGCCCUUGUUCUAGAAACCCUGAAUGGCUACAAGCAGAUAAUAGGCCAAUAAAUGUUCCAGUUGAUGGUAUUAUAUUAAUCUCUUGCAUUUGGGCAAAAAGCUUCAAUGCCUCAUCGCCUUUGCUGUUAACGGCAAGACCCAUGAUCAUGGCAUUGAAGGUGAUUACAUCUUUGUUGAUUAGUUGAUGAAAAACUUCCUUUGCCCUCUCCAAGCUACCACAUUUACAAUACAUAUCAAUCAAUGAAGUGGCUAACAUUUUGUUUGAUGCAAUAAUACCUUUACGGCCACCACGUUGGAGAACUUCGUGAACCCAACUUCCAAGCUGCAAAUCUCCUAUUUGAGCACAAGCCGAAAUGACAGUAACCAUUGUAACAUGGUUGGGUUUGCAAUGGGGAUUUUCAACCAUUAGACGGAAAAGGGUCAAGGCUUCCACAGGGAAACCAUUCUGAAAAUAUGCAUUUAUCAUUGAAUUCCAAACAAGCACACUUCUCUUAUCAACAACUUCAUUGAACUUUUCUUCACUCUUCUCAACCAUCCCCCACUUUCCAUAUAGAUAAAUAAGAACAAUAUUAAUUGAGUCACAACAAGACCUCUUGGAAUCACAUUUAUUAACCAAUUGUCUUAAUUCUACAACCCAUUUCUCAAUUUCCGCAAUUUGCAACUUGGAACAAGCAGACAGAACACUAACUAUGGUGUCAUCCUCAGGCUGUAUAUUCUCUUUGACCAUCAUAAAAAAAAGCAGCAUUGCCUUUUCAGCAAGACCCAUCUGGGCAUAGCCAGCAAUUAAAGAAGUCCAACAACAAGCCAUUUCUCUAUCCGACAUUUCAUCGAAUAACUUAUGUGCAGAAGCCAUCUCCUUCAAGCCUCUCGCAUAAACUCCAAGAAGAGAAUUGGAGAUAAACGAAUCACCAAAAUAACCCAUUUUAAGGACAUGGGUAUGAACUUGUUUCACAUUGAGAGCAUUGCAGGAACGGUGAAACGCUUUGAGAAGGAAAGAAAAAGUGAAGUCAUUAGGGGAAAGUGAAAGGUGCUUCAAAUAUUUAAAGAUGGAUAAAGCAAAGAACGAAGAGUUGUGUUCAGCAAGUACUCUGAUGAUGGCGUUGCAAGGAAAUAUGUUGGGGCGUAUGAGUUGAUUGAAAACUCUGAGUCCAACAGAAUGUGGGUAAUGGCCGAUAAGUCGAGUUGCAAUUAGAUUGUCUUGAUGUUUCAGCAAACGAAAAACUCGGGCAUGGAUUUGACGAAGAUGGGAAUUGUUAAUGCGGCCCUGAAGGAGGUCGGAGAGACUGAUGAACUCAGGAUUGACACACAGACAGCGCAUGGCAUAAGAUUUGAAAUCAACCAAAUGUUGUUGGGCUUGUGAGAUAUAUCAUCGAACAAUUCGUGAGCAUAAUCUUCAUCCUUUAAAGGAAGUAUAGAAGGAGAAAGCUUUACAAUCCUCUAACGCCACCGGAAAUCCGGCGGGAACUUUGACAGUGGCAGAGAACACAACAUGGAAGUGAGUCUAAAACGAGUGAAAUAGUUGAAUAAUUUGUUGGCAUUUUAUGAUUUAAAAGGUAAAUAUUGGAUGAUUUAAGAUCAUUAAAUGUUUUUCAACAUUACAUUUUAAACACUUUUUUAGAAACUGAGUUUAAAUUUUAAUGACUUAAUAUUAGAUUUGCAUGAGUAUUUAUGCGAUUUUAAAUACUUCUACAUAAUAGAUUAGUUUAUAAAUUAAUUUUUAAAAGAAUAUAUUAUUUUAAUUUGCAAAAAAACUCUACAACUUUUCUAAAUAGUUUUUUUCCAUAAAAUUAAAUACUUUAUAAUUUCAAUCGAAUAUGAAUAUAAGUUCGAAUAAAAGAAUUUAAAAUUACGUAAAAGAAAUAUAAAGACUAUGAAAAAAAAUUGACAAAAGAGAAAAAGAAAAACUAAGAGAAGAAAGACGAUCUAAUGAAGGAUAAACUUGGUUUUCUUUUUUAAAAUAUGGUAAAUUUCAUUGAUUUUUUUCAUUAUGUAGCAUGAGUCGUAAAUAUUUUGACCGUUUAUUCUAUUUAUGAAAGUUAACCUCACUUAAUAUUAUAUUAUUAUUUUUAACCUCAAAUUAAUAUAAUUUUUUUUAAUCGGGUUUGAUUUCUUACUUUUGCUUCGUAAAUCAUUUGAAUAACUAAAUUUAAAAAAAGUUUUUAAAAGAACAUUUUAAAUAAAAAUACUUUUGAGGAAUCGUAAAAAAUAAUAAAUUUGACCAAAUAUUUAGAAAUUAAAAUUUAUCGAUUUUAUCAAUAAUAGACAUUGAUAAACACUAAUAUAUUUCUAUGAAUAACAUUGAUAAACAGUAAUAAAAAAUCUAUUAAUUUAUAUUAUUGAUAAAAUUUAUAAUUUUGCUAUAACUUAUAAAUACUUUAAUUUAUUUUGUUGUUUUUGAAAAUACUCUUGGUAAAAUAUCAGAAUUUAUCUAUGAUAUAAGAUAGAUUAUUAUUUGUAUCUAUCUAUCAUGAUAUUUUAGUCUAUGACCGUGAUAAAAUAUAAUAUUUUAAUUCAUUUUGUUAUUUUAAAUAGAACAUUUUCUAAAAACUACAUACACAAUCUCAUUUGAUAACAUUUUCGUAUUUAAAAAUUAAGUUUACAAACAUCUUUUUAUUGAUUUCUUUAUUUUAUUAUUUACAAUCAUUUAAAAAAAACCAAGAUAAAGUUUGAAAACUACAAAUUCCAAAUAGCAUUAAGCAUUUGAUUUCCAGCCAAACAAGCUUCUAAUCUUAUAAAGAAAAGUUGCGAACUAACAUUUUUCUAUAUCAUGAUAUGACACAUUCAUCACAUUCAACACUUCAAAAAUUAUAUAAAAUAUCUUUAUUUGUGUUUGAAACAUUCAAACACCUUUACUUAACAAUUUUAAAAAUAAUAAUUAAAUAUAAAACUUAUUAGAGUUUGACAUGCAAAUAUUUUAAAUUCUAUGCCUAUAUUUGCAAUUAUCCCUUUUUAAAAGAAAUAAUUGCAUUAAAAAUAAGUCUAUAAGUUGGAUAUUUAAAAUAAAAUAAAAUAAUUUCCACGAGAAUUUCCGCUCCGAUCUUUGUCAAACUAAAAGUACCGAAUUUUGCAACGACGAAAACUUAAUCAAGGAAAGAACGACAAGGUAAAAAAAAAGUUUCAAGUACAACACAGUUUUUAAAAAGUAGAGAUUUGAUCUUCUAACUCUUGCUUAAUCCAUUCGGAUAAACUCUAAAUAAAACCUACCCUAUGUUUUAGAAGCUUAAAUUCAUAUAAUGUGGUUGGAUUGAGGAUUAAUCUACGGCAAUUAGUAUAUGAAAUAAAAUAAUAGAUUCAUAAGCCAAAGUUCACUUAGCUUAGAGAAUUAACAAAGUUGAAUUACAAGAAGGUAGGAAGAUUAUUGAACUUAAGAAUAAAAUGACCUUUAACCAAUUAAACUUCUACUGAGUCACUACCAACUACUACAAUUUGACAGUAAAUAUUUGUACUUUUUUUACAAUAUUUUUGAGGUGCCAAACAAAAUGCAAAAAAUGAAAAUAGAGGAAAAAAUUAAAUAACCACACAAAAGAAAACUAGUCACCUUUACUUGAAAGCUGUAUAUAUACUUCCAGAAGAUAUGAAACAGAUCUUUAACACUCUGCCACUGCCACCCUAAACCAAUGUUGAAGAGAAAGUUAUAAUUCAAGGAUGAUUUAUUGGUCACCACCACCUGCUGCAUUUUCAACAUUGCUUGAAAGGGAAAGAAGAUUCAUCAGCUCCAUUCUGUAUUCCAGGCCUCUUAGGUAAUGCCCCAACAGCAUGCACCUUAAACAAAAUUAGGAAAAUAAUACCAAGUUACACCAAAUACUAGAAUCUUAGAGCUCAAGGACACAAUUGUAGAUCAUGUUUAAGCAAGGUCGCCAAGUACAAGAAUCUAAAGCCACAACUCAAUCAACUUCUAUUUCAUGUCAAUAUUUGGUUCAAGAUUAUUAAAAAUGCAUAGUGAAUAAAUCAACAAAGAAUUUCGAAAGAAACUGUUAUGAGCAAACUCGCUUCAACCUCCAGGCAUGGGAAGGGGUUUCUUGGAUCUAUUGAGAGAUAAUUUACGUUGUAGCAUGAGCAUUUUCAAAAUCUGUCACUAUUUUGGCUUUCAAGGAAAACAAUUUCUAAUGAAAACAAUUAGACAAGUAUUUGGUUCUAUUUCAUAACCAAUUUGCAAAAGAAAAAAAGAGUAAUUUACGUAUGUUUUAAAGAUUGCGAAGUUCUUCCAUCUUUUCACCGUCCCAAGAUAGUGCUUCUUUGAAUUCACCACUCUUGAACCAUAUUCUUUUCUUUUCUAUCUUUUUUUUUUUAUUAAAUCCCAUUUGGGAUUCAUGAGCUCUAAUACCAAAUUAGAUUACAACCGAUCAACAAAGAGAGGAUUAACUCAUGUAUAUUGAGGUCCUUCUAUCUUAAAAAAUGUGAGAACCUCAACAAAAACAAACUGCAUGGUAAUAUUUUCUGUUUGAGCCCAUCAUCUUAAACAUCUAAUUAACGAAACUACUCAUAUUAAGUGCACAGAGUGCUGCUCCUACGUAACAAGCACAAAAUAAAAAGGAGGAAAACAAGAAGGUAUCUAACCAGAAAAGUAGACGAGCCAGAUAGUCUCGAGUUAAUGUUAAGAGAGGCUGGAAUUGGAGGGAAGUAUUCUCAACAAGUUCUGCACAAUCUUCAUUACCAAUAUUUGUUGUGCUUGUUCCAAUAUUUUCUGAUUGAGAAGGAACUUUGGAAUGAAUCUUGGGGGAAAGGGUUGCGAGAAGUCCAUGGACAACAGAAUGUAUGGCUUCUUUUAAAUCAGGGGAUGUAGGUUCAGACAACUCAGCCACCUGUUUAUCAUAAAAAAAAAUCAAGCUAAGUAAUAAUCAUAACGCAGCAAAACAUAAAUAUGACCCACAAUCUCAUGCAUGCUCACCCCCUCCAAAGAAGGUUGAACAGAUCAGUAAAUUGAACUCAUUCUCUGUGGAAGAAUUGUACGAUGCACCCAAGUAUUCACAUACAUUAUGUGUGGGUUUGGGGAGAGAGAAAAUGGGGACCCAAGAACCACCACAAUACCAUACAAAGGCAUGCAAUCUUAUACAAUUAAAAUAUAUUUUUUAAAAAGAAGCCAUAAUUUAAGACCCGGUUUGGUUUUGGUUUUGGAAAAUUCAACUUAUAAAUACUUCUUCCACCUACUGAUUCUUUGUGUUAUUAUCAUAGAUCCUUUAGUAAAACCCAAGUUUUGAAAACUAAAAUGUAGUUUUUAAAAACUUCGGUUUGCUUUUUGAAUUCAACUAAAAAUUCAAAUGUGUAAUUGGUAACGAUGAAAUGUUAAAGAAGAUGUAAGAAACAAGAACAAUUUUUAAAAACUAAAAAUAAAAUGGUUAUCAAAUAAAGUCUUGAUGUUUCACAAAUGUAAAAAGAGCAACAAAAGUCAUGCUGUGUUAUUUAUUGUAGCCCAAUAAGUUGCACUAGCGAGUCCAAAAGCCACACCUUACCAAUAGACCCAUGACACAAGUAAGAAGAAAAAUGAUAAACAUGUAAUGCAGACAUUUGAUGCUCGUUGAAGAAAACCAAGAAAGGAGGACCUCGUGGUUGUUAAAAGUUUUGGAUUCUUUGAUAAAUCUAGAAGCUUAGACCGUUAAUAGUUUGAACUUCAAUUUGAUUUAUCCACAUGAUAAGAUUUCAAGAUUAUAAUGACCGAUGACCACCCAUGCUACAUGUAAAGAGUUUAAUCAAAUAGAAGCAGUAGCAUUCCCUACUGUAGAACAAGUUGAGGCAAGAGGCUUAUUAGAUAAUAUGUCAACUAUAACAUAUGAUGGAAGACACCACAUUAAUGUUUAAAAAAUAGUAUUAAUAUUAAUAUAAUUCAACAUUUGGCCCUCCCAUGUCACCCCGCAUUGUCUUGUAUCAACUGUUGUAAGAAUGUGCAGAGUACCCCUAACGUUUUGAUGCACAGACCUUAAUCCUUAAUCCUUGAUAAAUUAAAAGAAGAAAACAUGAAACUUCAUAUAAAUAACCUAAAGCAAAACUUCAAUUAACAUGCAAACAGCAAUAUAUGUCUGAUCUGUACACACCAUGUAGAAUAUCUUAAAUUGACAGCCAAAGUUUGAUCGUUUUUGAAAAAAUCAACACACCUUUUCUGGCUGUAAUGAUCUCAGAUAGUCCAACAGAUCAUUUUUCUCCUCGCCAACAAACUGUUGCAUCUGAAGAGCUGCACUUUUCCUCUUCACCUCAUGGAGUUCCUUCAACAAAUUAACCAAGGAACGUAAGAAAGUACAGUACAAAAGGAACACAGAACGUUCCAAGAUUUCAUGGGAUAUAAUUUAAAAAGAAUAUAUUAUAUUAUAACAAAAAAGGACAGAAGUUAGAACAAGAAGUCUAGUUGAAAAACUUAAUAUCUUUGAUGAAAAGAUUCUUCCAUUUUCUCAAAAAUGCUCCACUAGUUUUAACAGAAUAAUUGAGUGUGCCAGUUGCAAAUAACAAAAUAAAAUUUUCAGCUGUCACCAAAGCGGAUGGACAUUAUUGUCAUUGUCUAACAACAUCUCGGAACUAUAACUAAUACAUUUGGAGAUGGGUUGUUAAAUAAGUAGAGAGAUGAUCGCCAAACUAAAAAGAACAAAUACCUUUUUAAUUGAAGAUAAUUGAAACUGUAAAUGGCGAAUAUGCUGUUGAACUUCAGGAGAAAUCUCACCAAUGCCUUGGAUAUUGAUGUUGUCGGAUGAAUUGUCCAACAAUUCCUCACAUUUGGAAGAAGACUCAUUUUCAUCUAAAAUGUUACCUGAAUUUGCACCGUCAAGCAAUAUUUCAUGUAAAUCAAUCCUACAAUUAUCAUUCAUUUGAUUGUAAUUAUUUCCAUCAUCGAAGUCAAGAUUUCUUUCAAGGCAGAGUCUGUAUUCAGCAUUACGCAAUGUGUACCUGAAUAGUAUCAGAAGAACAAAAAGAGAUACAUCAAGAGAUGUUAAUAUGUAAUGGAAAUUAGAAAGAAAAAAGUAAUUAUUACAUUCUUCAUGUACGGAUUGAAAUCAGAAACAAUGAUACUGAUGACUCAACUAAACCAAACUUAUCAUUAGCCAUCUUAUGUCAAAAAGUUUUACAGAAACAAAUACAUGUGAAGAUGAAAUCAUGCAAUUAUAUUAGGUACGGUUAAAGCCAAUCGACCAUUGUAACAAAAACACAAAAUUUGCCAGCGAAGACCAUUGAUCCAUCUCUGCCUUAUCAAAAAAUUUCAGAAGCCUAAAGAUACAAACUAGGGUAGACAACUUACCCGGUCAUUAUUGAAGAAACUAAUAACUUAGAUACUGGUUCCCAUAAAGCCUCAACUAAAACUUGAAAUUGGUCAGAUGGAAGUAAGCCCAGCAUGCCUGAGAUAGUCCUUUUCAUAGCAUCCACAGUAGUAGGUGGAACAUCUUUUUGAAUUAGGCUUACAUCUAACGGCUCUAUCUCUUGUAUCAAAGAUGAAAGAACUGAUUUCUGAAAAAUGGAAAUAAUAUUCAUCAAACAAAAGAAUUUUACACACAACACAUAUCAAGCAUCAGCAUUCAUCGAGUGCUUUAAAAUUUAGAUCUGAAACAUAAUCAUAGAGAGGAAAAAUACUUGCCUACGCACCAUACCAACCAACCAGUAGAAGCUCCAACUAACUUUUUAAGGCGCAAUUCUAGCGAUUAAGAAUACAUGACACACAAAAGUAAGAGUUCGUGCUAAGCUGUGUAUAGGCAAGAGUUCAACAUUUACCCUUAUCUCCACUUUUCAAAUUUACCAAGUAACUCUCUUACUUUCUUAAUAUACUUCUCAGGAUUAUCGAGGAACUCAAUCUUACAGCUUUACAUCCCAAACAAAAACUUACUAAUUCAACAUGUUAAACUCAGACUUAUUAACCCCACUUAGUGUACCAAACGCCCCCGCCCUAAACAUCAUUACUCAUAAGGAAGCUAGAUAGUUAAUGGUCUUACAACGAAGUGCCAAAAUAGUUAAGUUACUCAUUCACAAAUCCAAUUUACCAACAAGAAACUAAAACUACUCAACUUUAAACCAAAAUUUGGUAGGAUUGUUUGAAAUUUAACAAUAGAUACACUAGCAGCACGCAUACCCAUAUCUUCCACUUAAGUAAACGAAAGUUAAUUCCACAAGCUAUAGACGAGCAAAAUCCCAGCAUUCAAUGUUUUGCGGUUAAAUAGAACUAAGACAAAUUGAAUUAAACAAACGCCAAUUCCAGAGGCAACAGUAAAGAAUCAGACCUUGGAUGAAAAGGGGGAGUGGGAGCGUUUGGCAUGAUCGAAAUUGUCGGAGGCGGAGUGCAAGGAGGAGGAAGAGAUGGUUAGGGCAGAGAAUCGGGAGGUGAAAUUGGUGGAGGGAGGAAGAAGGGGGGAAGGAAAAUGGCGGGUAGAGGAGCGGGAUAAGGGAUGGAAAGGGAGAGGGAGCGAGAGAGAAGAGGUGAAGGCUGCCAUAGGCAAAUAGCGCCACAACCUCAACCACUUCUCUUGCCUCCCUCUUCUUCACCUUGCUUUGUGCUGACUACUGCUUCUACACCAUUUAACUGCAACCACAAUAAUUAAGAGGGGAUUAGAUCCAUGUCGUUGAUGAUGAAGCUUCCGAUUGCGACACCAAACUUGUGUCUUCCACUUGGCUCCUAUCUCAACCGUUGAAUUGUAGCCCCUAAUUGAGAUAAUUGUACGAUUGAUCCAAGAUUGGAGCUCAGUAUGAAACCAUUAAUGAACUAUUAGGGAAGAGACUAAAGUGAGCAUAAGAGAGAGAGAUAGAGUUUGGAAUUCGAGCAUGUUUGGCCUUGGCUAAGGGUUUGUUUUAAGAGGGUAUUGAAGGAGAAAGUGUUAUGUGUAAUUCUUAUUCACAAAAUUUUGAAGAAUAUAUCUUAAGAAAGAUCCUUUUAGAUAAAGGAAAAGGAUAAGGAAAUCUAUCGAAUCAGAGGAUUUUACGAAGAAAUAAAGAUUACAAUGCCAACUUUAAUAAACACAAAUAAGUCAAAAUAUGUGAUAAAGUAUAAUCAUAAAUAAAUGGUAAUGACUUAACAGUAACUAUGUCAAAACAGAUCCCACGAGUGAGGCAUGGGAGAGAAAGGAAGACCAAGUUUGUUAGGAAGAUUAUGGAUGUGAUGGGAUGAUGACGGUUUAUUAGUUGAAAAGUCAGCAAGUUGGAUUUUGAGAACUAACAUGAUGAACGACAAGUUCUUGAGAGAACUUCAUUGUUGAGCAUCGAUCUCAAUAUGCUUUUUAUGUGUGUGGGGCAUUGAAUUAAGAGCAAGGGUAGUAGCGUACAAAUUGUGACACCAAGGGAUUGGAGGAUGAGGCAGACGAACUCGACACAUGUUGCAGUGAAGCUAAAGAAGCUCACACACAGUAAAAGAGAGAGAGAUUUGUAAUCACAUUUAGUGUUUGAAUGUACAUCAACACCAUGUUUCUUUAAGCCUCAUGAGAUGAGAAAAGCACCAAGAAAGACAUAAGACUUAAUUGUGAUCAUCAAUAAAGGAGACCCAAUCAACAUUUGAGUAACCAACCAGUGACAAUAAAAAUAUAGCAUAACAGGAAGGACCAAGAUUACCAAUACUCUGAAGUAGCAAAUGGCAUGCAUGCUCGAGCGGCAUGCCAAUGAAACACAAACGAAAUCUUAUUGAACUCACUCAACUUGUCAACUACAAAUGCAAUCUAUGGUAAGGGUGCGUUGCAAAAAUUGGAGGGAGCCAAGAGGUCAUCAAACUACGAGAGUUAUUUGUUAGUCAGCAUCAAAGAGGGAGUGGGCUUGAGACGUUGCAAGUUGAGAUGGGAGAGAAGAUCAUGUUGGUUUGAGACAAAAUAAUGUUCUUGUGGUCAAAGUGUACCUAAAUGUCGAGAAAUAAGUGAAGGCACCCCAAGUCCUUGGUGGCAAACGAGAGUGAUGAAGUAGAUGAAAGAAAGGAUCCGUUGAGGUGAGGAAGACCUGGUUAAAAUAGGGUCAUCAACAUAAACAAGAGUGAGGCGCCACAUGAUGAAUAAGAAACGAGGAGGGACAAGUUUGCCCUAGAUUGCAUGAAGUUCAUCUCAAGAAGAAAAAAGUACAAUUUUUCAUGCCAAGCGUAUGAGACUUGUUCUGGUGGAUAAUUAUAAAGAAUUUUCAUUAUUAUUUAAGAAGUUUCUUGAAGACAAUUUUGGAUCAUCGAAUCUCACACUUUGUCCUAGAUCAAUUUAUGGUCCUAGAUCUUUCACAUCUCUUUAAAACAUGAUUUGAAGCUAUUGGAUAUUACAAAUAUAUCAAGGACAAAAUAGAGCAAUUGACUUUGCUUGAUGGCCAAGUACCCUUUGGCUAUAAAUAGGCGAGGACCCGUGGUUGCCAAAUCAUAAAAAUCACCAAUAAGUUGAGUGAGCUAUAAAAUAGGGAGUGUUUCUUCUCAUAAGAGAGUUUUGUAUUUCUUAAUAAGAAAGAAAGUUUCUAAGUCCUAUUUUACAUAGUGAAUUAUUUUUCAUGUAAAAUAUUUGUAUUUUAUUCACUCUCUUCAUUUUUCAUUAUUAUACUAAUCUACUUUACUUGCAAUCUUUAUUUAUUCAAUCAAAGUUUGUAUUCACAACAUGUUUGAGGCCAUAUAUGACAUUGUAUAAGUGAAAAAUAUGGCGUGGAUGCUUGUGAUGUGCACAUAUAACACUUACAUAUGUUCUUUACGUGGGUCGAGUCAUGGAGAAGUGCAUUACUCACAUCAAGGCCGUGUAAUGCCAAACAAGAGCAUUGUCAAUGCCUGAUGUUUGAAGAUAACCAUUAACUACAAGUCAAGCAUUAUAACGUUGGAUAUGAGUUAUCGUGUUUAAUUUUAUGGACCCAUUGGUGUCAACAAUGUUGUGAGAGGGAGCAUAAGGAACAAGAUCCAUGUAUUGUUCCUUUAAAGAACUUCAAAUUCUUCAUAUACGACCUAAUACCAAACAUCGAGAGAGUCAGCUUCACAGUAGAUGGUAGGUUCUAAUUGAGUUUAGAUAGAAGAAUAAGUAAGCUAAGUAAGGUAACUAUAGAAUUGGUGUCGUUUAAGGAUCCAAAUUUGGCUUGGGUAGUCGAUUGAUGUAUGUAGGAUGAGAGGUCUACACGAGGGAUAGUAGGAGAAGUUGAGAGUGGUAAUGAGUAUAAAAGGCAAGGCAUGAAUUUGAAACAAGGUUGUUUUUAAAUACAUCAAGAUAAAUCAAAAUACAAUCAAAUAUCGAUUAAAAUCAUAUUUUGAUCCUUAAACUUUUUAUGUUUUGAUCAAGUACGGUUGAAGAAAAAUUAUGGACCAACCCAAAGCAUUCGAUUAAAUAAGCGGGUCAACCCAACCCAAACAAUUUGAGUUGUCAUUUACUGCAACUUGAACAAAUUGUCAUUUAAAGUGCAGAGCCAUAUAUAUAUAUUAUACAAGGAUUGAGCCAGGUCAAACCGACACAUUGCUUGCACAACCAGACUCAACUUUUCUUUUUUCCAAUUUUCUAACCAAAUCCAAUCCAACCCAACCCAACCCAAUCAAGGUUGGCUAGUUUGGGUUGAUCACCUUAUUGAUUUAAAAUCCUAUUUACUUUCAUAUUUGUGGUUAAAAAUUAAUAGUUCUUUUUCCCAAAGGAUAAAUAAGACUUUCCAUCCUAUAUUUAUUUAUUUUUUAAAAUAAAAUCUUAACCGUAAAAUAAAAAAAUUAUUUUUAAAAAAGUUUACUGCAAAUAUUUUGUGAAUCAUAAAAUCUAAAAAAGUAUAAAUAAUUAAAAAUUAAGAAUCCUAUAUUAUUAAAAGUGAUUAUAAUAUUUUGCAUAUAGUCAUAAAAAAUAUAGAGGUUAACAAGAUCUUAACAACAAAGGGUGAAUAUGUUUUUUUUAGAAUUCAAAUACUAAAAAUAGUAUUUCAACCUAACAUAUAACCAUCUAUUAAAUUCCUUUUAAUAUAAAAAUAAUUAGUUUAUAAUAUUCGACUUUAAUAUAAAUUUCUCGGUGUUGAACAAAUCAAUCAAAUAUGCACAUAUAAUCCCUAUAAAAAAAUAUAUAUUCGGACAUGAAAGUGUUUAAAUUAGGAAUGAAUAUGAUAGACAAAAAAAAAUUGAGGUUAUUUUUUUUAAGUUGUCAAAAUGAGUUUGACACUUUACUAAAUUGUGAGCUUUCGACUACUGUAUGAUCAUCUAUAAUAUAAACUUUCAAAAAAAAAAGUUUAAAAGAAAAGUGCUUUUUUUAAGUCUAAGAUGCAUCAACAUUUUUUUUUAGGAACUAUACAUAUAUAUUUGAUAAAUAUUUUGUUUAUUUUGUUGUAUUGAACACAUAUAUUUAUAUAUAUUUUGCGUACGUUAGUAUGCAUGAAAAUAAAAAGUAAACGAAAAUAAAACAAAAUGAAAUAGGUAAUACAAAAAUAAAAAAAUGAUAUGGCGCACUUUUAUCUAAAAUUUCGCGACGAACUCCUACUGAGGCGGCCGCUUAGAUUUGAAAUUCAUGAAAAUGGCGGCAUUUCUCCCUCCUCAUCCCCCUCUAUUUCACCACAACUCCAUUCUUCCACCAAUGGAUUCUCCGGCAUUUACUAUCCCCUCCUUCCUUUCCCUUCUCCGGCUAACUUCGCAACUUCCACAUUCUCCCUCCUCCCCUUCGGAAUCAGAUUAUUCCCGUCUCCCAUGGACUCGUCGGAGUACUACAAACCAUCCUUCCCAACCUCCAAGAAACGCGACUCGGAGGAACACUCUUUGCAGCAGGCUACUGCCAAUAAGAGACCCGUGCUUGGCGAGAUCACUAACUCGUUCAUCUUCAGUUCGAGUCAGUGCUCCUUUUCUGACCAGGAGAUGGCGGAUAAGGAUCUGGACAAGGAGGAACUUCCUGAAGUACGGUCUGUUGAUUGUCCCGAGAAAUCUGGCUCGUCGUUGGGCAUUUAUAACCACCUUCGAUCUCUCGAGGUAUGGAUUUCGGCUUCUGUGUCGUGUUUUUUUUCUUCUUCUUUUAGCUAUCUGUUUGGUUAGUUCCCUGUGAUUGAGAUAUUUUGUGCAGUGAAGUUGUUAAGUUAACUGAGGAUUGCAAUUUCUUUACUCUGUCUUGGUUCGGUUAAUUCUCUGUGGUUAAGAUAUUAUGUUUAGGGAAGUGCUUAUAAGAGCUGAGCAUUGCGAUGUCCUUUCUUUGGCUUGAUUUUUUAUAUCAGUUUAGCAAGGUCUAUGAGAUCGAGAUCUUGUGUGUAGUGAAGUGGUUAUACGAGAUAAAUAUCGCGAUAUCUUUUCUUCGUGCAGUUUAGUAGUUUCGUCGUCUUGUUUGUUUACGAUUUCAUUAUUAUAGAAAUCCCGAGGUUCCUCGCUACGGAUAUUUGUUUAAUUUUUCUACGAUUCUUGCUUCUGCGUUUAGUGUUGGCGGAAUUUAUCAUGAUAUGGAUUAAUGUUUCGAAACGCAAUUUUCUUGCUCAGUGUUAUUCUUCAAAGUAGAACGUUUUUCUAAAAUGUAUCUAUAUACAUAUUUUUACAAGUUUGUAAGUUGAAUUCCUACCUGCUAGUUUCCCUAUCUUUCAACUGUUUAGGCAAAAUGUUUGACGAAGGUUUUGUAUUUGAUCCAACUAAUUAUUUCCCUUGCGUGAACCAGAUGGAAUUAAACAUGAAGUUCCUACCCAACAACAUAGAAAAGGCUCGUAAUGAUGAUUCCUGUUCAACUUUCACUCGUUGGCGAGAAAUUCUAGUGGAUUGGUUAGUAGAGGUUGCUGAGGAAUACAAGCUUGUAUCAGACACCCUAUAUCUCACCAUAUCACAUGUUGACAGAUACUUAUCCUGGCAUGUUGUUGACAAAAGCAAGCUACAACUUAUUGGUGUUUGUUGCAUGCUAAUUGCAUCGUAUUUACCAAGAACCCACUUCUUUCAUUGAGUAAUAUUUGUUGUUUUAGUUAUAAAAUCUCAUUGUUAUAUUGAUUGGUGCUGCAGGAAGCAUGAAGAGAUCAGUCCUCCACAUGUUGAAGAUUUCUGUUAUAUAACAGAUAACACUUAUACCAAAGAACAGGUGCUCAAUUAGUCCUUUCCAUGCUUAAGCAUUGCUUUCGCUUUCAAUAUUUUGAUGUUAUAAACAUCUUGCUUUCUCGUUUUCCCUGAUAUAAUUACAACAAAAGGAAGAAAACCUUCAUAUGGUUUAUGAGUUAUAAAUAUCAUUUAUUUUUGUUAUCCACAAUUAUUUUUUGAAACAUAAUUAUUGACAUCAAUAUAAAACAUUUUUAGAUAAUUCAGACGUCAACUUUAUUACUUUUGCAUACCCCUUUUGAGUUAAUGUAACUUGGGUGUUAAUUUUGGUUCAUAUGCGAAGAGAUACUAAUUCCAUGGCAACUGAUUAAGAAUUUUAUCUGGUUUUGUUUAAUAUGCAGGUACUGAAUAUGGAGAGAGAAGUACACAGAUUCUUGGCAUGUGAAGGUGCUCCCACCGUAAAAGUUUUCCUCAGGCAAGAAUGCUUUUCAACUAUCAUGUAUUCAGUUCUUACAAACCCUAUAUUGUUAAUUUCCCUAUAAGUGAUUAACUCAUUUUUGUCAUCGUGCAGAAUAUUUACGAAAGUUUCUUUAGAAAAUUGGAAGGUAUUCACGAGUCACGACAUCUUCCCAUUUUGAUACUUCCUCAUUUUAUUAUUGAUUCUAAAGACUUAACUCUACCAGCAGGCUCCAGAUUUGCAAUUUGAGUUGUUGUGUUGUUAUCUUGCGGAGCUAAGUUUGUUAGAUCACCGUUGUGCACAAAUAUUACCUUCAAAAGUCGCUGCAUCAGCCAUUUUUCUUUCUAGAUUCACAAUCCAACCAGAGGAACAUCCUUGGGUACGUGAUAUUUUUGCAACUCAUUUAAUUACCGAUUUAUAAUAAAGUUAGGUAAUGUUCUUCAUGCAAAUAUUAUUGGUGUUUCAAACGGUAAAAACUUUGUUGCCUCACCCCAUUUUGCAGUGUUUAGCACUACAACGUUACUCCGGUUACAGGGCAUCUGAACUAAAGGAAUGCAUUCUUGCCAUUCAUGACUUGCAAUUAAAUAGAAAAGGAAGCUCUUUACUAGCAAUCAGAGAGAAGUACAAGGAGAACAAGGUACCGUGUGCACAAAUUUCAUUAGUUAUUUUAACUCAAACUUGCAACGUAUGAACAAAAUUGUUAAAGGUUGAUCUAAAGAAAAAUGAGAAAAUGUUAGGAGCAUGGAUGAAGGGUUAAAUACAAAUUUAAAUGAAGUUUUCAUUUUCAUUAGUAAUUUAAUCAUAUUUAGUAUUUAAUUAUAAACAUUAUUCAUUUUUUUCAGUUCAAGUGUGUGGCAGAGUUAUGUUCACCCUCGGAAAUUCCCGCAGAUUAUUUUGAGGACAUUGAUCAGCAAUCAUUCAACAGGUUCUUAAGAACUUAAUUCUUUGAUGCCUUGAAGCUUACUCUCUUCCUCUUCUCUUAGCUAGCAUGACAUGCACAGUAACCAUGCACAAAUAAUUAGAACUAGGUACUUUGUUAGAUAGAAUCAUAGAAGUAAUUUUUUAUUUUGGUUAUCUUUUUCUCCUCAUUGUAGCCAAUUAUUUUGGUUCUCUUUUUCUCCUCAUUGUAGCCAAUUAUUUUGGUUCUCUUUUUCUCCUCAUUUGUAGCCUUUUCUCUUCGUUGUAAGAAUCCAAUUGAAUCAUAAUGAAGGUUUGGGAUUCUUUCCAUGAAACUUGGGUGGUGAUCUUGAGGCAAUUUUGCUCUUACGAGUUUGUACCUCAAUUAUUUAUUUAUUUAUUUUCAUACAUUCUUAAUACCAUUUCUAUGCACAACCAAACACAAUCCAAAAGGUUCUUAAACCAUUAUGUGGUAGAUAAGAAAUAAGAAAUUAAUGUACUUAAAGGAUUAUGUGGUAGAUAAGAAAUAAGAAAUAAGAAAUCAAUGUAUCAUUCGAUCCCGUGUGUCAAUUUAUCAAUGAAAGUAUUAAUUUUCUUAAAAAUUUCGUCGAUGGAAAGAUGAUCACUUUUCAUGGAUGCGAUUGCUCUUGGUGGUAGUAGACUUUUGGUGAAGAAUGUUGUGGGAUGUAUUUAACGAUUUGGGAUGUAAUUCAUGUUUAAAUGAAGAAUGUUGUGGAUGAUAUCGAUAACUUGGCUCAAAAUUGAAAAAUGGGCAAUGUAAUUCAUCAAAUAGUAAUUUGAAAAUGGUCGCACUUUAUUAAAUUAUUUGUGUUUAGGUUGGGAAGCAAUCAAAUCUAAUAACCUUUGAAAAUUGUGUGAAAUCCAAUCAAUAAAAGCCAAUUUUAUAGUUUAUUAUUUAUACUCUUCGAUCUAAUUUUCUCAUACUAAUUGAUCAAAGGACUCCUCAAAACCUCUUCCUAUCAUGUUAUUGACAAUGAUUUGUGAAUACUAUCACACAACUUCCCCUCUCUCCCACCUCUUGCUCAUUUGUACAUUUUCUAGAAAGAGUGACUAUGAUUAUGUGGGAAUUGGAAGGGAGAUAGAGGUCUACCAUUAAUAGAGAUGAAUUUGGUAAAGUUUUCACAAACAUAUAAGAUUGUCAUUUUUGUUUAAACUGGAGACUAGUUUAGUAAUAUUAUGCUAUUCAUUUUCUUCCUAAUACUUAAUAAACAAUUUCAAUCAUAAACAAAUUACAUUUGUAAAAUGUGAUGGAAACUCGAUUAAAAGUAAUAAUUCAGUUAUACUUAUAAUCAAAAUUAAUUAUAAUUGAUUAAUCAAUAAAAAUUUGUUAUAAAAAUUCAUUAUGAUUACACCAAUGGUUAAACUUAGCCUAAACUUUAACUUUCCCUGUCAAUUGCAAUUCUAAAACUAUUUAUGUUAAUCCCUAUCUUCAAAUUCUCAUUCUUUAAUUUACAUCAUUCAACCUUUCGUUCCUUAUAAGAAAACAUACUCUCUUUUAGCCUAAACCCUAAUGUGGACUCUCUUUAAACCGACCCGAACCCGACGAUCCGAUUAUUCGUCAAACUGGUCGAACCGCGACGCAAGAAAGCGCAAGAAAUAGGAGCAGCUACCACGCCAAGUCCUUGCGUCUUGUAAUGGAGGUUGAACCAGAAGAGAAGGAAUUGAAAGCCGCCGGAGCUCAGCUCCUGCCUGACGGACGGCGAGGUCUCCGUAUACAUGGUUGGGAGAUCGAGACUCACAAGCGUUCAAUUCUUACCUCAUCCAAUUUCGAGCAGUACUUUCUUUUUCUCUCCCCCUAUCAAUCAUAGCUGUUACGGAUUUUUGAAGGAAAUGUUGCCUCUUUGUUCUAAAUUUAAUUUCUCUACUUCACGGAAGUUUGGAAAUGGAUUUUGCUAUGAAAUCAAACAGUUUAUCCAGCUUUGGAGCCCGCUUUUCCCUUUCCUGAAUUGUUAUCAUUGUUAUUCAAAUCAUCGUUAGUCUCAGUCGUUCUUUUGUUUUAAUUUCUGAGAAUAGAUUUAUCGGCUUGUAGUGGCAGCUACUGCUGAGCUGACUAUUAUUUUCUAAGAAAUAAUUUAAAUUUAAACCCGUUCUUUCAUUGUCUUAUACAUAGUCUAUGUAGCAUAUUCUUUAACUACUAUGUUUCUAGGUUUUGGAUGAUAUAAUAUAAUGUUGUUCUUAAUCAUGAAUAGAACGUCCAUGGAUCAUUUCCUAUUCAGACAGAGGUAUGCUUUUGGGAGGAUGUAGAGAUCGGUUUUAAGUUCUAUAGGAAAUGAAAUCGAGGGUGGAUAAAUAUUGUUGGAUGUUCUUUUGUUGUUGCUAAAACUAAAAUUAUUGACUAUCUUCAUCCACUGUAUUUUCAAAUGAGAUGAUCCCCUAGGCAUGAACACGCAAGAAUGCCAGUUAACAGUUGCACUCUGAAUAAUAUCACUCAAUCUGCUUGUAGAUGGGAACACAAACUUCAAACGUCACACUUGCCAGAGAUGGUGUUCGGCGACAGUUUGUUAGCUCUCAAACAUAUAGAAACUGGAGUUCAAAUUUAUUUUAAUGCCUUUGAUGCUCUAACUGGGUGGAAAAAAGAAGCUCUGCCUCCUGUUGAGGUUCCUGCAGCUGCGAAAUGGAAAUUCAGAUGGUAACAGCAAUUUUUCUUUCUUAUUUAUCUAAUGAAUGACAAGCAUUGACAGAUUUAUGUCAAGAAGUCAUAGUUAUACGUUACCUUGCAGUUUUCAAUAUUUAUAUGUAUAUAUAUUUCUCACAUCUGAUGAAUGUUUUUCUACUUGAUAGAUAGAAUAUAUCAUUGUGGGAACUGACAAUUUUAUGAAUUUGCAGCAAACCUUCGCAACAGGUGAUAUUGGAUUAUGAUUAUACAUUUACAACACCGUACUGUGGAAGUGAAAGAAUUGAAGCUGAUACAGAGAAGGUAGGUUCUUUUGGCCUUUAUAUCUGUGGAAGUGGCAGUUUCAGGUUGAGUUGAGUUCUCGUAUAGGUUUUAUUUGUUUGGACAUUUUUUGACCCGUUAAUAUUUUUAGUGAGUUGAAAUUUUCUUAUUUAUUGCUCCUCCUUUGGUACAUUGACAUUGAGCAUCAAUUUGAACCGUGAAUAUGUUUGCAAGGGCAUUUGAUUUCUAACUGAAGAAUGCAAAUUCUGUGUCAGUAACUAUUUUUUUUUUUUUAUUAUGAUCAGCAUGGAAGAGAGCAAACAUGUGAAGAAAGCAAUGGUCUCUGUUGGGAGGAUUGCGAGGAGAAAAUUGAUUUAGUCUCACUCUCACUAAAGGAGCCUAUUCUCUUUUAUGAUGAGGUAGAAAGUUUUAAAUAUGGCAGAGCAUAUAAAUAGAAGUACACAUCUACACACGAACGUUUUGUGUGUAUAUUUUUUGGGGGGGUCAACUUCAAUUUUAUACUCUUCCUCUAGUGGUUGUAUCACCAAACCCCAAACUAAUAAUUCUAUCAAUUAGAACUCUAAACUUUCGUAAGUGAAUAAAUUUAGACCUUCUGUUUGGUUUCUAUUUUCUAAACGUUAAUGCAUAAUUUUUGUAUGCGUAUAAUACUUAAAUGCAGGAUCAUCAUAAUAUUAAAAAGAAAUGUUGGAAUCAAAUGAGCAGUAAUGACCUUUUAUUAGUGUCUUUCUCUGUUUUUUCUCAACUUAUUUAAGAAGAAUUAUGGAUUAAUUUCUUUGCUAUUUUAGUAGGAUUUUGAGGGAAGAAUAAUUUUAUUUCAGUGAUCUUGAGUUGAACAUAAAUAAAAAUAUUUGAAGAUAGUCAUAAAUCACUUCUAGAGGGCCUCAAUUGAUUCACUUGUGAAAGUUUUAGGUUUUAAAUUGAUACUGUUGUUAUCUUGAGAUUUAAUUGAUACAAGUCCAAAGUUUUGGGGUAUCAAUUAAAUUUUCCUUCCCCCCUGUUUUGUUUUAUUUAAAUUCUACUCCUUCCUUUGUGGUAUAUUCUUUCCUUCCUUGACAUAUCUGUACUUGGAACUCAACAGGUAAUCUUAUAUGAGGAUGAGCUGGCUGACAAUGGCAUAUCACUUUUAACUGUGAAAGUGGUAAGUUACCAAAUUAUUAUGUUAUUAUAAUGAAAGUAGUGUUCUUGCUAAAGUACUAUGAUAUCACCAGGGACUUAACAUUUGUUUGUUUGAAUUUCUAGAGAGUCAUGCCAAGUGGUUGGUUUCUUCUUUUACGUUUCUGGGUAAGUCGUCACUUUCAAAUUUUUGAAUAUUUAAUCAUCAUUUUUUAAAAGUUUUUUAACCAUUUUACGCCCAUUGACUCGUCAUUGUCUUGGCGUUUUUUAUGAGAGAAUGUUAAGACAAUUGGAGAACUUUAGGGAUAACAAUGGGGAGUACACUUUUUGAUCUUUGGCUUACCAUUUCUUUUCCUCUCUAACUUUGCUUCUACAGCUUAGAGUUGAUGGAGUGCUUAUGAGACUGAGGGACACUCGUAUGCAUUGCAUAUUUAGCAAUAGUGAAAAUCCAAUAAUUCUUCGAGAAAGUUGCUGGAGAGAGACUACGUUUCAAUCUCUUGCUGAAGUAAGAGUUCAUUUGCUAUUGCAUACUAACAUUUUCUUGCUGUGUUAGGGAAAGAUGCUAAACUCUAAUUAGAAAAUAUUAAUCCUUCGAAAAUUUUAUUUUUCUAAAUAAUAUCAGCCUGUGCCUCCAAGGGUAAGCUCUGUUGGCGAAGGCUUGGAAUCUCUUGGUCAAAUCGGCUUAGAGGUCCAAGUUUAAUUCUUUGGGUGAGAUAAGUACAAAAAAUUCUUGAUGUUUCUGGGUCUGGGGUGCCAGACUCCCAGGUACAGGGAAACAAAACUCUUAACUAUAAAAAAAUGAGGAUGUAUGAACUCAUUUAGGUACAAGAAACUUUUAUAACCAUGGAUGUAUAGUGUGUAUGUACUGUAUCAAAAGUUAUUUACGAAACUGCUUAAGCAUCAGUUAAUUUCAUUUUGCAUAUUAUUAUUGUUUGAUUUUGCUUUGAAAAUCAUAAUAUAUACACUGAAGCAAUGCCGUAGUGCAUGUUAUAGGAGUAAAUUGUGAAGUUAUUCUUGCUAUAACUGUCUCCACAUCUUCUUCCCAAAAGCUCAUAUUUUCAGUUGUCUUAUACAAUUUGAUGGCUUUUUUAUCCACAAACAUUAUCUGACAAUGAAUUGAUAUUCAGAAAGGAUACGCAUCUGAUUCUGCGGCCUAUAAUGAUCCGAGCGUCAUCUGCGACAGACUCCAGAUUGUCAUGCAGAAGACCCAAAAGCUUAGAGUCUCUGGUAAAUUAUAAUCUUGUAAAUUGAUACUACAUCAUUCUAGUUGAUUAGCAUUUUCUCGUGUAUGUUGGUGCUGAAGUUUUUUACUUAUAUAUAUUUAUUCCAUGGUUUAUGUUGGAUAAGUUAACUGGUUUGCAUUUUUUUCUAGGAUAAAUUUUGUGCAAACAGGAAUAGCGCAUAACAUAAAGUAAAAGAUAAUGUAAAAUACUUCUAUUUCCCCACUCCAAAAAUGCUAAUUUUAAAAGACUACUCUAGGAAGCAUUUCCAAUCAAACUAUGAAUAGAGAAUCUUAGGCAACGCUCUGUUCAGAUCAGGAAGGAGUUGUCAAUUCAUAGCCCAACCCCAUGGUCUACUCAACUAACUAGAUUUUUAUUCAUUAUCAUUUUUUUUUUCAGUUUGGCCAUGUCAUUGUUUAGUCAGGUUACAAACUUUUCCAUUUUAACUCUAGGAAUGAUAUUUGCCUACUUUUGUAGAACCGGAUGGAAAAAAAUGGUGUUAUAAAGAACACAUCACGAGUUCAAAAUUAAAUAAUUUAUUUGUUGAGUCUUGUUGAAGCUCAAUUUUGCUCACCCUAUGCCUCAAUGGUAUAUUUAUAAUUCAGAGAAAAGGUGACCAACCAAAGAAAAAAAGUACACACUUGUGUGGUGGUGCUUACCACACCGAUUCCAAGGCUUAAGUUUGUUCAAAUUUGUUCGAUGGAGCAAGAAUUUGGAGAAUAAGAGUUCAUAAGAGCUAAAAAGUAGCUUUCAAUUGGUGUAAAGGAAAUAUUUAUUAGAGGGUUUGACUUUGACCCAACGUUGUGUGUUUCCUACUCGGAUUUGGAAUGGGGAAUGAAAUUCGAUAUCCAAGGGGAUCUUCGGUCUUGCAGGCCUCGUAAAGUGGAACCACGAUCCCAAUCAAGCUAGGUCUCGGGUUAUGCCUUAAAAUUCCUGUUAAUCUCAACAUGGGCCUAUAUUGGUCCCAAACUGCCUCGGUUUUAUCCCUUGGUUUUGUCUUCUCUUUUUGAGCUUGUUCUUGAGGUUAGUUGAUCUGUAGGCUUACAGUAUUAGACUAACAAUAUUCAAUCGUGAGGAUGAAGAGAAGUGUUUCUCAAAUGUUUGAAAAAUUUCUGAGCAGAUUGACAAACAACUUGUGAGACUCAGUUUCGGAAAGAAAGACAUUAAUAAGAGAAAUUAGGCCUUGAUAUUUCUUUUGCCACUUAUCAAAUUCAGGAGUCCUCUUAGGUAGUUUUCCUUUAUCACCAAUAACCUUCUUUAGAGCAGUGUACAAACCAUCAACAAGACAAAAGAGAUGAUGAGCCUUCAAGGUCGGAGAAAUCAGAAACUUUGACAAAACGUAAUUUGUAGAAUCAAGAUGAACAAAAAUGAGCUUGCAAAUGUUCGUGAGCAAGAACAUAGGUGAAUUGGAAUUCGUUUCACUGGUCGCUAAGAAGUGACAAGAAAUCAGGAGGAGAGGUUGUCAAAAGUAGCUUCCCUGAUAAUUCUCCUCUCAUAUUAUUGAUACGUACUUCAGGUUAUUUAUACAACACUUAAUUUAUUAGAGAAUUAUAAAUACAUUAGUUUAUUACCAUAAACUACCCAUAGCAUCAGCCUCCUUUCCUUAGUUGGGAUUCAUGGUUUAGCUCUUGACGGUGCUAUGUUGGACAUUUGAGGGUUCAAUUUGGAAGUAUUAUCAUUUGUUGAUGCUCAGUUCAUGACAAGAAUUUAGCGUAAUUCUCAAAUUAUUCUUGGAAUGACUCAUCAAAUCCAUCGUGUUGAUUUUAGGCUUUCUUUAGUACAGAAGGCUCGAUGGUAGUUCUUAGAUUAUCUUUGGCAUGAUUCAUCAAACCUGUUGAACUUAUUUUGGGUAUUUGGUUUAAAAAACUCCAAGGAAAUUUCCCAGAUUAUCCCUUGAAUAACCCGUCAGCCAUUAAACCCAAUUAACUGGUUUUGGGCUUGGUUAUAAUGUGAAAAUUUUCAAUCAUUUUUCUUUUCUAGGAGAAUGAUUUAGCUAUUAGGUGACCACAUGUCACUCUAUAGUUUAUUAGACAGUAAACUAGGGGUGUUUGGGAUUCAUUUUUCUUCGUCUCAUUUUCAAACUUGUAACUAGCUCGACCUACUUAGAAAAGGUGUUGAGCUGAAUGAAUAAAUAGGCAGGCCUGAAGCAACGACCACUUUAGUUUUAAGUUAGAGACCAAGUGUGCCAAGUUGAGGCUUGAGCAAUUUCAUUUUAAAUGCGAUCGAGUUAAAUGAUGGGUGAGAAAGAACGACGAAGUAAUUAAAGUCAUACUUUAAGUGGAAAAAACACCCUUAAGGUUCAACUUCCUUUAUAGAUGUGGAUUCAUCAGGCCAUUCAUUUAAGCAAAUCAAAGCCCAUAAUUAGACUUAGAAGACUUUGUUCAAACUGAAAUUUCACAUCCGGUGGUCACAAUGACGAGCACUUUCGCAAAAGGAGUUGAGAAAGUAUUAGCGGAAAGAACCUGUUGAGUUGAGAACCCCUGUGGAGAUUUGAAGAAGUUCCCAGUCAAAUGGAAAAGGUCUUCUAGAUGUAGAGAUUAUCUAGGAGUGUGCAAUAAAGAGGAAAGAUUGAUGAUAUUGCUAAUCUUUGUGAGGGGUUCAUUGAGGCUUUCUAUGUACAGAAUAACCUAUACUAAAAUAAAAUAUAAAUGAAACUAUAGCUAUUUUUCGUCAACAUACACGGUCAAGAGAUCUAGUGUCAAGUUAACUUGCCUUCAAAUUAACUUUGUUCAAGUUCGAAUAGUAUCCUUGAAGAGGCCCCAUUAACAACCUCCUUUUUUUGUUCUUUUUCUUUUUAAUUAGAGGAACUUUAGUAUGCUAGGAUGAACUCUGUCCACAUCGUCAUUUGGUUUGAGUGUGAUGAGGAUGAUGCUUGUUUAUUCGUCAUGACUUUCAUUCCAAAUUUGUAAGCAUUCUUUAUUUAAGAAUCUCUUUUUAUCAUAGCUUUCAUAUAAUUAUUUCAUCCUCCCUUGCCCUAUUGCAAGGAAUGGAAGGAAUAAUCUUGGCACCUUCUUCGAAUUCUAGGAACCCUCUCCUAAUUUUUUCCACAUUCUAUUUUUUUGAACACUCCAUUAAGUAAACUGCCCUUACCUAAGGACCUUACCUAAGGAGUCAUGGCUCAUUCUUAACAUAUACUUAUUUUCUCAAAUACAUAUUUUUCCUUUUUUUUUUUUUCUUUUAUAAGAAACACGUGUAUUCAUGUAUUUUUACUAACCAUAACUAAGUAACAUUUACUUGUAACAUAUCACUUGUCUAGAUGUUGCAUAAUGCCUACUUGCAUGAAUACAUUUGAAGUCAAUAAUUGCAUUAUCAUAUAUUAGAUGAACAAGAACAACUAAGAAUUGUGAGACGUAUUUUUUAGUACAACAAUUAUGGAAUGGAGGAUCAAACCUUCCACCUCAAAGAUAGAUGACUUUGUCAAAUAUAAUUGAUUUAAGUUCAUUUUGACAUGAAAAAGCACAUUUUCGUCAAUUUAGUGACUUUAAAUAUGUUGUUGUACACCACAUUGCACAUAGCAAUCUUGGAAAUAAAAAAAAUCUUUUUAUUUUAUUUGAUUAAUAUUUUUGUGAAGCAAUUUCACAAUCUAUGUAUCACUCUAAUUUCUAAAUACAAGUUCAUUGACUACCUUCAAAGUUUGGUUACAAAAGGUAAAAUUGUUUUUGUUUUAAAAGGAAUGAUCACUUCUGGCUAUUUAAUUUUGUUUCUUAAACAAGAAAGUGAUAAAUAAGAGCCAUGAAUUUGAUAAAAGACUCAAACUUGUGCUAUUUCUUUGGUAAAUAAAUAUUGUAAGGUAAAAAAGUUAGUCCCUAAUAUUCAUAGGGUACAUGAGAGCUAACUUAUACUUUACAUCACAAUACAAAGAUGAAUAGUCAGACUAAUGACAUCUUAGAGAGUUGGGACUUUGUUUGUUGAAUCAUGUUAAUUGUUUAGUGCAAUAAGGAGAGAGAUUCAAAUUACAAACUUUUUUAUCACUAACCUAUGUUAUAUAUCAAUUGAGCUAUGUUUGCUUUCGUAACUACACUUAUAUUAACUUAAAAUUGAGUAAUCAAAUUAUUAUAUGUUCAGAACUAGUUGAACAAUGCUCAUACAUCAUAUUUGAACUUAUUUGAACUUAACAACUUUUUUCAAAGAAAUCAUCGAAUGUUAUUUUCAUAUAGCUAGCAACUAGAAUUGGCACACCGUAACAAAAUUUGAGUUAGUUGAAUUAAUUAGAAAUAUCAUAUAAGAAAAGAGCCUAAUUUUAAACACGAAUUAGAAAUUCUCGAUAAAUAAUUAUUUGAUUUUUUGUUUUUACUUUUUAAAAAUUAAGUAUAUAAAUAGUUUUUUCUCUAAAUUUCUCGUUUUGUUUAUCUCAUUUCAACCAAUAUUUUCAAAAACUAACCUAAAAUUUGAAAAUUGAGAACUUCGUUCGGGUUUUUAACAUUUGUUUUUAAAAUGAAGUCUAGGAAUCCUACUUGCUCCCUCAAAUUUCUUCAUUUCUUAUCUGCUUUUUUUUUUAUAAUUUAAAAGUUUUGAAAGAAUUUGAAAGAAAAAAAAAAGUAGCUUUUAAAAUUUGUUGUAUAUAAGAAAGAUACAAAUUAGUGUAAGAAAUAAGUAGAAAAUAUACCAAAUUUAAAAAAGAACAGAAAUAAAAAAACAAAAUGAUCAGCCAGGGAGUAAAAAAAAUAGUUUUAAAAAACUUUUUUAUUUUAGAAUUUGAUCAACGAAUUAAACUCUUUGACUCCAUGGUAAGAAGGAAGAGAAAAUACAAUUCAUUAAAAAACAAAAACAAAAGAGCAUGUAGUUACCGAACGAAGGCUUAAAGCUUCAAAUUCAAAUCCAGUUUGAUGGAUGACUCUGUUUUUUGUUGUGUGUUCAAUCGGAAGCUCCCUGGCCAAGUUAUGUGCAUCAACGACUCAUCCUCCAAACUGCAAGAGGAAGCGGUGCCCCUCCCGAUGCUGGCAGUACCAUUUUCGAACCUUGCAACAGUAGCAGCAGAUCCACCAUGGCUAUGCAGACGAAAGGAAUGAGGCUUAACACCCAAAGAUUUAAGCAUCGUACUAUUAGCAGCAUUAUUCACCAAUAAUGGUGGUAAUCCCAUCAUGGUCAUUAGUCUUUGAAAUUGGUAUCUUCUUGCUGCUCCUCUCUCCCUUUUAUGAGCAUUUUGGUGGCCUCCCAAUGCUUGUGAGCUAUAGAAUUUCCUCAUACAAAAAUGGCAAGAAAACAUCUUUGUAGGUGAAGAAUUGUUUGCCUUAUUCAUCAAUGGUUGAGAAUCAGAACAAUCUAUGUCAUUUAAGGUCUGAAAAUUCCCACCCAAGCUCAAAUUCAGCCACCCUUUUGCAAGAUUUUCAUUUGCUAUCGUAUCAUUUCUAUUGAUUUUGGUGGAAUUUGAUUCAUCUGCCUUUUGGAUAUCUCUUAGUUUUGUUGUUUCUUCUCUAUCUUCCAUCAUUUUUCUUAACAAAAGUAGGAACGUUGUGGUAUGAGAAUAGAGAGUGAGAUUUGGGUAUAUGUUUGUUUUGUUUCUAUUUGGUUUUUGCCCCACUUGGUGAGGCUUGGUGUUGAGGAGACAUUGGAUUAUGUAAUUAAAGUUUGUUGCUUUCCUUACUUUUUUUAUUCUAUUUUUUUUUUCUCACCUUGGACUUAUUGUCUUCAAAAAUUAGUCUUUGAAACUUUUGAGAUGGGACAUUUCUUUUUGGAGUAACAUAGCUAUAUAGUUGACGAUACCAAAUAAUAUGCCAAUAAUGGUCAAAUCAUGAUCUUUCAAUGUGUUGAACUUGCCUGCCAUGGAAAAUUGUGUCAAGUAGACUUAAUUUUACCUUCAUAGAUUUUCAUCUUUUAUUUCUCCUAAUUUUGAGCUUACAAAAACAACCAAUCUUAACUAAUCAGUUUGUGUUAGAGAAAUUUGACAAUAUUGGAAGUUAUUAACAUUUGUGUAAGUAGUGAACCCUCUUUUUUUAAUAGGGGUUUCAAUAAGUUUAUAAUUUUUUUUUAAAGAAAUUGAUACAUAAAGUUGAUAACAAAACAAUAAAUUUAGAAAUAAAAUGAGUAUAUAUAUAUACUCAUUUUUUUAAAACGAAGUGAUUGACUUCAAGUUCUUGUGUCGAACUUGCCUUCAAGUAGAUUAGGAGAAUUAUAAGGAAAAUUCACAAAAUUACUUAGGUAACAUGACCUUUUUAUAAUAAUUAUAUGUUUGGUACGAAUUGAGAGAAGUAUUGUGGUUAUAUUACCUUUUAUGAUUGUGUGCAACAUAUUAUAUAAUCUUAUAAUAUGCCUCACCAUAUAUAAAUAUUUACUCAUACACAAAACAUUAGAAAGUUAUAUAUGUGUGUGUAUUAGAAGAACAAGAAUAAAUAGAACAAUUAAAGAGCAUAGAGAACAUGUAUUACUUUCUCUAUAGUUGGCAUGUUUUACAAAGGUUGAUACAAUACUAUCAAAAUGGGAUUUGAGAUAGUUUAUUGAUCACCAAAUUCAUAGCCAUUUCAUUUGUUUUUGUUUUUCUAAAAUUAAGCUUAUUUUCUUUUAACGUGUUACCCGAUUUAUUAUAUUUCUAAAGUGUAAUGACUAAAUUCUUAAUAAUUUUUUUUCAAAUAUAUUUCUUUUAGUUUUCUGGCAUGUAGAAUGUAGAAAACAAAAGAAAAAAAAAUAAAAAACUUAAGUGAUAUGUGUAGGUUUAAUCAUACGAACCAAAACUAAAAACAAAAAAUAAAAUGGUUAGCGGAUAUCACCUACAAAAUUCAACUUUUGAAUGUCAUGAAAAUAAUUGGGAGCAGAGAUUAAUAAAAAUUUGUAAACUAUACAAGUUAUAGACAUCUAAUAAGAAUAUUCAAAUAUUGAUGUGAUAACACCAAAACAAAAAAGGAAAAAAAAUCAAUCUAUUAAUACUAAAAAUAAAAAUAAAGUUGAAUACAUUUUAGGUUGCAUCUAUCUUGUUUGACACACGUAAACUACACAAGAAAAAGUUCAACUAUUUAAAUAAAAGAAAGAAAAAAAAGAUUGUUUCGUAACAAAGGACCAUAAAACAAAGCCAAAAGAAAUACAUCCAAAUACUAGAAGUGAUCAUUGGUCAGUCAAUCCCAAAUCGACAUAGUCAGUUUAGUAAAUAUUCAAACCGACUUCGACAUUGAUGAGUAAAGGUUAAUCAGGUCGAUUUAAUACUUAAAAAUACUUUUGAAGGGCUAACUUAGUUGACUCAAAUUUUUUAUCUAUUAUGCUCCCUCCCAACAAAAACCACAAAAAGGAGAGACUUUACCAAUGUCAGUCAUAUGCUGAACAUAGUAAUGAUCCCAAUGACAAAGAGAAUUAAGGCAACUAAGAAAUGGGAGUAGUAGUGGUGGUAAUUCUUAGUGCUUUUUUUUUUCUUCUUUUUUGAUACUUUGUUGGGGCUGAAAAUGAGCUCACAUAGAUCUUGGAUAAUGGAGUAAAAAUGGUAAAAAAAGGGGGGGAAAUGUCAUUUAGGUUUCUCUGUAUGAGGAAGUGUGAAAAUAGGGUUCUUCGGAAUGGGUGCUUUCUCCUUACUCAAUAUAGAGCCUACCUACUCUACUGCUUCAUCACAUUAUUGGUGAAAAAUAGGCAUCACCAAAAGAAAACACUAGAAGCCAAGAAGCUACUAUACUAUACUACAUUACAUUAAUAUCUCCUUCAACACUUACCAAUACCAUAUAUAACACAUCCAAAUGAUUGUCUUGUCAAUGAUUUGAUUGGAUUUGGCAUCUAACCCACUCAUUUCAUUUUUACAAUCAUCAACACAGUGAAUAAUCAGUAGCCAUACAUGUCCAAAUUCAAAUAUAACUUUGUCAUCUUUCAUCCUUGUCCUUUUUUUCCUUAAUUAAGAAUUCUUGAUCACUGAAGCCAAUAAAGUUGUCUUUUCUUGCUAAAUAUGUCUACUCAGUAAUAGAUCUUAAUCCUACAUAAACUUAAAAUAAAUAAUAAGAAGAAUGACAUGAGGUAGAUAAUCUAAAAACACAAUUUUGAAAAAGAAAAAAAAAAGGAAAUUUUUUAUAUGUACUAUCACAAUACAAUAAAAAUGUUAUUUCCAAAAUUUGCAGAUUUGAAUCAUAGAAAUCCGAAAACAAAUUUUGAAAAUACAUGAAACAAGUGCAUAUUCCCUAAACUUAGUGAAUGAAUACUUCAAAGAAAAAAAAAAAGACUUGGUGAAUGAGAAAAUAUAAAACAUGACCUAAGUUGUCUAGCGAACAGGCAUCAUCCACCAUUGUUUUAGCUAUUUUUUUCUGUUUUCAAGACAUAUAAUGGUGUACUCUGUUUAAGUAUAGUUGGAGAAGCAUUAAGAAACCACUUAUUCAGUUAGCCCUUUGGCUCUUGAGUCUUGACAGAAUGACCUCUCAAAACGACAAAGUUACCACUUCCCUGUUAAUAGUAAAGAAAUCCAUAAAAGGAUUCUCUCUCUCUGUCAACAACUCAUGUACGAUCUAAUAUUUACACCCACUUAAUUGUGCUUCCUUUCAGAGAAAGAAAUUUCUGUCCAACAACCUCAUUCACCUUUAGAUACCAACUGUUUAAUCAGUUUCCAAAUUCUACAAUAAACUACCCAAUCCACUUUUAUCUAACUAGUUGUCAAUGGAUAAUCACCACGCAUCCGGUUUAGACUUGACAAAUCACAGCAACUCUUCCGAAGAUCUGGUCUAGCUUUGUAUAUUUUUUUUAACACUGGCUUCAUAAUGGGGGCUUGUGGAAUUUGUAAACUUGGAGUUUGGUAGCUGUCUCAUUUGGAAGGUUAAAGUUCCUGAGAAAGGUGAAAUUUUUUGUGGAUCUUUGUAAACAUAUAAAGACUGAGCACUAAUAGAGUUCGAUAGAGGCUGCGUAACUCACUACAUGAUAUUCCCAUAGUUGGUGAAGGAUGAGGAGGAUUAGUCCCAUCUCUUAUUCACUGCCCAUUUGCCGCCUUAUGCUAGAAUAAGUUGCUCCAAAUUUGGGAUGUUGGUUGAUGUGUUCUUCAUUUAGUGUGAUGGGGUUUUGUUUCAACAGGCAUUAGAGCAAGAAUCUCAAGGGGUUGAGUCAAGUCGUGAAAUUUUCUAGGGAUCCAUCUAUUUUUCUCAUUUGCUUGAUGUGCCUUUCAAAGGAUUUGGUAAUGGUGAUUUGAUGCAAAUCUAUGCCAAUUAGGAGUAUCUAUCGUAAAUCUCAUUGGCUUGGUAGGGGAUAUAUUUUUAUCUGCCCUAUUGUAGGGCCUUUUUUAAUAGAUGUUUUGUUUCCCAUCCAAAAAGAAAAAGAAAAGUUUUAAAUUUCAGCAAUACUCACAUAGUAACGUGUCCAAAUGGAAAAAGGUACCGGCCGUUCCAAUAGUUAGGAAAGCUACUGAGACCAAAGUUUCCUUGCAACCUGUCCAAACCUCUGCAAAUUAGCAAGUGUUAGCUCAACCUUUGCAAAUUCUAAAUUUAGUAUCGACCCAAUGCUCGGAUGGCUAUUUGAUUGAGACUUCAGCAAACAAUUUUUUUUAAUAGUAAAUCAAUGACAUAGUGAGUGACAAUGAACGAGAAACAACAGCCCGGUGAUACAAGUAUGUAGCACUUGUUUUAAUCCCUGUUCUGAUCAAUAAUAUAAUAAAGAAAACUUCUAUCCUAUUUCCAAAGCAUAAGUUCCGAAUGUAUCAACUCUUCAUGAGUCCCCUGCACUCGCAUGUUGCCGCACAUGACCUUGUUUAAUCCCAUUGAAAUUUAAGUACCUGAAAGAGACACCACAGCCGUGAGAAGAAAUAAAAAAGUUAGCUAAAUCAUCUCUUAAUCUUGUUAGUGUUCUCUGCUAAAAUACAAGCCAACGAUAUUGAUUGAACACAUGAAACAGACACCUAACACCUAACACCUAACGUGAUGUCGUGAUUGGAGAAAAUUUUCACACAUGAUGCUUUGUUAUAACUUAAAAGUACUUAAUAAGCAUGAUAUGCUCAAUAUUUUGUCUUAAAAGAGAAAGAGGCAAUAAUAUAAAAAUACAAGACCUUCUAGACUCUAGUUGAGUUAAGGUAGUCCGCAAUUUAUUUAAAUGAUCUUAGGUUUCCAAUUUUUCUUGCAACCAUUAUGAUUAUAUAACAUUUUUACGUGUCUCAAAUAUUAAGUUGAGAAAGUCCUAGCAAAUAGAUAACGUGUGGCAAGAUAAACUCAAGGAGUUUAAAAUUAUGGAAAAUGCACAUACAACUCGUACUUCAAAAUUUAGUCCAUUCAGAAACAACUUUGAGACCCCGUCUCCAGGCAAAAAAAAAAAAAAAGGACACACUCUAAGUGGUCCGAAAGUUUUCACUCCAUUUUCAUUGCUUGAAUCAUCGUGCAUUGUGUUUAUAUUCUUGAAAUUAUGAUGGCACAAAAUACUAUUUAAAUUUGAACACUAGCAUUGCAACUUUUCUGCCAAUCGCCAUCAAGGAUCAACCUGCUUGAUUUCCUGGUUCCCAGUCUCCUUAGAAAAUACUAGAAUCCAAUGUCUUAUUCAAAAUCAAAAGCACAAGAGGGCAAAUGAAUAAAAUAAAAUAAAAUAAAAACCCUACAAGUGAAUGUCCUUGAGCACCAUCCAUCUUCCACAGUCUCGCUCGGCUCAUCAAUUCAAUCCCAAAUUCUUCUUAAGAUCUUAUCAACCAAACAAACUCAAAUGCUAUGUGUGGGAGAACCUAAUCAUCUCGAUUUAGUGUUCUUGAUUAGUUUGACCUUUUAUUCCAUAAACAGAAACCAUUGCUUAGCAAACUUAAAUUUUGAAAUGCAUCCCUAGGAUCUAGGCUGCGGACAAGUAACAACAAUAAGAGAGAGAAAAUCUACUGUAUUGUGCAUAUAGUGUGUCCUAGAACAAGCAAGACUCACAAAGUAACCACUAGCGAUCUUGACAAGUACGGCAGAAGGUACCAUGAGACAGCUCGCAAAAAGCCCUAACAUUAACAGUGAGGUGGGAUGUCAGACAAGAAGCUGCUGUCAUGCUGUAGAUUGGCAAAAAUGAUUGUACGCAUCCCAAUUCUCCCAAGCUCCUAGAGUAUGAAAACAAUAAAACAGAUUUACAAAUAAUAUCAAAUGGAUAACCUGAAAAUUUUCUAUUAUUAAUUUUACCUAGAGAAAAGGGAAACUGCAUUUUCUUCAUAGGAAUAAAUUGAAAAUAUGCAUAUCAUAUGUGAGAAAGAUGCCAACAUGGAAUACAGCCAAGAAUAACAUAAUGGCGUGUCUAAUAAAGAUCUCAACUUUCAAUUUUGUGCCAAUGAGUAAUUGAAAUUUUAGAAAAAAGUUUCGUAAGUCAAAAGGUCUAUUAAAUAUAAAAUUGGAAGAUCAAAGAUCUAUUAAGCAACAAAAUUCAAACUUUUAAGACAUUUUUUAAAGUUUAGAAAUCUAUCAAGCAUGAGUUUAUCUCUAUGAGUUAAGGACGAAAACCAUAAGAGUUCGUUUGGACAAGAACUAUCAAAGACUACAAUAACCACUUGCUACAGUAAAUACUAUUUAAAAGUCUCCAAUUACUACAAUAAACACUAUUUCAAAGCCCACCAUUUGCUACUGUUAUUACUAUUCUACUAUUUACUACUAUGUUUACUGUUUACUUACCAAACUAAAAUAGUUUACACGCCAAACACAUCUAACCAAGACUAAAAUAAGACAAAUAAUUUACUCCUUCAACACAAACUAUAAUAACCUAUGACUAUAAUGACUCACUUUUUCUCCAAACACCCCCUAAAAGUUCAAGUAACAACUAAUAAAAUUCUACCUAAAUAACUUUCCACAUUAAUUAUUUUGACAUCAAUUUCCUCUUACUUAAAAAUUAUGCGUUCGAAACACAACCGAAGUUCCAAAUUUUUUAGACAAGGGAUGAUCCUAGUAUAUAAAUGAAUACAAUUAUCUCUAUGAGACAUUUUGGUAUUAACCAAAAGCAAAGCUAUAUUGGUUUUGUCCAAAGUGGGCAAUAUGAGACAACUGUGAAAAUAUGUCGAAGGUAAGUUGUUCUAACAGUACGCCAACUAGUUUCAGUUAAUAACAUAUUCCGUAGUCAUAGUGCAGGAAAAUAGAAUAGAAGAGGUCAUUUCCUUUUCAUCUACUUUCCACAAGUAACUACAAGAAAGCAAGCCAACAUAUCUAAAUCAAGAACCAUCUAUAUACCUAAAAUAUCUUAGCUGUGAGAAUUCUCUCCAACUUCUAAUCAGACAAUUAAACUAUAGAACAACAAAACUUUUUCGAGAUUCCAAAACUGCAAAAACUUAGUAAAGCCAAAUUCACACCCAGUUAAGUAUCAAUUAGCCACAAAAAAAGGUAAGUGAAAGUAUUCGUGGCUAGCAGAGGAAUGUUAGGGGGAUUUUAACGGAGGAAACCUGGAAGCAGCAGAGAAAUGGCGGCCGGGCAGGCGGCGGGGAGCGGGGAGCGGCGGCUGCGGGGGGCGGAGUUGAGGAGCCGAUGAAGAUAACCGGGAAGAUGAAGAGCGGACAUUGGAAAUUAGCGUCCGAGAAAGCGAUCCAGAUCGCCAAGCCAUCGUCUUCUCCGAUUCAACGCUCUGAAUGUUGUGAGUAUGCUGGCGGUGUUGGGGCUUUGCGAGGGUUUUAGCUUCCCCGCUAUUCGGAGCUGUGCGAUGUACGAUAGUUACCCUGUGUCCUCAGUUUUCGUCCGUAGGAUUAUUUAGUAGAUUCUUUGCAAUUAUUCCUUAUUUAUUUAUUUUAAGAAAUAUGGUUUUCACUCUUUUUUUAUUUAUUAUUAUUACAAUUAGAAUUUACCUUUACCUUUUUCAAAUUAGAAGAGAGACUCUAAUAUCCAACUUUGUUCAAUUUUUUUCUCCCAACUCUAAACUCUAAACUAAUAAUCACUGUGAACAUGAAGUUAAGAAAUUAUGCAUUGACAAUUUUCAAAUAUAAUCUUAAUGAAGUUUCUAAAUAAAUUUUCAUUUGUAACAAUUUAUAAGUUUAAUUGAAAAACUAAAUGUUUUGCAUGAUACUUUUCAAACUAAAUCUAAAGAAAUACGUAAAUUGAUACACUUACGAAAAUUUAGAGUUCAAACUGAUAUUAUCUAUGAAAGUUCAAAGUUUGAGUUAAUUCCUAGCGUUCAAAAGUAUAACACAAAUAGAUAUUUGCCCAUCUUUUAUAUACAUUCUAUAGAAAAGAUGAGAAAUGCCAAUAACAUCAAAUAUGUUUGCAAUCAAUAAUGUUGAGGUUAGAAGUUCAAUCUCCUGCACCACAAUUGUUUUUAAAAAAUUAUCAAUAUUUCAUCUCAUGUAAUGUAGGGUGUAAAAUUGUCUGGUCUUUCAUUCGAGUUUAGAAAGCAUAUGCAAAUCUAGGGUAGGUGAAAAAAAAACCAAUCAAGGUGCCAAUUUCAUUUAGAAGCUUCAUGUUCUCAUUAUUCACUCUCAGAAAAUAAAACAAAAUUUACAAAAUAGUUAUCGAGUAGAGACUGCCGAUAACCUAUCAUCUCCUGCUGUCUUAGACUCUUAGCUUACAAACAACAACAUUUUGAGGGGUCGUAGAAAAACAAAAAAGUCAAACUCAACCCGUACCGAAAAUAGGUAGCUAAUUGUUUUAGAUGAUCUCACACUUCACUCCAUAUAAUUUACAUCGAACUAUUUACAAAGUAUAUAUAACUAACGUGUUGUCGUCGUCGUCGUCUCUAAUGGAAAGUGACUCAAAAGGAGGCAUUGAAAACGAUUCAUUGGUAAUCCUUACUCUAUUAUGAAUAUCAUCAAGCUGAGUUUGCAGAGUUGACAGUUUCAAUGUUAGCUCAGCCUUUUCCCUUUCCCACUCUUCUUUCUCAUCCUCAUGUUCCUCUACGAUUUCAUCCAACCUUUCUGUUAGACGAAUACACACAUUUCUGAUCAAGUCUAGUUCAUUGGCGUGUCUGUCAUUGGAUGGUUCGCGUUCAUCAGCCCAAUGAAAGAAACCACAUUGCUGGCAGUGUUCAGAAUAUAAAUAUAAAGAAGUGAAGGUAAACUAAGCAGAGAGCAUAUGAAUUUGUAUGUGCUUACUUGAGAUAUCUCCUUUGGACAGUUGUAGAAUAACCUGAAUGGACCUUUUUCUGUAUGAGACAUUCUUAGUUUUGCCGCCACGCCACAGUAACAUUCUAGAUAUGAUUCCUCGUAAAUUUCCGAUGAAGACAUUGUUUAACUAUGGAUCCUGAAAUCAAUCAACCAAUCAAACCAUACGAACGAGAAGAAGGUUAAAAGUUCCUAUAAGAAUUUCUACAGCCCUGUAUCAUACAAGUAAUGAAAUGGUUGACAGUGAUAACAGACAAUUCUCCAAAACCGAUGUAUUUUCCAGCUACUAGUAUUGUCUAGUGUUAGACAUCAAUCAAGGAGUCACCACUUAGAGCUUGAUUGCACUCUUUUGAUAACGUCGACAAUCUCGGCUAUUCAACAAAGUUGCACUACACGGUAUCAGUCAAUUUUCAAACACUAUCCUAAUUCCUAACCAGAAUCAGGAGGUCAAGAAAGAUAGAUAACUUGACCUUGAAAUAUUGUCAAAGUUUAAAAUAAAUGAGAGACAAUUACAAAGAAAAAGAUAGUUAAGCUAUAAAACCAUACAAGGACAUGAAAUGCUAAGUUAAGCUAAACCUGAAAUAAUCAUUACUGUUACACCAACAAAAAACUACAAACUUUUGCCUUUUCUUAUCUUCCUCAAAACUGAUAUUUUGCUAAUCCCGAGCAAGGCUUUGCCUACCGCAAGACCAAUUCUAAAAGACAACAAGAGUUUAAAAUUAUAGAAUUAUUUAACCUUAGGAUCUUUAAAAUAGGACCCUGGUAGAAAGUAGCCCUUGCCACCAAGAUGCUAACACAAGCAACUACAUGAAUAACCGAUUUCUGAGAAUUUCAUUGGAUUAUCGUUCAUUUCCCCUCCUCUCACACCGUCCGAUACGACAUAUUAGAAGCAUCACCAAUCAUUAUAGCGAAAGAUAUAGGAUGAAAAUGAUGCUUGAAAAAGUGUAAAUGCAAUGAGUUUGGGGCGAAAAAACAGAAGAAUCCUAAUCCAGGGAUGGUGUGAACUAAGACCAAGACUUUUUACAAUUUUUGCUACAACAGAAUUAAGAGUCUUCAAGUUUGAAGCUGUCUUCUGGGUAAUACUCCAAGAAGAAUGCCAACAAUAACUUAUUCACGGCAUUAAUCAUAAAGAAUCAAACAAUUGGACACAUUAAGAAUUCAACAUUUAUACAACGCGGAUUCAACAUUACAUUAACAAAAUCCGUGUACAAUAAUAAAAAGCAAUCGAUAUCAUGGGAUAAAACUAAAAUCUCAAAGGAAAAGGGUUUUUCAUUUUCUACCAGCAGUAAGCAAAGAAUGAAAUUCAAUCCAAAACAUUUUCAAAACCCCAACACUACACUGAAAAUCUCCUUAUUCCUUUUUUCACUCAAUUGGCUAAACAUAAAACGGAACAAGUGAACUUUCAAAACCCAUUUUCUUCAUGAUAGCAACCCCAAUAAAUUAAUUAUAAAAAAACCCAAAACAAUUAUCGAAUUGAUAAAAAGAUUCCCAAAGCACAAGAAAGUAAGAAUACAUUAAAUUAAACAAACUCAUGGACAUUACAACGACACCUUUUUUAACUACCAAAAAUAAAUAAAGAAAGCAAUUACUAAAGAGAAAAAAAAAAAAAAAAACUUCGGUUCAUCGUAGCAUGCACCAAAUUAUUGCGCAUUAAUAAAUCUUUCAAAGAAAUCGAAACUUCUCAAUGAUAUACCAAUGAUCCGAAAAUGUUAGAAGCUUAAAUCAAAAAUAACAAAAGAGAAAACCUAGAAACACAAAUCCAUAUAAAAAGGAGCAUUGCAUUCUUUACUUGUUGGCACUAAUUUCCCAACCCACCAAUGCAAAAGUUCUAGCCCCAUCUCAUUCAAUUCAACGAAGAACGCAUGGAUCACAUCGAACGAUAAAAUUCAAAGCAGCGUAAAAGCAUAGAUAGUUCUGGAGUGGAUUGAAAAGAAAUUAUGAACAAAUUCUGAUCAAUUCUCGAAAUCGAAUAGGAAAAGGGAACAGAGUGGAAAACCUAAAAGAGCGUGGUUGGUAAAAUGGAGGAAUCGAUCGAAGAAGCCAAGGAAGAUCUUCGUUGCAUUGAUACAACGAAGAGUGAGUGUUUAGGAGUUUGAAGGUUAUCGAGUGAAGAGCAAACUACAAAAGCAAUUCCUAAGAUGAUCGAAAUCUUCUUUGUUUUAUAGCGUUUUUUGCUUUUUUGCUUUUCUUUUUGACAUUGACACUAACCUUAUCCCUCAAGUUAUUCAAUACUAAUUCACAAUCACUUGUCAAAUUUCCAAACACCAACCAAGUUUCGAGUUACGCUUCAAUUUCUAGUAUUAGACUGAGUUUGACGAUCAAAUUUUAACAUUUCCAAAACCUAAGGUAUAAUUACAAUUAUCAUUUUUUUUAAAUCUCGAGGAUGAAAAAUAGGUUUCAUUUUGGAAACAUAGAUAUCCUUCAUCGAAAGUGAUUGUAUUUGUUUUGAAAUAUUAAUCUGUAAAGAUAAGUUUGGUCCAAGAAAUUUGUAAGUAGGAGUAGAGAAGUACUCCUAGUUUAGACUAAGGAGUUUGUGGGUAUCACACUAAAGACAUCGAUUUUAUAUCUUACCAACUCCUUAUAAUGUGAGUCUCAGGAGUUUACAAUUCUUUAUAGACUUCAUAGCUACAUGCUCCUAACUAUCACGUUGUAAACAUUUUAUAAUAUUUACUAUUUUUGAGUACAGAAUAGAGAAACAAAUCUCCGACGUUAUCUUGAUUCUUAUCAUUUUUAAUAAUUACAUGGAGGUGGAUAAUAUAAAAAUAAUUUUUUAAUACUAGAAAUAACUUAAAAGAAUGAGAAAAGUAGAUGUAACAAAUAUAAAUUUAAAGAUGUAAUAUGUCCCCUAUUAGAACAUAAAUCUUGUUGCAUUGAAAAAAGAAAAUAGAAGGGGGUGGUGGUGGCAGUGGCAGUGGCCGAGACAUGGGAGGGCGUUAAUAAAAGAGUAUUUCACCAUCGAGGUGUUGGGAAAUACGGCAUCCUAUGAAUUUAAACCACCAAAUGCUUAUAUUACUCCACCAAAUCCUAUGAAUUUAUCGAUUAUUUUUAUUAUCGUUACCCCUACCUUAUAGGAUGAAGCAAUAACGGUAAUAGUAACAAAAACGAAGAUGUCAAAAGUGUAGUUUUUCAAUUGUAAUCAUAACAAAACAAUAGUGAAUCGAAUUGAGCACUCUUAGGUUUGGAUAUAGGCUCCUUUGUGACCGUACAAAUUAAAUGUUUUUUUAGCACAACAAUUGUAAGAUGUUAAAAUGAACCUUACAAAUCUAGAGAGUAAAGUUAUAAUAACAUCAAGUUAAACGUCACAACAUUAACAAAUGGUUAGGGGGUGUUAUGUAAUGUAACAUAAUCUAAAACUAUAUUUAGAUUACAUUUUUUGACCCAAUUUAUAAUACAAAACUGAUGUAGUUCUAAAAGUUUUCAACCAAACUCUAUUUUUUAUUAUGGUUUACUGUGUUAUUUUCUUUGCAUCUUUGAAUGCUCACAUCUUUCACUUUCUUAAAAGAUAUAUAAAAAGAGAAGGUAUGGUUUUGGAUAAUAAUAAAGUGAAGUAAGGAGGAGGCACUCGCAUUUCCGAAGCAGAGUACGGUGACAAUGGCGCAAUGGCAAUGGCAAUGGCAAUGGCUAUGGUAUCUGCUUCUGCUUCUGCUUCUGCUUUGGACAUCGAAACCCACGGGCUUCUCGGGUCCGAAACAUUUGACCAAAGAAAGCUCCGAAAACCCAGAAAAAUCCAAAACCAAAGCCUCGGAACUCUCCAACGAAAAAAGAAAAAAGGAAAAAGAAAUUGAUUUCCUCUUCCUCCACCACUCAUUCCAUUGUAACCGAAAACCACAGUAAUCCCCUGCUUCUCACUCGCACAUAAAACAAAGAGAAAGAGAGAGAGAGAGGCACUAAAAAAGAAACAAAAAGCUUCCGUUUUUUUCUCCCACUGAUCUUCUUCACUCUGUUUUCUUUUCAAGCAAAAACCUUCUCAUUAAUGGCGGAAAAUCAAUCCUUUACUGGGGACCACCUCCGACCAACAACAGCUACUACUUUCUCUCAGCUUCUGUUUUCCCCACACCAUGAUGAUGAUGAUGAUAAUGAUGUUGAUGUUGAUGUUGAUCAAAAUCAUCAUCAAAUCUUUGAUUACUCUGUUUCUUCUUCUUCUUCCUCUUCUUUCGCCAUUGAUAACCCACCCAAGAUGCUCUGUUUCGGUACCAAAGAAGAAGACCAAGAACAUCCACAGCUGGGUUUUAAGUCUCGUCAAAGAUCAGCCCACGCAUGCAGUGAUUCCUCUUCAAAUUCUUCUGGGAAUGGCCUCAAAUUUGAAUUCGUAAAUACAAAAAUUGAAUCUUUUUAACUCAUUUCCUCUGUAUUUCUUGUUUCUUUCUUUCUUUCUUUCUUUCUUUCUUUCUUUCUUUCUUUCUUUCUUUUUUACAUAUAUAUUGUGAGUUGAACUGUUGGUGUUUGUAGAAAUUGAAAAGGAGAAAUGGAUCAAACCCAGAAAUGGCAGCCAUUAAAGAAGCUUCGAAAAAGACCAAACCUGAAGCUCCUUGUUCUGCUGGACAUGCAAAGGUUUAUUUUUGCCACAACUUUCAUCAUCAUCAUCUUCUUCUUCUUCUUUACUCUGUUUCUGAAAUGGGUUUUGUUUUGUUUGUUUCUUUAGAGGAAGGAGAAAUUAGGGGAAAGAAUCACAGCAUUACAGCAAUUGGUUUCACCCUUUGGAAAGGUCGUAAAAAUAACAGAACAUCUAAUUUUGAUUCUUCCAAUUAUUUUGAGAAUUUGAUAUGAAUUUUGUUGGAUGUUAAUGAAUUUAAAAAAAAAAAAAGAACAGACAGAUACAGCAUCAGUACUUCAUGAAGCAAUGGGUUACAUCAAAUUUCUACAUGAACAGGUUCAAGUCUUGUGCAGCCCUUACUUGCAAAAAAGUCAGCUGCUUUCUUCUCAGUCAGCCACUGUAAGAACUUUCUGACUAAAAGAGACGAACCUUUAUUAUUAUUAUUAUUAUUAAUUAUUAAAAAAGAACCCUUUUGUUUUCUUUAAAAGGGAAGAGGAAAUGAGGAAACAGAGGGAGAUCUGAAAAGUAGAGGAUUGUGUUUGAUUCCAGUGGAUUGUAGUUUGCAUUUGGCUAAUUGUACAGUAGCAGAUUUUUGGUCUCCAGCCAUGGCUAUGGGAAAGAAGUUUUGAGAAGAAGAAGAGAGGAAAUGGAUGGUUGGAUUUUGAAGUUUGAUGUGUACAAAGAACUGAAGAAGAGGGUUUGGGUUUUUUGUUGUUUUGGGGUACUGUCUCUUUUUUGACUUACAACUUUUGACUAAAAUGAAUCAGUAACUAUAGCAGAAGAUGUGUGAAGAAGAUGUAAAUCAAACACUUCCUUUUUUUUGUUUGUUUGAUGGGAAAGAAAUAGAUGUGAAAAGCUGUUAGCUUUCUUUUGUUUUUUGUUUGUGCUUUUUCCUGCUUUUAGGGGCUUCAGUUGUUAAAACUUGUUAUUUGGAUGAUUGGUUAAGUGACACUUCUGCCUUUUGGGCUUUGUUUAUUUGAGAAGAAUAGGGGUGUUUUUGUACCUAUGACCUUCAUUUUACUUUUUACUUUUCUAACGUUGUUUACGGUUGGUAAAAGUAACGAGGAAUGGUCCUCUAUCGUUGAUAGAUUGUGUUAAUUAUCUAUAUCUUUUCUCGUGGUGGUUCAACAAUAUUGCUCUCACAUCCUAGGCCUCUUUCUUCUUUCACGUGUUUGUGCUUGUGUUGUGCUCCACCUUCAUCCCUUGCUGUAGCGUUUGUUCUAACAUGUUAGGGCUCUUCCUCUCCUACUCCCUCACUCUCUCUCGAGAAUUAGACUUCUCUUGCUUUAUCACUUACACAUGCUCGUGCUCAUGCUCUAAACCUUCACAAAUGGUGCUUUGAGGGACAAUGUGGAUACGUAACAUAAUGUUAGUGCUUGGACAACGUUAGAGGGUCAUUUUUCAUUAUUUGAAACAUUUUUUGAAAUUGGGGCAGAGGAUAUUAACCAUCCAAAGUUUGAGUAAUAUGUUUCAAAUUUUAGACCUAUUCUAACUUAUUAGGAAUAGAAAAGAAAUACAUAUCAUCCAUCCUCUAAAAGUAAAAGAUAUACACAUUCCUCUCACUCUCCGUAUAAGUUAUAACGAUGUAUCUUAAUUUGGGAGACGAGAUCUUAAACAUUAAGGUAGAUGGACAUUACCCGUUGUUUGGAUGCACCAACGAGAAAGAUUCAAUUUAGACAUUUUUUAUAGCUUUUGAUCUAGUUGUUAAAAAAAAAUUGAAAUAUUGAAGAAUGUAAUAAAAUUCUUUUCUUAAAUUUGAGUAUAAAAAAUGUAAUUACAACAAAAACUGAAAAUAGUUUCUCUUUUUCUUUUUUCUUUAUUAAAUAUAAACUGAAUAUUUAUGUUUAACAAAAUUAUAUUGAAAACCUAGAAAAUUGAAUAUAGUAAAUUCAAUUAGAUCAUACAUUUUACUUUAGACAAAGACUGAGAAUAUAAUAAACAGUUCAAACCCAUAAAAUAAAUAAUAUGCAAUAGAUUGUCCUAAUAUUUGAAUAAAAAUAAAGUUUGGAAGUUGAGUAGUUGAAAAAGUUGACAAAAUUUUCAAGAUUUUUUUUAAUGAAAUUAUCAAUGUCAACAAAUAUUCUUAAGAACUAUGUAUCUAAAGAAAAUGACAACAUUACAUGUUGAAAUUUGUAUUAUUAACUUUGUGACAUGAUUUUUAAUAAUCCAUCACUCCUACAAAAUAAUAGAUCAAACACAUCGUUUUUCAAUUCUUAAAUAUAGAAAUAUAUUGAUAUCCUUUAACUACAAAUUACACUUGAAUAAUCUAGCUAGGUAUACAAUCUAACAAAUGAACAAAAAAUAAAAAACUACAGAUGAAAUAUUAUCUCUGUACACAACACAUUUAUCAUUUCUCUCCCAAAACAAACCAAAAUAUUACAAAAUUAAGAGUUUGCUUAAAAGAGAAGAAGACAUGCAAUAAUCUUCAUCUUCUUUCGGCAAGUCAUCAAUGGCCAGAGCCUCUACGGCUCGGACCGGAAUAAUCUUUGUAUACGUGAAGUUUUGUCACCGGAGAAACUCCCAAAGAAGAAGGAUGAUGAUGAUGAUGUUUAAGAGGUCUUGAAGAGUGGACUUGAAUGGAGGAAAGCAAGAGGAGGAAGAAGAUGAAAGUGGCAGUGAGAUUGAGAGCCAGAAGGAGAGGUUUAGAGUUCAUUAUAUUAAUUAUAAUGACUUAAGAGAGAAAGAAGAAGAAGAAGAAGAGAUUUGUAAAUAAGUUUGGUAAAAUGAAGAAAAGGAAACGAGUGUUUAUAUAAGAAAAAAGUGAAAGAAAAGGGUAAGGUUUGGUGUUUUGACUUUGGAGCGUAGGUGAGCCGAAGUUGGCGGAGGACACAACUUUUGUUAUUAUAUAUCAGUAUUCAUUGUUAUUUGAGGGUUUGAAAAUUAGGGUUUGAAAAAACUUCAAAUUCUUGAGGUUUGACAAUGGGAAGGAUGAAAAAGUUGAUUCUCUUGGUGUGUUGGCAAUGUGAACAUAUAAUUUCACUAUCAAUUUGGUUCAAUGUGGGGAAGGGUUUAAUUUUUUUUCUCUCUUUUCCCUUUCCAUUCCAUUGAUACAAGAUCUUUUGAAAGAGAUUUCAUUUUCAUUUUAGUUUUGAUUUGGUAGCGUGGAGAUUCAAGCUUUGAUCGAUUCAAGGGAUUGAUUAUAUUGAUGAUAAAAGUUCAUAUCAAAUUGUGAUGUUGGCAUGAGCUAGAAGUGGAUUUAAAACUUUCUAAGAGGUUGCUUUGUUAAUUAUUCUGUGGUUUUUCUCAAAUUAAGUUUGAUAGUUUUGGUUUGAAAAUAAAGGCUGAAAAUAGAAAAAAGUUGAGAUGGACAAAGGCUAAAUAAUAUUACAGAAUAUAAAUGGUUAGAAUUGAGGGGACAAUUUAAUUAGUCAAUGGAUGUAAAGAAAAUAGAAUAUUUGAGUAUAGUUGGUGUAAAUUAAUGCAUGGUGGGUUAAUUAAUUUAGGACUAAAAUCACUUUUUCUUAGGUUAAUUACAUCAUCUCUCUCUCUCAUUUUGAGUUAUUUCUUUGACAAUGAAAAAAAGUAAAGAGUUGAAGAUGAAAAUUUUUGUGCUUUUUUCUCCAUGGAUAUAAAUUAAAUAAUCAUAUAGUUUGAAUGAGUGUUAUGAACUAGGAAUUUAUUGUGUGCAAAAUAUUAAAAAUGAUUAUCAUUAUUGUAGGGAUGACCUUAGUUUUACAUUCAUUAAAAUUGCAAAGGGUAGUAUGAAAUAAUUGAAUUGUUUUAGCUACAUUGUUUUUUAUAAUGACAUAUGAUAUCAUAAUUCAACCACGCUUAGUUAGGAUUAUUUUAGAAUAUAGAUAACCGUAAUCUUUGAAUGCUCGAAUAUGUAGAUGUUCAAAAUUAGAGAUGUCUAUUAUCGUUUGUACCGUAAAGAUAAGCAAAUACUUGGAUAACGACGAUUUUUGUUUACUUUGGUAAACUUAUCAAAUUAAAAACACAACUACAAGAAGAAAAAAACGGGUAACACCUUUGCAUUGAAAUCUAAACCAUUGAUAUUUUCAAGAGCAUCCAAAACAUACAUGACAAUCAAGACAACAUCCUUUAUAUAAAGAUUAUUGAAUAUCUACAAAAAUAAUUGCGAACAAGAUUAAAAGAUCGAACGUUAAGAAAAGAACAUGAGAGUUUACCUAACGUGUUCCAAAAAUUUCAACAAAAUCUAUUAAAUUCUCUAUAUAUUUAUUUUAUUUUAUUUUAUUUUAUUUUGCUAUUCAUGGAAAUAUAUUUUUUUUCUAAUCAUAACAAAUUUUCUUCUCAAAAUUUCAAAAUUUACCCGAAACAAAAAAGGAAAAUCAGUGUAAAACUAAUGACAAAUAAGGCAAUUCCAGCUCAACUACACAGAGCAACUGGUAGACAAAAGAGUAUGUACACACAAUGAGAAAGUAAACAAAUCAAUACAUUUUGUUUUGCACUCAAAACACAAAAAUAUUGAAACUAAUAGAUUUUACCCCAAAUAGAAUGGUGUGAAAUCAAAGAUUAUAAACAAAAAAUAGAAAUAGAAAUGAAGGGGUCAGAGUCAAAAAUGAAGAAAAAGUGAGACACCUUGAACCCAAAAAAAUGACACACACACAUCAACCUAUCAAACCAUUCAAUGACACGUCCAUUUUCCACCUAUCCACAAACUAUCUCCCAUGCAUUAUUAUUCUUGAGACUAUAAUUAUCAUAUAAUACAAAAAAAAUCAUUAAGUCUUUGGAAAUGCACUCAAAUAUGUUAUUUAUAUAGAAGGGUUGUAUUAGUUACCAUCCAUCCAUUACCUUUCGUUUGAAAAAAUCAUACAUUAGAAUGUUAUCAAUUAAACCCCUAAAUUUUCAUAAGAAAAAAAAAAGGAUUAUCUAUGUAUCAACUUUGAUCCUUCAUUUUGUAUAUCCAACCAUCUCAUCAAUACACAUGUGUAACAAAUUUUAUCAAACAAUAACUUUUAAUUUCUAUAGGAACUAAAUCAUUACAUACAGUAUAUUAAUUAAACAAAGUUUGUUUGUUAGUAUUAAAAUAGGGAAUUUGGUCAUAGAAAGUUUGGUCACAAAUAGGGAAUUUACCCAACCAAAACUAUCAAUUCCGCUCAUAAAAAGACCACAAAAUUCCUUUCAUAUACCAAACUCAAUAAAUUAGAUAAAGUUGUGUUGUGUGUGAUACAUUAUUUGUACCACCACCCACAUGACUCAUAUGAUAUGAUACGACCAAUAUCUUUUCCUUUUGACUCAAAUUAAAUGAUUUCAUCUUUCUAUUAAUUUUUUUUCAAAUUAUGAUUAUAAUAUUAUACAAUUAAGACAAACACACACUUGCACCAUAGCUUUUGUAUUUGCUAUCUACAAUAAUAAUGAAGCAUUAAAUAUUCUCAAACUUCAGUCAAUGGAACUACGCAAUAUGAUAAAAUAAUAUCAUAUAUUGCCUUUUCGGAAAGAGAAUACACAAAAAAGUAAGAACCAACCUAUAAUUAGAUUAUGAAGCUUAGACCUUUACCUAAUUAACAAAGUAUGGAAUUGGACUUUGGAUUGGUUAACAUGUUAGGCGUUAGCUAGAGUCAAACAUGUGUUCAACACUUCAUUUUGAUGUCCUACUAAGUAGGCAUAAUUGUGGAGAUGUCCAUUGAUCUUGCAAGGAUUGUAUCUCCAACGGCGUGGAGAAUCCACAAUUAGACGGUAAAUGGGAGGUGGGAGUUCCUUUUUUUGUUUUUUUCUCCAUUGUUGGCUAAACAAGAAACGAGGAAGAAUUAUAUAUUUCCAGCCUUGGAUCCGUCUCAUUUUCAUCACAACCCCACCCCACUCUAUUUUGUGUAUAUCUUAAAUCCAAAAUUUUGGUUGACAGAAGAUUGGAUGAUAGUUUUAUCAUGAGUAUUGAUUUUAUUUCAAUUAUAUAAAUAUAAAGAAAAUAAAAUUGAAAGGAGCUCAAGCCUAUACCCAUGUAUUUAAAUCUAAUAUGAAUCUCUAGGUAAAAUAUGAGUGCUUAGGUGAUCAACUUACUAAAUAUCACUAUAUCUCUUUCUCUUACGUGAACGACGUCAAAAUAUUCUAACACACUCACUAAUGUAUAAAGCUUAAGAAGAGUCUAUAUCUUCCAUUUUUCUACUCUAUGUAGUCCUAGUUUGUUUGUCUUCCUAUUUUGCUUGUAUUGUCUAAAUAAAUAAAUAAACCACAUUAACUUAGAAUUCAAAAUACAAGAACUUGAUUAACGAGGGUUUUUUUUUUCCUUUUGGAAACUAAUGAAGGGUAUUUGUGAGUUACCUUGCCAAAAAAAGACAAUGGAUGGAACAAAAGGCAAGAUUGUAGUAAUGCAUUGCAUCUUAAAUUUUAGAAACUUUUGGUUAAGGAUAAAUCAAAAUGACAGAUCAACUACUCAUACACACCAAUUGACUAUGAAUCCCAUUUUCAGACUUUAUAUUUCUUCCUUUAGGAAACGUGAGACAGUUUCUAUAACCUCAACAAAUAAUUUGGCAAAUUCAGAAAAAAAAAUAAUAAUAACAAUAAUUUGACAAACAUUGUUUAGAGUCCCAUUCAAUGACCCAUAUUUCUUGUUGGAAAAAACAUAAACUUGUUUGAUAAAUAUUUUAUUCUUUCUAAUUUUGUUUGUAAAUGAUUGUAUGAUAAAAGCAAGUAAAAUAUUUAGAAAUGUUAGAUCAAGGGAAAUUGUGGAGACUUGAAAGGACACUGGCAGACAGAGAUUUGAAAUAACUCCUUUUUAAGGAUCAAUUAUAAAAACAAACCACAUAUACCCUAACGUUGAGUCUAAGAAAUUUUUUUAAUUGAAGAAUAGCUGACUCCAAAAAAGAAGACUACAGCAGAUAGAUCUAGUGAAUUAGAAGGAAAGUGCAAGACAACAGUUGACAAGAUAUAUAUAUACAUAUGUAUAACAAGAAUUAAACGGCUUACCAAAGGGAUGCUUCUCGUCUGAUUUGAAUAUUUGAAGUAAAAUCUUUGCCAACCUGAAGCAAAAUAGAAUUGAAGAGUGCUAUUGUUGCUAGCUAAGCAGUUGGGAAAUGUCUCUCUCUUUCUAUCUUGGUGCUCGAAAUCAAGUUGCUUGUUUUGUCACAUGGUUUCGACCUGAUUUUGGGUCUUUUGUGUAGCACUUUGGAAGUUGAAUUGAGGUGUGGGUAACUAUGGUUUCCCUAGUUGGAUUUGGGACGUAAUCAACAACUUUGUUCCUCCUUUGCCCCUUGAGUCGUGGGAUUUAUGAUCUUCGACCUUUACUCGACACUUUCCCCACCAAAUCUCCAAAUAAAUGGGUGUUAUGUACUUUGGGCCACAGAAGCAAAAGCAAGGUUUGGAGCUGGAGACUGAUCGUUGAAAGCUCCAUUUAAUUCCUUUCUCCAAACCCAAAAGUCCUCCCGAGUGAAUAGAUAUCUGUCUGAUGGGAGGCGGGACAACGGUGCCAAUCCUACGAUUUCUUCUUCCUUUAAGUUCAUCCUAUAGCCUAAAUCCCAGCAAGCAGAAGAAUUAUUCCAAGCUUCUCGAACUGCAUGUUUCCGAUUUUUAAUUUUUUUUUUAAAUUCCCAAAUGUGAAGAUCACCAACUUCGAUAGGGACUUUAACCUCUUUUCAUUAAAUGAGGUGGAAACCGCCUGUCUUUACCGUCGUGCCAAAGGAAAUUUCUGAAACGACUGAGAAUUUUUUCUCCACAACUUAGUUUUGUAUUCCAUAUGCUGGAACUUCUUUAUACCGAGCUUGAUAGAGUAGAGUGGUGGCACUUCGAAUUUGUGAGCACUUAACCUACUUCAUACAAUUGAAAGAAAAAGUAAAGACUUAAAUCAAAUCAAGUCAUACAAUUAUUUGACACUACUUUGACUAAAAAACAAACAAGAGUUAUCUCAAUUUUAUGGAAAGAAAAAUAAGAUAAUAUGACAGAUUUGAUCUUUAAAUAAAGACAAUAAUCAUGUGCUUCUUACAGAACCAUUUUACAUGGUUGUGAAUAGUUAACCGAGCGAUGCAUAUUUUCACAUUUUAUCAACAAUUAUAUAAUGACAUAUAUGCGUAUAGAGGUCAAUUUCGUUAAUAAACGAAACUAUAAUAUGAGAAACGUCAGUCCCACGAGCUAGAGGAUAAAACACCUCGUUCUGUCCUCCCAACAAAACUCUGUUCCACAUAUAUUUUUAGAAUUUAAACAGUUGCAAAGUCAUGAUAAAGACCCUCAAGGAUUUAUUUUCAAGAUGGUUCAGUUUGAAGAAUAUUGUUAACGAAAGACAUUAUUUGUUUAAGGUUUGUCAAAUGAUGGUAAAGCUGUAUGAUAUCAUUUUAUUGGAGUGAGACUACAAUGAAAUUUUUUUAAUUAUUAAAGGCAUCUUACUCUCCACAUACAUUUCCAUCUCAACGCCAUCUGGUCAAGAAAACACUCUGCGUGAUGGGUCUACACCUUCAAACUUCCGCCGUAAAUUUCAUUGACUGCCCCCUGAUGAUUUGAAAUUCAAUGAAAAUGUGCAUAAAAAAACUAAACAUCUUUUGUAAAUAGAUAAUAAAGAUGGCAUAGAUACAAAUUUUAGCCUGCUAAACUAUGACAAUCUUAAAAGAAAAGAAAAGGUCCAACAGGGCAAUUCUAUCAAAGGAAUUGUAUGUACAAUUUGUGAGAGAAAUCACAGGAUACCAUUGAUUUAAAAUUAAAACGUUUAUAUUAUCUGAAUUAGCAUUUUAAGACAAUAACCUGAAGGUAUGGAUCAAUAAUGUUGAAGACUUCCAAAAACAGCUGGGACUUCAUUGCUAACCUGAUGCAAAAAAAAGGAUAACACAAUGAAGCCUAGAACUAAUGCAUAUUAGAUUAGCGUGGUCAUGCAUAAAAUUCCAGAAAAGAAAAAUAUGAAAGGUGGAUGGUAAAUAUCGUAAAACCAUAUAGCAACGCAAGACCAGGCACACAAUUUCAAGCCUACAUCACCUUGUCAUCUCAACCAAUAUACAAAAUUACCUCUUAAGCAGACGAAAACAAACAUAGGUCUCCUCGAUGUCCAACUCUAUCUUUAACUUAAAGUACUGCUUUAGAAGUUCACAUAAGCCAUAGAUAGCACCAUCCCAACCAUCAGAAUCUGCAGCUGAAGGAUGCCAAGAUUGAGAUGAAGUCCUUAGCAAAAUCUCAUAUAGAUUUCCCGGUAAUCCGGAUUCUGUAUAGAUCUCUGCAAAAAGUUCUAAUAUCAAGCAAUUGCUGGCUUUAAAUUUAUCAACCCAUAGAGGUGGGUUCCCAGACCAAAGAUCGUUUUCCAUCAAAGGAUCCACUGAGCCAGAUGUAUUCUCAACACCACUGCCUGAUUCCCGCUGAUCUUUGAUUGCGUGUUCCAAAGAAAGCUCAUUUCCCCUGUGAGCUGGGAGUUGCUUAAGUAUGUCAUCCCUCAGUGGUUCAGGUAACUCUUGUAAUACUGAUGGAUCUACUUGACUUAGAGAUGAAGGUAGUAAAUCAAUUCUAUGAGAUCCAGAGGUGCUAAUAGGAGCCAUCAUAGUGUACAAUCCUUCCCUAGAAAUCUGUGCAGGUGGUGAACGAUCAACAAUAUGCUGUGUUACAUAGAUUCAAAGACACCAAAGAGCACAUAAAUACAUGAGUUUUUUUUUCAAAAAAAAGGACAUAAAUACAUGAGUGAAUCGAAGACUGGUGAGGUGGAAAAAUAAAACACAGCUGUACUCUUCACUAACUACAAAGACAUCAAGGGCAUGCCUCUCUUCACAGUAGAUUGUGAAUUCAGAUUAAAAAUUCAAAAGUGAAGGAAUAAACAAAAAGGAAAGUAUAAUCAACUUAUACUGUAAUUAUUAGAUACUGUUUGGAUAGCACACCAAAAAUAUGAAAAAUAUUCCAAAGUCUCGAUUAAAUAAUACCUUAUUUUCGGACUGUACUUUGUUUCCUUGGAUAUCCGAUAAAGUAAGUCCAUCACCUUUAUUUAUUUAAAAGUAGAAAAGGGGGAAGAAAAAAAAACCAGCAUCCUUGUCAGUUAUAGAAACUGGGCAACAAAAAUUAUUUUUAAAUUAGCAUCGGUAUCCAGAUAAAUUUUACCUCCUGAUCCUUGAGACGGAACCCUUAUAGAAGAAGAGAAAACUUCAUUUUUGUCCCUGCUCUUAGAUAGGAGAUCAAUUAGUUUCCCACCGUAAAUUUCAUUUAACUCUGAAAACAGUUCAGGAGGUAAGCUCCUUAUAACUCCAAUAUCCAGAUUGCAAAGAGGUGGAGGUGAAACCGGGUUCAAAGCUUCACUGUGGUGCCGGUUGUUCUCCAUCUGAAUCAGAUGGCUUAUAGGAUCAGCAGAUAACUGAUCUAAAGUUCCAGAGUUACUCUGUUUCUCAUUAUCUGUAAAGAGUAAGAAUAUGAUGCUUCAACUUUAAACCAAGAAAAAACACAUGAGAACUAAGGUACUCAGACUAUAUUCAUACACAUGAGCGUACGUCCAUACAUGGAACCCUGUGGAGACACUACCAGAGCAAGUAAAGAUGACAAAUUAGAAAAGCAAGGAACAAUAAUUGUUUGUGAUAAAAUUUACGUAACUAAGAACUUGGUAAGAAAUGAACAUGAAAGUAUAGAGAAACCUAUGCCUCACAACUUGACAACAAGAUUUCUGUCAUCAUCGAUUAGGUUUGAACUGUUCACAAGGUACGCAUAUACAAAUCUUAUGACUAGAAGAGCUACUUAACCACAUUCUCUCUCAUCAAAUCAGAUAGUUUAGCUAUCACUAUUGUAUCAAUAUAACACAGGAGGAAAAAGAAAAGAAAAAUACAUCUGUUGAGUUGAGCUAGCAUGAUGUACUUUUCUUUCCUUUUUUUCCUUAUUGUUACAGCUUACAAUCCUAAUAGUCGCAAUAAAUUAAAAUUAUUGAUUCAAUGGAAAAGAAAAUUAUUGAUUCAAUGGAAAAGAACGGCAGCACAUCAAUCAUAAAAGGAAAAGGAGAAGAAAUAAAGACCACUGGCGAAUGAAAUCCCAUACCUAUAUUAGCCACUUCCUUUACCGAAGGACCAAUGACAUUUUCUACAUUUGUAGUUGCAGAUGAACUGAGCCAUGAAUCCAAAGAAUUUCUUUUCGUCCCUUUAGAAGAAAACACACACAUGAAACCGACUUCACCAAAAAAAACAUGCCAAAGGGUGACAGACCAAAAAUAAUCCACCUAUUAUUUAAUUAAUAGUUGAUUAGUUCUCUUUUAAAUAUAAAAUCAUAUUUCCUUUUAGAGACGAGCUGAUCGAAUAUUAGAUUCUAGAAGGAUAUAUAAUAAGAUAUCAGUAGCCCCUCACUAUUUCUACCUAGAAAUUACAGCUUCGUGAAGGAGUGUUUGAAUGAAGAUGUUAAAAUGGAUCGCACGUUUCAAAGCCACUUCAUGAUAAUCUAAUAAAUGGAACUGAAGAAAACUUCCCUAUAUUACUUGGAGUAUUUUUCAGUAUACUAUAUUCCUGUUCAACAAGUUAUCAAUAUUCAAUAGAAUUUGAAUUUCUAAUUGAAUUUUCUGGCUUCUAGAAUAUCAUUCAUUCAAACAAAGUAACCAAACAUUAUCCUCCACUGUACAUUUACACAUCCCUAAUAGAUCUUAAUAAUGUUGACUAUUUACAAGGGACGCGGCAUGUUCUUGAUCUCAACUUGAAGGAUUAUUCUUCCUUUUCCUCACAAAACCAAUGUCGACCAUUGAAGGACAGCUCUCCUAAAGCACUCUUUUUCAAUAUUCCUUGCUAAAAUAGUAUCUGAUUAGCUCACUGCAAACGUUUUCAUACAGAAAAACUUACCUUGCCUAGAGAUAUCCACAUUUUGAAGUUUCGAAACUUGUAAGCCAAUACCUCGAAUUUCUUUGACAUCUACAUGCACCAAGAAGGACAUCGUAGAAGAUUUUAGAGAAAAGAACAUGUAUUUAACUCAAUUUGAAAGAUACGUCUUUUAGUCUAGAAGUAGGAAAAAGUAAAAUGUAUUAAAAAUAUAUAGGGAAAGAAACCAUAGUACUAUUUCUUUCUAAAAAAUUGCUGAUUGGCAAGAGCUUAAGCUAACAGGUGAUGGUAAAUUUAAUAUCAUAUCAUUUAACACCCCUCCCUUUGUAGGUUGGAAAUAGGUAGAAUACCCAACAAGUGAAAAUCAAUUUUAAUUGGAGUGAAAAUAACAUUGUACAGUUUGAAAACAAGACUUCUUAGGUCACCAGCUCUGAUAGCAUCUUAAAUCGUCGAUUGACCCAAAAACUUAAGUCGAUGGGUAAAGACAAAUUUAAUAUCGUAUCACAUGAGGUUCAGAAUGGACAAUAGGAAUGUUAACAUUAACUGAAAAAUCAUAAUUAAGCCAAGUUUAGGAUUACCUAUGACAAAAAACCCAAAAAGUUGCUUUACUAUUCUUUGAAGAAUUUCCAGAUCAUCAGUGGCAACAGGAACCUAGAACACCAAAACCUUAAAAAUUUCAACACUAAAGAUUGCACAAAUAAUAAAUAAGCAUUCUACAAAUUCAUGAACAUAGUAGAACUUAGUCCAUUAAUAACAAAAAAUGGGAGGCAUUUGUCAGAACCUAUACCGUUAAUGAAUGGCUCAAGUUUUCACAAUCUCCACAGCCCAUAUACUUUGUGGGUUCAUCAGCAUUUUUUCUCCGUUUUUUUAUCUAAAUCAAUACAUCACACAAAAAAAAAUGCUAAUAACACUUGCACAUAAAUCACAUUCAUAUCUAGAAGGAACAAUAACUCAACAAUGUUUGUUACUGUAUAAAAGAAGGAGAGUGUACCUUGAGGGUAAAGGUGCGUCCCUGCACUCCACAUCCAUUCAACCGUAAUGAAACCUCCUUACAGAGGUUCAAGAGAAAGCAUUGACACUGUAAUAGCUAAAAUAUUAGUUCUUAAUUCACUCAUAUAGUCAUGUAUUUUUUCAUCUUAAAUGGGUAAACACGCAACCAUUUAUGUUACCCACAUCUUUGAAGUCCUUGAACCUAACACCCCAAUUCACUUCAGCUCCUAUGGAUUUGCUUUCCUGAACCAUCACAGGGUAAAAAUAGAAGAAUCUGAGAAAAUGUAAGAAAAUCUAGACAACAAAACUAGGUUACUUUUGCAAAGCAAAUAUUAUUUGGAAAAUAUUCAGGUAGUGGCAUCGAUCUACUCCAUCCACCGUACCUUUUGUUGAUGACUGAGAUACUGGGGUGCGCCCCCUGCAUUAUAUUGCUAGCUGGCCUAAACUAAAUUCCAAAGACUAAAGAGGAUUUGCCAGUUCCCAAGAUGACUCUCAUAACAAGAGUUUCAAAUUGUUGUAUUAGUAUUUAACCAGAAUCUUGAACCCAAAGCCCAGAAGAGAAUCCCCCAAACUCCCUGAUGCAGUAGUCCAUCCACAUACCGGACAAAAUUAUGCAUCUUCUAUCAUGAUUUAAUUAAAAAGACUUCUUUGAUGUUUUCAAUAGUUCCAGAGGAAGUACCAUUUAUAGGCACAAAUAGAACUAUUGAAAUAACAAUAGUAAUACUACACCAAAAGACUAAUAAAAUCCUAUCUAUACACGACAUAUAAUUUUGCUUUGUCUACCCUUUAUUUUCUACAAGUGAAACACUACGGUAGUUAUCAAGCCUUGCUCAUAGAGAAGAGUGAACAAAUUUGAGUGGCAUUAGUAUAUCCAGUACUUGUUCUGUAUAAUCUAAUGCAGUAAUAUAUUUAGUAUUGUAUAUUAACAAAAGAGAUUAAAAACAAAAACGAGAGAAAAAUGGAAUACAAUUCUGCAAAAGACCACAUGAAAGUUAAUGAAAAAGUAUAUUGCUUAUUAUCUCUUUGCCAAACCUGGAUCAACCCAACUGCACGAUUGUCCACCCCUCGACUAUAGUUCCAUAACAUUUCCCCCGUUUUUAAUCCAAAGUCUUUUUGAAGAGAGUCCUGGACAUGUCAAGAGUAAAUCAAGCAAUCAUUUCAGAUAACUUAGUUUGAGAACAACAAACUCAGAAAAAUAACUUAGUGAUAGCCAUAGGCUCAUAGCACAGCCACAACCAAACUCUCUACUAUGUAUAUAUGGACCUCUAAAGGCAACCCUAACAGCUAAUCAGUACACCAACAAUAGAAAAAAAUUCCAAAAGAAAAUUAAUAUAACUUGUAGCAUUAGCUGAGGUCAGGCCACAAAAUAAACAAGACAAGGAAAGACAACAAUGAUCUUGUUAGGAUACCACCUAACAAGAGGACUCAAGAACAAGAACAAACAAAGAACACUAAAAGGAACACUAAAGAUAGAUUUAAUGGGCAAUUCGAUGUUAAUAUUCUUGCUUGAUGUUAAUGUAUUUGUUCUUUGCUAAACUAUUUAAGUUUUUCAUUUGCUAAACACUAAAAACAGAACACGCACCGUAUAUGAUUUUUAUUGAUGUAGCUGUUUUCGUGGAAAUAUCACUUUUCUUUUCAUCCUUUUCCUUGUCUCUUGAGUCUUGACAAAUUAUUUGUAUGACACGUGUUUAAGGGUUUUGUAAUAAAUGGCACACCAUCUUAAAAAUUGCAACUCAAAUAAUUAUAUAUAUAUAUAUAUAUAUAUAUGUCUCAAUUUCUAGGCAUCAAGUAAACCUAUAGUGACCAAACAAACGAGUACACCUUAGAGAGAACUAUUGAGCCACCUUGGAUAACAUACGCAGCUGACUACAAGUCAAAACACUUCUUUUCUUCAGCUUCUCCUCUAAGGCAUGCCCUAUUCCAGGAAGGUCCUUGAUAGGAAGCGGAUUUAAAUAAUCAUCAACCUAAAAAAAUAAAAUGAAAUGAGUGAAAAGAACAUCUUAUACACAUUCUUCUAGACAGUAAAGGAAGUGUUUGCUUGACUAUACAAAGAAACAGAUUUGUUUUGUUCUGUUCGCUCUAUGAUCUUUUAUUUCUUUUCUCUGCUUGUUGUGGGAGCUUCUUUUUUGUAGUUUGUCCUUUAUUGAGUUUCUACAUUGUUUCUUUUUAUACCAUGCUCAGUUCUUUUUCACCCCUUUCAGAGUUUUAUAAUUGAGUUCCAGUCUCUUUCAAUUUUUUUCAUUGAAAUUUUUGUCUCAUGUUAAAAAGAACAUAUCUAAAAUAAUUCUUCCAAGUAAAAAUUGAAAGCACAAUCCCUUUCAUCUUCAAAAGUGCACAUAAAUGAUUGUAAGACAAAAUACACGAAACAUUCAAGACAUCAAAGGAAUAACCUAAUGAGAAUUGAAGCACAAUGUUGUAAUGCUAGGUGAUUUAACAAAACAAAGGUUUAGGGCAAGAAUUUCAGGAACCAACCUUCUCUAAAGGAAUGUAACACUGACCAUCCGGUUUUGCAGUUUUAGUGGCAAGGCGAGCCAUUAGCAUAUUUGUAGCUAUUCCAGCACUUGCAGUACAUCCUGUUGUAUCAAAGAUUUCUUUUCUUAUUUUUGAAGCCAAUACCUCGGGAUCUACAUUGUUUGUGCCCGAGAUAUCCAAAAAUGCUUCAUCGCAACUUACAGCCUGCGCUUUACACAAGUAGCAACAUUAAUGAAGCAAAUCACGUUUAAUUACCUACAAGAAAUGCUAUCUGAAACAGACCUGCACUUUCUCACAAUGCUUGUGCAAUAUAUCAUAGAACUGAUCGGCUACCUGCAUAUUUCCCAACAUGUCAAAUGCCAAUAAAACACCCUUGUAUAUGGCAGAUACAAGUAGUAGAAGAUGAUUUAAAAUUUCCAUAAGCAAACUGAUUGACAAAUGGCAACCUGGUGAUAGCACACCACUUACCCCCUCGUAGGACUUGAAGUCAUAUGGAAAAAUAACAAGAUGGGGACAAAGAGCUUUUGCAUCUCUAACAAACAUUCCUGCUUUGACUCCUAGAUAGGUAUGAGAAAAGAGAGAAGAAUCAAUUGAUACUCUAGAAAAGCCUUGGAUUUGAACCACAGUUUAUAAAUAUAAAGAACUAGAAGACCAACCAUAACUUCGAGCAGGGUAGUUUGCAGAUGAAAUUUCUGCAGUUCCUUUAGGAUUAUCUGAGUGGCAUACAGCAACAGGCCUAUCCUUAAAUUUUGGAAUGUUUCGAAUAACCACUGAGACAAAAAAGCAGUCCUGAGGCAGCAGGAUAUUGGUAUUACUUCACUUCAAAAUGAAUUAAUGCAUAUAUAAUGAUAAAUAAAAAAUGAGUCACAAGUUCAAUCAAGGAAUUCUUGUAAAGUAGCCGUCUAAAAAGAAUAGUGACACUGACAACAAAAGCCAACGUGCAGAUAUUUGAAGGACCAAUAUUACUCAAUGAUUACCAUGUCAACAUGGAUAAUAGUGGCAGACUGAUCGUGGGAAGAACCAUUGAUAGGAGAAGUCACAGAAUUGGAUCCAUUAGCUAACCGUGGAAAACGCUUAUAGUAACGAUUUCUCCAAGUUCCAAUGAAAUGAAGCCUUGACUUCUGCAGAUUGAAGAAUCAAAUUUGGUCUAUGAAAUGGCAAAAAGUGAAAAGUUACCAGGACUGUAUGAAAUAAUAAAAACACUAGAAACAAGGUGCUAGAGUUUUUCUACUCCAUCUGAUUUUUCACUACUACUAUAAAUGUUAAGAUUUAGAAGCUGUGGGUUAAAGUAAAGUAACUAAGACAAAUGUCAUGAAUCAAAACACUCAGUUUGUAGGAAACAACUCUUGUAUAACCUAAAGUACCUUGAAAUAAUUUUCCACAAAAUCUGGAUUCUCUAGUGUUGAAUGCUGCAGCUUAGAAGACCCAGCCGCCAUAGAACUUGAUGAUCCAUCACUAUUGGUGCUACCAUUGUGUGUUGAUGCAGACAAACCAUGAAAACUAGAUAUAUUUUCUUCACUGCUCUGACCCACAUCAUCAAUUCCUGGUUCUUCACCUGCAUAAUUAUAUUUUUCACUGCUUGGUCCUUUCUGUACUUCUACAUCAGCAUCCUUCUGAGGGAGCAUCUCAAAACUUCCACAAAAUUGUGGUUUAUAUUCAAUAGAUACAUCUACAUCAGAUAUACUUGUAUCCUUCAGUUUGGCAGCCUCUAAAUCAUCACUUGACGUCUCAUUCAGUUUAGCAUCUGCAUUAUAUUGAAGAUUCAUUUCAGAGUCAGAAUGCAACUCUGCUCUAUAUCCUACCGAUUCAUUCACUUCCGACAAAGUGGUAUCCUUCAAAUUCAUGGCCACCGGGGACAGUGAAUCUUCUGUUUCAUAUUUCUUUUCAGAAGUCAAGCAAAUUUUGGGUUUCUCCACCGUUGGACCUUUUUUCAUAGAAAAGAAUUCUGAUAAUCUUGGUUGAUUAUUUACAAGCUGAUCAAGUUGGUAAGGAACCCCUAGAAACAGAGAAAUGAGAUCCACAUCAACUACCAGGGUAAAAAAUCAGUCUGCAUUCUCUUUGAGAUCUCUUUGAUCAUUAGGACAAAGUUAUACAGCAAAAUUUGGUCCAUGUCAGCUAUUAGGUGCAAAAUUUAAUUUGAAUCUCUCUUUGUGACAUUUUUUGCCGGGGUGAGGGACAAAGGUCAAAGGAAAUAGCUAGAUAUUGUUUGAGCGCUGACAAAAACCUAGUAUUAAAUAGUUCCUAAAUGCAUUCCUCAAGCAAUUAUCCACCAAUUAAAUUUACGUAUCUACACGUAAAAGCAAUGCAUUAACUUACAGCUUAAUAGCUUAUUAGAAGCAACAGAAUCCAAGAUCCAUGUGGGUUUUACAACUGGGAGUCCACGGCUGAAUGACCUGAAAAAUAACCAACAAAAGAAACUAUCUUACUUUCACCAAAAACUAAGACUAGUGCGAGUUUUUUCGAUGAAGAUAAAUUCUGAAUCAAACCUGAGAUUCUUUAUUUUACUGUCCGGUAAAUUACUGCAAAUAAUAUGAGAAACACUACGUCUUGAAAAAUAAUUCUCAAAUCUUCCACCGUACUUCAACAUAUAACCCCGCAAUUCCUGAAUUUAACUUGUAAUCAGUAACAAUUUUCCACAACACAUUCUACAAUAUUGCCAUUCAAUUGAAAAUAAUAAUAGAUGUGGACAAUCCUAAAACGGUGAUAAUUUGUAAUCACGAGGAUUCCUUCUCGAAGAAUAGAGAAAUUGCUAAAAUUGCUGAAAAACUGGAAGAACAAGUGUAAAAUAGUAAAUUCCAAUUCAUACUUUUCAGUAGCUUUACUUUAUAUUCACAGCUCAACUGAAAAUUCUUAGUUAGCCUACCUGACUGGAAGGAAUCGUGAAACCGUCAACAAAGAUAGACACACCCUGAAAUAUUUGAUUUCCUGAGUUCACACCACUAUGUGAAGCACUUGAAGCAUCAAGAUUAAACUGAUUGUGCAGUUUCCUGUUCUUUUCUACCAUAUAACUGCGUUCAGAUCAAAGUAGGUGAGGGAGAAAUUUCAAUAAGGACACCACAUAAUUCAAUUAUAAACUGAGAAGCUAAUCCUUUGAUAACGCCCCUUCAAGACUCAGAAAAUCACUUAAAUUCAUGUAGAAUUAAGAAGCUGAAGUUACUGGAAAAAACGGUAAUUCAACUAACCAGACUUUCUUCCCAAGUGCAAAGGUGAAAUUCAAAUUACCGCCAUUUAACAUAUGAAAAAGAAGAGAAGAAAAAAAAAAACCUUCCAAAAUCUGAAAAGGGAGAUUUGCGAGAGGAUGAAAUGGAAUUGGCUCCCCAUGCGACACCUAGGGUUUUCUGGUUGCUCCGUUUCCUCUUGUUGCCACCACCACCGGAAGGGUUCGACGGAGAUGAAUUGUCACGAAUUCGCUUGGAUUUCUGGGCGGAGGAAUUAGCCGAACGAGACGAAUCAGAAUUCAUGUUUCCUGAGGGGCGCGAAGAGUGUCGAGGAAGGAAGUGUGAGUUAUGCUACGUAGCAUUUAAAAUGAGGCGGCAAAUUGAAUGUGGAUAUGUACCCUUUUAUGGUAUGGUGAGUGUAAUCUUUAAUACACAUUUCCUAAAGUUUUUAGUACUCAAGAAAGUAAGGUUAUUGCAAGGCUUAAUACCCUUUGAUGGGGGUUCUCACUUUUCUAGUAAACCAUUUGGAACUGUGUUGUGAUAAAUACUAAAAACUGAUACUCUUCUCCACAUAAUUGGAGCUUGUUAUAUGAUUUUAUACGUUAAUUAUGGUAUGGUAUCGAGGAGUUUGAAACCAAGAUCGAGACUAAAACAUAAUAUAUUAAAAAUAAGAUAAUUAUGUGCUUUUAAUAGGAUCGAACUUGUUAUAGUUUGUUUUUUUUCUUUCAUUCUGAUCACUAAUGUGGCAAAAGUUUUACAAUAGAAUUUUGAGUCUUUUUUAAUAUCUUAGUUCUUUUUCUUCUAUAUUUUAAAAUAUUCCUAAGUUCUUUUUUUUUUUUUUUCAAUUUUAUAGUUUUGUCUUAGUUAUAUAGUUUCACAUUUAAAUGUAUAGUUUAACUUCAAAAUUGAAUUGACGUGAUGUCAUCCGAAACUUUUGUUUUAGAAAACUAAAUAAUAUUUGUUUUUAACUUCGUUUGAACCUUUUUUAAUUGAAAUUUAAUUUGAUAGAACUAAAACAACAUGGUGGAAAACGAAUCAAAAUUCUAUCUUAAUUAACACGAAAAUAUAAACCGUAGAUAAAUUAAAAUUAGGGUUUAGAGAAUACUUAUAUUUGAAGCUUCGGUUUUUGUUUGAAUUACCACUAAAGUUGACCUACUAUUCUCCGGACUCAGAACCAGGAUGUGAGAUCCGUUGGAUGAAAGAAUCGAGAGAGAGAAAAUUAUGGAAAUAAAGUGAAGUUGAGCUUUUGAAACUUUCUUCUUUUUUUUUUUUUUUUUUUGAUAAAAUUAAGAAGAAAUAGGAAUUUGGUUUGUUGAAAUAGUCCAACUAAAAAAAUCAACCCAUAGUUCAAUAGCUCUAUUUAUAAGAAAUUUUCAUGCAAAAUUGCAUGUCCACGCAACACUAAAGUCCAACAACUCAAAGUCCACUUUCUCUAGUAGAUAUUUUGUCUUCAUCAAAUGACAACACCCCGUCCACUGGAGUUGAUUUGAAGUUGAACAUACAUAUAAAUAGUGGAUAAUAGGAAGAAAAAAAAAACAUUAAACGUGAAAGUAAUACAUAUAAGAAAAUUUUCAAGAACCAAAAAACGAAUACACAAUUGCAAAUAUAACAAUCAGAUGCAAACUAUUAACAACAUAGCACAAUGCAAAAGAAUUUCCAAAUAUAACAAAGUUUAGAUCCAAUUUUGCCCUUGUGAAGUCGAUAUGCGCCAUACUCUAUCAAGGAUCGAAAUCACUAACUUCAAAAGUGCGAUACAUCACCAUUACUCCAAAAUGGUAAACGGAACCAAAUAGUUAUCAAUGAGAACUAGAGUGACACUCAUUUGAAAGUGGUGGAGCAAAGUGGGUAAAGUAAGCAUCAACCAACAUUUGCCCUAAAAUAACCUGAGAAUGUGUUGUGAGAUGGAGGUUGUCUUCUUGUAGUUCCAAUCCCAUUGCAUCAACACACACCAAAUUCUCCAUUUUCAUCCCCAAUUGAGCCUCCCUCACCUUGUCAGUGUACUUCAAUCCUGAUGCCAAUGCAACCUGUUCCCAUUUUCACACAGAAUCUCAUAAUUCUAUAUCCAUGAUAUCAUUUUCUUAAUUAACAUAUACUUCUACAGCUUAGGAUUUAGGUUUAGGGUCUAACCAAUUUCAGAAUUAAGUCAUUUUUAUAUGGUAAAGUUGGAAAAACUGAGCAACUUGAUUAAACAUAUGUAGCAUUUUUUUAGAGUGUACUUACAAAUACAUUUUAUGAAUUCAUGCAUACAAUGUGAUAUUGAUCAUACUUAGAUUAUAAUUUUAUUUGUUGUGACAUUUAUAUUUUAUAAUUGGAAAAACUACGAUCAACCCAAAAUAUAGAAUAAAGUAUAAAGUUGAAAACUAAAUAUCAAUUAAAAAUUGUAAGCAUAUAAAAGAAUCGUGCUUUAAAUACACGUUAUCCUAAAAGUGAUUCUAAUUAAGAAAUGAGAAAUUUUGAACUUGUAGGAAGAUAACCUAUAUGAGGGUGACCAUUAUCUCCUGUAAAUAAACAUUAAAAAAGUUCUGAAAAUUUACAAGAAAAUAAAUACGAAAGACAAAAAAAAAUACUAUACUUUAAAAGAUUGGAAUAGUAAAAAAUAACCCUUUUAAUAGACACCAAUAAAAUGAUAAAUGAUAUACUUUUAUAGUAACGUUCAUAGAUAAUGAUAAAAAUUUAUUGGUGUAUAAAUAUUUUAAUUUAUUAGUUUAUAAAUAUUUUGAUUUAUUUGGUUAAUUUUAAAAAUACAUUACUAUAUACUUCAAUUAUUAUUAGUAAUAAUAAGACUAACCUGAAUGAUUGGGAGAGAAGGCAAAGCCAAGUCCCGGCGCACAUUAGCAACAAGGGCUUCCAUAUUCCCCUGAUACGCAUCAGCGUCAUGUUCAGUAGAGGUGUCACUUUCGCCUUGAAACCACAAGAUCGCCUUAAUUUCCCCACCCCCCUUCACGCUGUCUCUCGCCCUCUUCACCAUCUCCUCGUACAGCUUCUCCCCGCGCGCCCACUCUCUGAUCGCCGUUCCUCCGACGGCGCACGGCACUAGCGCCACUGUCCCCACCCGCUCUCUCACUCCGUUCGCGAACACCAUCCCCGGCCCCACCCCACAUGUCUUCUUUGUGUCGAUGUCGGCGUGUAGUGGCUCACACGCCGCCUCCCAAUGCUUCUUCGCGCUCAGCCGGAAUAUCGAUGGGUGCGGGUGUGCUUCGGGUGGAACCACGCCGUCCCAUCGGCGGAGCUUCUUUAAGACGCCGCCGCGUCCCGCCAUGUUGCUUUGUCCGGAGAGGAUGAAGAUCUGCUUGUUUGGAGGUGGAUCUGUGUGGAUGGGAUCUGUAUCGGUCGUCGUUGCCAUGAUUUUGAUGAUAGAAUGUGGUGGUGGUGAUGGGCUGGGUGUUAAAUGAUGGAUGAGUUUGUCGAAAGGACUCGUGUGUUUUGGCUUUUUCUGCGCGUGGAUGAUAAAAAUAAGCUGACCGUUUGUUUACUCCCUUUUGUUAUCUAGCUUAACACGCACACAUAUUAAACCGAUGGUAUUCGCAAAUAAUUGAUAUUGAUUUUUAAGCUACAUAUUAACUCGAUGUUCGAACUUCAAGAGUUACUUAAUAUAUAAUGAUUCUAAAAAUUAAGAUUCAUUUACAUUUUCAGAUUUAAUCACAUUUUUAAUAUGAAUUUAAAAUACAAAUUUAUUUAAUGGUGUGACAUUUUACAUGACAUUUUUAAUUAGUAUGAAUAGAGUUAAAGUUUUCGACAACUUGAAUUUGAAUAAAAUUUUAACAUAGUGUUCUCUCCAAAUUUAUGUUUUUCUGUGUAUUAUUGUGUUUGAAUGCAUGUUUAGGAAUUUCAUUAUAGUUUUGAUCAAUCAAGUUUUCAUUUCUUUUCGUUGAUCAGUCUUUUCCAAACCAAAAUCCGAUUGAGAUUUUUAGUUAUUUGUUUAAUUGACUUUAUUAUUAUUACCGUUCUUGUGGGGUCACCUAAAAUAAGAGGAGUUCUCAAGACUACUUAUUAGUAGUAUUAGUUUUUUUUAAUAUUUAAAAAUUUCCAAAAGAGUAUGUAUUUAAUAUAAUUAAUAUAGUUUAACACGAGACAAAAUAAUAAACAAUAUAUUUGUUUGUUUUUGUUGUUGGUGUUAAUAUUAGAAAAUAUACCAUGCUAGAUUUAAAUUAAGUUAGCAUGUGAGAAAUAAGCUAUCAAGAUUAAAUAUUUCAAAACGUAGUUUUUGUGUUGUAGCUUUAAAAGUAAUAAUAUUGAUGUGUCUAAGAUAACUUCUAUCAUUUAUGUCUUUUGAUCGUCGUUGAGGUGAGCACCUCCUCCUCCUC
rnacentral:lncRNA from 1 species